rnacentral:lncRNA from 1 species
GUUUGUCGGAGGUAAUCUAGUUACAUGGAGGAGCAAGAAACAAAAAGUGGUAGCACUAUCAAGUGCUGAAGCCGAGUUUAGAGGUAUGGCAAAGGGGCUUUGUGAGCUUCUAUGCCUUAGAAGACUACUCUCAGAAAUUGGCUUUGCUCCUAACUCAGAGAUGAAUUUGUAUUGUGAUAAUAAGGCCACAAUUGAAAUAUCUCAGAAUCCAAUCCAGCAUGACAGGACAAAACACAUUGAGAUAGACCGGCAUUUUAUUAAGCAGAAUCUAGAAAAAAAAAAGUAAUUUGUUUUCCCUUCGUCAGGUCAGAGGAUCAACUUGCUGAUAUGCUUACAAAAGCGGUCUCCAACAAAAACUUUCACAGCUCUCUUGAAAAGCUUGGUAUCAAAGACAUUUUUUCACCAACUUGAGAGGGAGUGUUGGCAUGAGCUGUACAAACCUACACACAACAGGAAACUAUAGAUGUAAUAUUCUAGUAUAUCUUAUAUUUAUGUAAAUCCCGAUUGUUAUGGGAUAGUAUUUGAUUUCUUUCCAAAGACAGCUAGUAGAGGCAGCAGCUGCAUAGUAUAUGUAAAGAGCAAGUAUCAGAAAUAAAGAAAGACAGAAUUCUUGAAUGAAAUCUCGUCAGGUUUACAAUUAUUACAUUGCCUUCUUAUAGACAUAAAUUUUAAUUUUAAUUUUUUUUUUACUUAAAACUAUAUUAAAAUAAAAAAUAUAUUUUUAUUUUUUAAGAUUUAUUCUCAAUACUAGUAUAUAAAAACAAUAAAAAAACAUACAUUAUUGUUGUUUAUUUUUGGAGCCCACAUGCUGGAGAUGGAGUGCAUACCUUUUAAACCAUAUACAUAAAUUUAGUUUGUGAUUGUUGAAAAAUUGAUAAAAGCAUAGAAGAAAAAAAAUGUUUGGAUAAAAAAAUCCCAAAGGGAUGAAUAUCUAAAAUAUUAUUGAAAAUAAUUUGUUAUUAUUCGAUGUUAAUGUUUGGAUAAAGAAACCCUAAAUAAUUAAUAUCCAAAAUAUGUUUUUAGAAAUAAUAAGUCAUCACAUAUCAUUGAAAGAAGUUUUGAUUAUAAUUGAGGACAUUCAAUACUCCACGGUUUACGAGCCGUGAGAGUAUAAAAUACUAAGGCAAAAAUAGGCUUUUAAAGCGCUUCAAAUUUCCUUAGAUUUCUAUUUUUUGUCUUUUUCUUGUAAUUUACGAGUCGCGAAUACUUGAAAUACUAAGAGAAAAAUGAGCUUUUAAAGCAAAUUAAAUCUUCUUAAAAUUCUAUCUUACAUAUCUUUUAAUUCAAAGGUUAUAAAUUUAUUUAAAAUCAAACACAGAUUUUAGAAGAUCCGCAUCGAUUCUUUUUGGAACUCUGUAAAUAUAUCUAAAGAUAUGAUCUAUGUUGGCUAAGGAUUAUUGCUCUUUGUGACGUUGGGACAUAUAUAUAUAUAUUUUAAAAAAUAUAUUUUUAAAAAAAAUAUGCAGUUGAACGCAAAUUCAAACGAUUAGUCAAACCUACCUCGGCUUUCAAGGUUGGCACUCAUGGACGCAACUUCUGGGCCCACAAUUUGUUAACUUUCUUCUUAAUGUCCACACAUAGGGAUGAGGAGAUAGCCAUCCCUCAUGUAUCCUAGCACUUUUGAGGUUCCAGUGGUGAGAUUAAACGAUGAGCUACUUGCUUUACGACUUGGGUUUCUAAUUUCUCAUUUUUCAUUUUCAUGGUAAAAUAAUAAAUACAAUAAUUCAUGUUUCCUAUGCGUCUUCAAGUUUGUAAACUUUACCAAGCUUCGCUGUCAGAAAUUUAGGUCAUGCAUGAUCUAUCUAGAUAAUGGAAUGAGGACUGUCAUGAUCCUAUCAUUGUCCUUGGCGAUAAGAACUCUCCCUUGAAUUUAUCACAGAAUCAUGCAUUGAAUUGAGCAGUACUUCCCUUCCAAUUUAAAGGUCAUUGGGUCAAUUCAGAUAUAUCAUAAAAUUUAUAUUUAUAUGCGCCCUGUAAAACAUGGGCUAAGCUCAAUACUAAUGAAACCCAGCUUGUCAUUCAGAAAGCAUAGAUAAUGGACUCAUGACACGUAGAGUAGAGGCACAAAUUUCAAAUUAGAUUCAUGUGAUUAUUACGUUCCCUUCUUAUGAAAUUUUGACGUAAAUAUUACUUUUAAAAAUAUUUUUUACUUAAAACUAUAUUAAAAUAAAUAUAUAAUUUUUUUUUUUAAGAUUUAUUCUUGAUAUCAGUAUUUGAAAACAGUAAAAAAUAUACAUUGUUGUUACUUAUUUUUGGACCUUACGUCCUGAAGAUGGAAUGUAUCCCUUUUAAACUAUAUGCAGGAGUUUAGUUUGUUAUUGUUGAAAAAUUAACAAAAACAGAGAAAAAAAAAGAGAGAAACAAGAGAGAAGCGGGGAUUGCCUUUCGGUCUUUCCUCCCUACAAAUAAAAUCUACAGAACAAGGGAGAAGAGAGUACAAGAACCAGUAGAUAGAGAGGGAUGAAGACGUAGAAGAAAAAAGAGAGACAAACGCAAACACAAAAUAGAAGAAAAAUGGCUGAAAUAGACGAAUAAAGACAGAUUAGCCAUGAUGCCUUUAACUUCACUGCAGCUUCUUCGUUUCCGCCUCUAGGUUUGUCAUCCCCAGCAUCUGCAUGAAUCCUAGUGCAUUUGUUUCUGUUUAAGUGAAAUUUAAUUCACUUGAACAGUGAUCAGCCAAGGCACGCCUGAGGAAACUCACACAUGCCUUUUUGCCCAACCAGGUCACUGAUUUGGGCCAGUGAUCGGCUAGGCCUGCUGGGUUCAGCCCAGCCACAUGGGUCGAGCUCGACCCAGCCCCUAAAAAAACAAUAAUAUCAUUGGUUUUUGUGUGUGCGUGUAAAAAAAAAUAGUUUGCCUAACACACCCUAAUACCUUUCCCUUAGUUUGUUUUUAUAUAUAUCUUUGUUUUAUGGUUUAGCAAAACAAGCCUAAUAAAAAGCUAAAAAAACAAAACAAUUUUAAGAACCAUUUUAAAAUUAUUUAUGGGUUCAUUGUAUGUUUUUUCCAAUAAUUUCGUCUAAUAUCGGGUUGUAAACUUAUACCGUAAGAUACAUUCCCGAUAUAAAAGAUAUUUGAUUUUCUUUGAAAUUUCAAAAAAAUCCAUUUUUUUAAACAAACCUUCAUUUCAAAAACAAAAAAAUAUUUUGUUUUUGUGCAUAUGGUCAAAUCCUAAAGUUUUUUCAUGCAUAUUUUUUUAAAAGGAUAAAAUCAUAUUUUUAUCAUCUUUUAAAAAUGCAAAAUGAAUAUCAUAACUUGUUUAUAAUUAUUCAUUAGGGUUUGACCAAAAUACAAAAAAUCUCACAACAAUUAGUUUUUUGUAUCCAAAGAGUUAGAAUUUAAUUGUGAGACUUUAAUAUUUGAGACUAUAAAAUUACAUUGUAAAGUAUACCCUCAAGUAUUAAAGAUACAACAGAGAAAAUAAAUGUGAUGCUAAAUAUAGGCCUUAAAAUGAUUAAGAUUUAACCCAAUAAGUUAGAGACUUCCUCGUGAAGAAAGAUUUGUCUUGAAUCUUAAAUAAGACUAACGAAUAUAAAUAUGACCUAGAAAAAUAAUCAAUCAACAAUACAGUUUAUCUUAGGUAGGUUGUACCAAAGGUGGUACAUUUUUUCUUGCACAACUAGUCCUUUUAACUAUACUCUCACAGACCAUUUGGUUUUAUAAUGACCAUAAUACUAGGUGGUGAUUCUUGAACUCUAUAAUCAUAACUUCAUGAUUAAAUCCAAAACCCCCCCAAUUCCAAGAGGCAAUUUCGCCACACGACGUUGUCACAAUAGGAUGGUGACUCCAUAAGGGACUUGUCUGGUUGGACUGAACUUUGCUUGUUUGAUUAUUUGCCUAUUUAUUUUGUUGGCCUGUUUAAUUUUACCUAAAGAAUAUAUAUAUAUAUAUAUAUAUAUAUAUAUAUAUAUAUAUAUAUAUAUUACUGCUUUAGCAUGUGUUUUUAUAUAUUUCUCAUGUAUAAGUACAUCGGGUAUAGAUUAAUGCCUUCAUUCAUCUUGAUUUUCAAAUAAACUGAAUUCUAGGUUGGGUGGGGAGUAGCGGCCUGUCUCAUGACUUUCAGUCGGAGUUUAGAUUCAUGAAACAUAUACUAUAAGUUGAGCGUUUACUUGAUAAUGAUGGUCACAAUGUUCCCCAACCAUUUCUUGUAAACCUUUAUAAUGCCUUCAUAAAAGGUGGUCACUGGACCUAAAACCUUUAUCAUAAACCCUUUGUUAGAGAAUAUAGAGAAGCUUGUGUCAGUUUUGUGGUAUGUGGAUGAGACUUUGUUAGAGAAGAAGUAUGAGAGAAUUACCCACCUAAUAAGGAUCUCAGUUCAGAUUUCAACAAGUCAAUGCAUUUUUGGAAUCUAGGUUAUAUAUGUUUCACCUUUGGAGACAUUAACAUGACCCUUACCAUUGAAGAGUAUGUCCAUAUUUUCAACUUCACAAAUGACCCUCACAAAGUAUAUUUCAGAUAAAGCAUUGAGAAUAAAAUUGUCGAGGUUGCAAAAUUAAUGCAUCGAGACCAAGUUGAUCAAUAUAGGACGUCUAAUGAAGGAUUUUAGUGGAAGUUGAUUGAGAAUAAGUUGAAGACAGAUAAAGACAAUGUAAAGCUAGGAGAAGAGAAAUAUCAAGUAGUUGUUUUCGCCAUCUUUGGGUUAGUUUUGUUUCCUUCAGAAGCCGCUGAGAUCAUCAGUAUUGAAUUUGUCAACACUUUCCUUAAGUAUGAAUGAACAAAGAAUAACCUCAUCUCAGUUAUCUUAACUGAAACUCUCUUAUCCCUAAACCAUUAUAUACUGAAUGGAAAGAGAACGAUACGAUGUUGUGUUCCUCUACUAUUCAUAUGGAUAGUCAAUCACUUGGAGACAUUGAGAGAAGUUUUUAAUAAUUUUUUGUGGUUCAAUAUUGGGCCGAUUUUAAGCGAAUAGUGGAACAACCUAGAUGAGAAGGCAUGGGUGAAAAAUUACCAAGCACUUUAUCAUAGUAAUUUCAGGUGGAUAUCUCAUUGGGUGAAUAGUUCGUCUUAUCUUAUGAGUUGUGGUGACAAAACAUGGGUCCGACUGAUUGGUUUGACUGCUUAUAUCAGCUACUCACCCUCGCUGCUUAUACCAAAAACUUUGGGAUUAGCCAAGUAUAUUAUUUUGUUCAAAAAAAGCAAAUUUUUUAGUUAAGCUAGACGCCAUCAGAUCGAUGUAAUUGGAGUAGCUUGUUUUAGUCUACAGGGAACAUCAAAAAAAAUCCUCAACCAACCCUAAUUACUUAAUAUGGAGAAGUGGUGAAUUAUCCAGGGUGCUCAGAAGCACGAGAAUGCAAAGCCAAAAUUCAGUCAAUACGGAGGGAUCAUCCACCAUUAUAGAACCCAGAAGAAAAAUGACAAAUAAUAUCACUUUUAACCAACUGAUUGGUUAUAAGAUAUAUUAAACUAGCAAGAUUACAAUAAAAGAGAUUGGUCAGGUAGUCCAAGUGUCUAUAAUCAGUCCUUAUCUUGUUAUGUGAGCCACGAGCUAAGCUUAAUGUUAAUGGAAACUUGGUUUAUAAUUAAAUCACCUUUUUAUAUGGCGAGGCAUUAUAACUGUGAUUUCAAAUUAGAGAGCAAAUCACAUUAGAGAGCGUUCAAUCGUUGCUUUCUUCCGGGUUCCAUUUGAUUUUGUGUAUAAAAUUUUGUUUGAGUGCAUUUUAAAAUUAUAUUUGGCUUGAAAAUAUAUUAAAUUGGUUUUUUUUAAUAUAUUUUUAUGAAUUUAAUACUUUGAUGUCAAAAACAAAAAAAUCAAAAUAAAUUUAUUAUAUUGUAUUAUUAAACUAAAAACACUCUUAAAACACAAUGAAUUGCAAUAACAAACAUUAUUCCGAGGAUGUUUGAGGGUGUAGUAGUAGUUAUUUUUUAAUAUUCUUUUCACUUAGAAAUAUUUCUAAAUAAUAUAUUUUUAUUUUAUUUUUAAAAAAAUUUUAUUCAUAACAACACAACAUAUAAAACAAUCUAAAAAAUAUAUAUAUACAUACAUACAUACAUAUAUACAUACAUAUAUAUAUAUAUAUAUAUAUAUAUAUAAAUUAAUUUUAAACAAAAAUAGUUUUUGGUAUCGAACAAUUAAGUAAUAUACUAAAAGGCGUGGGGAAACUACUGUAGCUUCCCCACGCCUUUUACUUAUUUUAUUAUUAAUAUAUUAUAUUAUAUUAUAAUAUAUAUUAACUAUCUUUUUUCUUUUUCUUUUUCUUUUUAAUUUUUUUUUGGUUUGAAUUAGUUUAUUAAUGUUAAUUUUUUUUUAUUUUGAUAUCAAAUUUUUAUGACAUAGAUCCCGGGUUUGAUGGCUUAACCUGGUUUAACGGGUUAACCUGUAAUUUUUUUUUUUUAAUUAAUUUUUUUCAUUUAGUUUAGUUUGUCAAUGUUAAAUUUCUUUCUAUUUAAUUAUGACUUUUAUGACACGUAUCCCGAGCUUGACGGGUUAACUUGGUUUGACGGGUUAACCCAGUUAAUUAUAGGUAAACCUGUCAAUGUUUUUUUUCUAUUUAGUUAUUAAACUUUCAUGAGGUGGAUCCCAAGUUUGAUGGCUUAACCUGAUUUGAUGGGCUGACCCAAAAUUGUUAUUUUUUUUUUAUUAAUUUUUUUCGUUUAGUUUAGUUUGUUAAGGUUAAAUUUCUUUCUAUUUAAUUAUCAGACUUUCAUGACAUGUAUCCUAGGCUUAACAUGUUAACUUGGUUUGACGGGUUAACCCUAUUAAUUCUGGGUAAACCCGUCAAUUUUGUUUUUAUUUAGUUAUCAAACUUUCAUGACGCGGAUCUCAGGUUUGAUGGGUUAACCUGGUUUAAAGGGUUAACCCAGUUAAUUAAAUUUUUUUCCUUUUCUUCAUUAGUGUUGCUACCCAAUUUUUUACCCAUGUUUUUUUAUAUAUUUUCAAAAAAAUAAAAAAAAAAACAUUAAGAAAAAAUUUGAAAAUUCAAAAAAUAUUUUUUUUCUCUCUCUCGAGUCAACCGCAUCUCUUCAUUCAAACCAUGUUGACCAGGGUAAAAACUGAGUUUCGGGCUGUUUCGGGUCAAAAACAUCAUUUUUGACCAAAAUCGGGUUCACCGGGUCAAUACGGGUCAUACCAUGUUGACCAGGGUAAAAAAUGAGUUUCGGGUUGUUUCGGGUCAAAAACAUCAUUUUCGACCCAAACCGAGUUCACCGGGUCAAUACGGGUCAUACCAUGUCGACCAGGGUAAAAAAUGAGUUUCGGGUUGUCUCGGGUCAAAACCGUCAUUUUCGACCAAAACCCGGUUCAUCGGGUCGAUACCCAUUAAAUGUUUUUUUUGGUAUUCCAUUUUUUGGCGGUUGAAACGGAAUUUUUCUAAUACUGAUUUGAAUUUUUAGUUUUACCCAUGUAAAUAUUUUUAUAUAUAAUAAAACAAAAUUAUGGUAGUUGUGUAAAUAUUUAUUAUUAUAUAUAAUAAAACAAAAUUAUGGUAGUUGUGUGCAUUAUUUAUUAUUAUAUAUAAUAAAACAGAAUUUUAUGGUUGUUGUACCGUGGCUAUAAAUAGCCACGGGAGGGGGGCAGAAAAAAAAGGGGGGGGAAAAAAAAAAAAGGAAGAGAAAAGAAAAAAAGAAAGAAUCGAUUGAUACUAUUUCUAAUUUUUUUAGUUUUUCUUCAGGAGAGUAGGAUAUUGUCUUUUAAAAAAAACAAUUUAAAAAAUACCAAACAUAUCCCAACACAUCUCAGCCGUUAACAUAUUCCAGGAUUUAAUCCCGUUGCGCCACGUCAUCCGGUGCACCGAGCUUUCGGUGCACCGCGCCACACAGAAUCAAAACCAGACAAUCUGGGCCGUCCGAUCAACCUGCUGAUCUAGCCAAUCACAGCCAUCCGAUCGUUUCAUCCAAGAUCCAACGGUUAACAUCCUUCAGCGGCACCGGUACACCAUACACGCGUCCGCACCGUAGCAAAUCUCGGAGCAUCUCUCUCCUCUCGCCGGCGACUCUCUCUCUCUCCUCGAUCUCCACUUUCCGGCCAUAAAGUCUCCUAACCACCACAGAAAGGUUCCACUGUUAAAGUAAAACCCCGGUGGUUUUAACCGUUUUCGCCUCAUCUGGCCGGAAAAAGGCCGCGAUUCUCGCCGGCCACCGAAGCUUCAAGUCGUCGAUUCUCCCUCGUCAGCCAUCAACGGCCGUCGAGACCACCACCAACAGAAUCCUCGACCUCAGAUCUACCAGAACCGACCAUCGGUUGGCCAGAAAUCUCGCCGGAAAAUUUCGCCAUCGUCAACAGUGACAGCGCGUGAGACACACGCGCCGCCAGUGGCAUUUUCGUAAAUUUUUCAAGAAAUCCGAGGGUAUUUCAGUUUUUACCUAUACUGUGUCACUCAUGUAAUUUUUUUAGAUUGCUAAUUUUUUUUAUUUUGUAUAUAAAUUUUCUUGCAUGUUGUAAAACAAAAAAAAGAAUAACAACGCGGGUCCAACACCCAUCCUAUUAUGUCAUCAUUCGUGGGUCCAAAGCCCAAUUUUCAAAUAUAGUUAUACCCAUAUCUCAACGAUAUAAAAUAUUUUUUUUUAUAAACAAAUAUUGUUUGUCGACACGUCUCUUUUUAUAAAAAGGACCGAUGUCAAAAGUUUAAAUACCAAAUAUGGAUUAUGUCCAUAGUUUUUUUGGUAACUCAGACGUACUUCUCCUUUUUAGGGUUAAACGUCAAUAUUUUAGACAAGUCUCCUAUUUUUAGGGACUGAUGUCAUUUUUAACGUGUCUCCUAUUUUUAGGGACCGACGUUAACCAUAAAAAAAAAAUAAAAUUGCAAAUAAGCUCAAAAUAUAAUAUCAUUUAAACAAAUAAAAAAACACACAAGUAAGGGUAACCUUUCUUUUGAAAGGAUGUUUUAAGGGUGGUGUCUACCUUCCCUUAAUCAUAACUAACCCAGUACCCGAAUCUCUGGGACCAGUGUCUAAUUUGGGAUUUCUAGUUCCCUCAAAUUACUAGAUGGCGACUCCAAUAAAAUUUUCAUUUCCCCAAUUAAACAAAUCUUUUUUGUUAAAUAAACAAAAAUGAGCGGAGCCGUCGCCCGACGUCGUGUAUCGACAGAAUGGCGACUCCACUGGGGACAGGGUUGAACCAACUGCUUGUGUGUGCUUUUCAUUUUUUUUUAUUGCUAUUUAUUUUUUGAGUAUUUAUUUUAUUUGCACUAUUUAUUUUAUGCAAUAUCAAUUGUAAAUCAUUUCAUUUUUUAAUUACACAUGCAUGCAUGUUAUUUAUUUGUGUAUUCACACACUUCACAGUGAACCCAUAAAAGCUCUGGACCCGAGCUCGUCCUUUUUAAGAUUAGAAAAGAAAGAUUCAGGUGGCAAGUGUGACUUAUGUCCACUGAUGCUCAUUUGGACUUUCGCUUGGAUUGUAACUCACCCUAUGCAACGGGUAUUGUGGAAUUUUCUUCCCAUACUCAUGUUGUAUAAGGUUAAGAGGCCGACUACCCCAUGGGUAAUUCGGGCAAUCUAAGAACCAAAGAAAAUCUUUAAGAUUAGAAUCAACUGAGCCAAACCCUAUGAGCUAGAUCCUAUCAAUUAGGAUAUACCUUUAGGACACAAACAAAUAUCAAUGCAUUAACAUACAUGUUCAUAUAUAUUUCAUAUUCUCAUUAAAUCUCCACCGAUCCUCAUAGGAAGUGUGAGAUUAAAAAAACAUUACUAUUGAGGAAUUUUUGACCAGAUCAGAAUUGAACCAACAUGAUGAAAGGGAUUGUUUGCCAUCAGAACAUGGCAUCAAAUUUCUCCCCUAAAUCGGUUCAAGUCCCUGUAGGUUUGGAGUCCUCAGUGAGAACUUUCUUAAGAGAAUCUGAUCUGGUCUAUUCCUCGUUAUAAGUUUAAAAAAAAAUUGAAACCAAUAACAAACAUGCAUAAAGCAUAUGGCAUUUUGCAUCCAUUUGUGCAUUUCAUUUAGUUUACUUGCAUUCACUCAGGUUAAAAUAUAGAUCCCCCAAAAGGCCGUAAAAUUCAUUACACUCGACAACGAAGGAAGAUAAUGGAGAACGAAGAAAGGGCACACCUGGAGGCUCAUUAUCAAAGAGAGUUGGAGAACAUGAAAAAUGAUAUAGCACGACUUACAAGUCUACUCGAGCAGGCCCUAGUAUCCAAGUCUGGGGAAGGCACCUCUACUCAGCCGGCAGUUGCAACUCCAUCUAUAUCUAUGCCAUCAGCUCCCUUUGUAUUCCCGCCUCAAAAUUUAGGGGCAAAUCCCUCUUCAUUUGAACAACAGUUCACUGCCAAUGUUCCACCAGCACAAGUGCCAGUUAAUGUAAACCUGGCAACUGAUGACCCACAAAGGAUGAAAUUCUCUGAAAAUAUCGAUUAUGAUAAAUUGACCGCUCUGGAAGAGAGAUUGAAGGCAGUAGAAGGGGCAGACUUAUAUGAUCCUGUUUAUGCUGCAGAAAUGUGUUUAGUUCCAAAUGUAGUUGUACCCAGAAAAUUUAGGGUACCAGAAUUCAUCAAGUAUACGGGAACUGAAUGCCCAGUCACGCAUCUUAAAUCUUACUGCAAUAAGAUGGCAGAAGUAGUGAAUGAUGAGAAACUUCUCAUCCAUUUCUUUCAAGACAGUCUUUCUGGAUCGGCAUUAAGCUGGUAUACAAGGCUGGAUAACACCAAGAUCAGAAAGUGGAAAGAUUUGGUAAAAGCCUUUGUGGAGCAGUAUAAAUUCAACAUGGAGGUAGCCCCGGACAGGUCAAGCUUGUUAGUCAUGGAGAAGGGCAGCAAAGAGACUGUAAGAGAAUACGCUUUGAGAUGGCGUGAAAAAGCAUCGCAUGUGCAACCCUCUUUGUUAGAAAAAGAAAUGGUCACUCUGUUUUCUAACACUUUUAAAUCUCCAUACUUUGAACACCUGGUGGGUAGUUCAGCUCAGCAUUUCUAUGAUGCUGUAACUAUCGCUGAGAGAAUAGAACAAGCGAUAAGAGCGGGGAGAAUGUCAGAGCCUACUGAGAAGAAAGGCUUUACUGGGAAAAAGGAUGCCGAUGUGAACAAUGUGGAAGAAGUGUAUAAGGGUAUGAAAAAGAAUUACUAUCAUUAUAACUUCCAAAUACCUACCCAACAAGUUGCAAGUGUAAACUUCACUAAACAUUUCCCUACCAACCAACAAAAUCAACCAAAUAACCAAGAAAGUAACCAGAUUGUUAAUCCUCCAAGAAGGAAUUUUCAAAGAACCCAAGAACGACUGCCACCAUUACCACUUCCCUUAGGAGAAAUGUACUCGAAGUUGUUGAGUAUUGGGCAAAUAGCCCCUAUUCCCUUAACCCCACUGCAACCUCCAUACCCAAAUUGGUAUAAGACAGAUCUGAAAUGUGAGUAUCAUGCUGGCGCUGCUGGGCAUAACAUUGAAAGUUGUAAUGCAUUUAAGAACAAGCUUUUGCAAUUGAUAAAAGCUGGAUGGAUAUCUUUUGAUGAUGCACCAAAUGUGAAGUCCAACCCUUUGCCCAAUCAUGCAAGAGAAUUCAAAGAAGGGGAUCUUGUACUAUGAAAAUCUUGCCAUUACCAAGUGAAGACCGAAGCAAGUGGGCACCAAACUAUGAAGGCCCAUAUGUAGUGAAGAAAACACUAUCUGGAGGAGCUCUGUUGUUAAGUAGGAUGGAUGGAGAUGAUUUACCUAGGCCUGUGAACUCUGAUUCUGUGAAAAAGUAUUAUGUAUGAUGGUUUCAUCCAAUCAAAUCAAUAAAGUUUUGGCCAGGAAAUUCUCUUUGCAUUAUACCUCACCAAAAAGCCCAUGCAUGAUCUCAAUGGCUCAACAAUUUGAUCUUUCAAACUUUUUUUACAGGAGAAUCCAUUCUUCUUAAAUGAGGUUUUAAAAGAACUGAUUUUGUUUGUGAUUUCAAUGAAAUAAAUCAAUGAUUUGUUUGGAAUAAUGUUCAGAGCAAUUCCCUUGAAAGAGAUGACCAAAAAAAAAAAAACAUGCAAUUGGAACAACUAUCACCCAAAUUAUGUCUUGGAUCCACAUUUUAUCAGCAUGAAUAAUGGUUGGUAGUACAUUAGUUUGUCAUGGACUCGCAAAACAUGGUAUCUUACAAAUCCAAAGCAUUACGUUGGAUAUGGACAAAGUUUAUUGGUUUUAACUGAUCUUACUUGAAAUGAGGAAAGGCCAUCUUUGAUAUUCCUUUCACUUUCUUUAAAAUUAUCCUUUGCAGUCCCAAUUUGAGCUGAGUCUAUUUAAAGCCUUUUCUUUCAUGAGAACCUUGACUAAGAUCACACCCUACACUAGGGGGCAAAAAGAGAAAUAUGAUUAAGAAAUUGUCUUGAAGGCAUGUGAGCUUUAAAGAAAGUCUGACAACAAAGAAUUCAAAAUUCCAAACAAUUGAGAGAAUUCCUAAAUAUGGGAAUAACAAAAAGAAAACAGAAGUUCCUCAUUUGGAAUAUUAUCAUCAUUUUUGUUGUCAAGGUAGCAAAAGAAAAUGCCAAGACAAGAUAAUAGUGAUCUAUAGUUUAUAAGCCCUUAAACACUUUUUGAGCUUAUGGAAUACUCUUUCUUUUAUAGCCUUGAGCCAUAAACUACAUUAUGUGCCUUUGAAGUCCUUUCUAAUCAAGUAAGCGACCUGGAUCAAUAAAUGGCGUUCUCAAAAUAUAAGAGACUUUUUCAUCAAGAGUCAUGGCGUAGCAAAUAAUUACUCGUUAUUAUUCAUGCUGUUAAAAAGAGUGUUUCUAAAGAUAAAAGGCAAAUUGUUUCUUUUCUCUCAAAAUACCUUCAAGCAAUCGCUUGAACACUUUGAAAACCAAAGCAGAAGGUCAUCUCAUCACUUACCUUCAUCUUAGAUUACUUUUACCAAGAGAUUUGACAUAAAGCCCCAGAAUUGCCUGAACAUUGUUAUAAACAGACAUUGAGAGUUUCAGUUUUCUGGAACAAAACAGAUCUUUUAAAAAAUCAUUUUUGAAAAAAGGUUUUCUUUGUAAGAAAAAUGAGCAUAUAACACGUUAUGAGGCACCAUUAGAAAAUCAGAGAUUCUAAUGACAACAAGAGCAAAGGAGGAAAUGAAAUGAGGCAGUUAAUUCUCCCAGGGGGCAGAGAAGCAGUUACCAGAUCCUUAACAGCAAAGAAAUUUGCUUCCCUAGUGGAAAAUACACAUGAUAAAACUGUGGACUUCUUCUAGCAUGCGGACUGAAAUAGUAUGAUUUUCAGUAUCUAUGAAAGGAGAUUGUUGACUCUUACAAUAUGAUCAGUUAGACAACAAGAUAACUGAUACAUCUUCAGUAAGAGAAAUGCAGAUGAAAUCUCAGGACAAUGUCGGGCCACGGAGAAGCUGAUUCUCUUAGUGAAGUUACCAAUAGAGAAACGUGCAGUGACUGUUGGGAAACUCAAAAAAUGGACAACAUGGGUCAGCUUGAGUAGACUUGAAGUACGCGUAAAUCAAAAGAGCUCACUCAAAGUCAAAACCCUCAAACAAGAUGAACGGGGAUCUAUAUUUCAAAAACAGGUAAGAUGCAUUGCAUAUCAUCUCACUUCACAAGCAUCGCAUAUUUGUUUUGCAGAUAUCUCUCGAAACAAAACUCCUCAUGGGAUCCAACGAGACAAAGAUGAAUUGAAGUUCUUUAAAUCAUAUCAAUAUGGCAAUUCCACAAAGGCAAAAUUCAUGAAUGAAGACGAGAAGAUGGAUUUUUAUUCAUAGGCAUAAUGGUUUACAAGUACAAACGUUAAACACUGUGAGGACGAUUAGGGAUAUUUUCAUCUUGAUGGCCAAUCAUGCCUCGGAAUUCCUCAAAUUGCUUAUGCAUGCGCUCCAUCUCUUCCUCGAACUCGAGGUGUCGAGUGUUAACAUAGUCCCUCCAAAAGUCAACACGUGCAUUGAGCUCUUGGUUUCUCCUCUCCAAUUCGUUCCUGUAACGUCUCUCAUCAUGGAGCCUUUUCCUUAAAUUCUCAAUCUGAUUAUGGAGCUCAGGAAUUUGAGUAUUCAACUCAAGUCUUCUGGCAUGAAGACGCUCCGCAACAUUCACCAAAGACGAAGUAGCUCUGAUACUAAGAGCAAGUGACUGAUUCACUGCUUCAAUAUCGGUCCUCGCUGCCAGCAUCAUUUCAUCACGAGGAAGGAUCAUGUCUCUAGCCACGGCUACAGCGGUAUCUUCAUCGUCCAUUACAGUAUCCUCUAUUGUAACUGGACGACCAUUCACUUCAAAGGUUGUACGCCAAACUACAGGCUCUGCCGCAGGAACAAGGUUUGGAUUAGCAUUGGAAGAAGAGGAAGACAUGGUUAAAACUUCAAAAGUUAAGAACUUUGAGAGUAUUGAAAAUGUGAGAAGUGGAUGAUGUCUUUUGCCCAAUAUUGCGUGAUUUAUAGGGAAUUUGCUCCGGCCAUCAUUUUCAAUAGAAGAUCAGAUCUUAGCCGUGGAUACAAACUUCCUGGGAAGUUUUCCUCAUCUUUGGGAUCCAUUUUCAAAUCAAAUCCCAACCGUACAUAUAAGACUUUCUUGAGAAGUUUCCUGAUCCAUUCACAACUCAGAUCUCAACUGUACAUAUAAGACUUUCUUGAGCGUCGUCUUUGAGAUUGAUUUGCAAAUCAGAUCUCAACUGUACAUGUAAGACUUUCUUGAGUGUUAUCUUUGAGAUUGAUUUGCAAAUCAGAUCUCAGCUUUACAUAUACGACUUUCGUGAGAAGCUUACAUCAUCUUUGAGAUCGAUUUACAGAUCAAAUCUCAACCGUACAGGUAUGACUUCCUUUAGAAGUUUUCAUCAACCCUGAAGCUCAUUCACUUUCAAGCAUUUUAUCAUCGGGCAGGUCGCCUGGAACAAUUAGACCACUUGCGAUUUUCAUCGCAUUUUAUCAUCGGGCAGGUCGCCUGGAACAAUUUGACCACUUGCGAGUUUCCUCGCAUUUUAUCAUCGGGCAGGUCGCCUGGAACAAUUAGACCACUUGCGAUUUUCAUCGCAUUUUAUCAUCGGGCAGGUCGCCUGGAACAAUUAGACCACUUGCGAGUUUCCUCGCAUUUUUUUUUCAUUCAUUGGGCAGGUCGCCUGGAACAAUUAGACCAUUUGCGAGUUUCCUCGCAUGUUUUUUUCAUUUAUCGGGCAGGUCGCCUGGAACAAUUAGACCACUUGCGAUUUUCAUCGCAUUUUAUCAUCGGGCAGGUCGCCUGGAACAAUUAGACCACUUGCGACUUUCAUCGCAUUUUAUCAUCGGGCAGGUCGCCUGGAACAAUUAGACCACUUGCGAGUUCCCUCGCAUUUUAUCAUCGGGCAGGUCGCCUGGAACAAUUAGACCACUUGCGAGUUUCCUCGCAUUUUUUUUCAUUUAUCGGGCAGGUCGCCUGGAACAAUUAGACCACUUGCGAUUUUCAUCGCAAUUUAUCAUCGGGCAGGUCGCUUGGAACAAUUAGACCACUUGCGAGUUUCCUCGCAUUUUAUCAUCGGGCAGGUCGCCUGGAACAAUUAGACCACUCACAAAAUUCUUUACUUCACAUUCUUUCUAUUUGGGUAGGUCGCCCAUCACAACGAGACCACUUCAUCAUAUUUUUUCCAUCUGGGUAGGUCACCCAUUACAAUGAGACAACACUUCACAUUAUUUUCCACCUGGGUUGGUUACCCAUUACAAUGAGACCACUCUUUCCUUUUUGGGUAGGUCACCCAUUACAAUGAGACCGCACUUCAUAUUCUUUAUAUUUGGGUAGGUCACCCAUCAUAAUGAGACCAUUUUUUUUUCACAUUCUUUCCACCUGGGUUGGUUACCCAUUACAAUGAGACCACGUUUUACACAUUCUUUGGUUUUGGUAAAGGAGGUCGCCAGAUGGGAUCUCAGGUUAACGAAAAAAAGAGAGACAGAAAGACAAGUUUUUUUCUUUACAAAGCUUACUAUGCAAAACAUCGAGGAUUUUUGCUUCGUAAGCAUUGUAAAGAGGGGGCAUCUGUUGCUACCCAAUUUUUUACCCAUGUUUUUUUAUAUAUUUUCAAAAAAAUAAAAAAAAAACAUUAAGAAAAAAUUUGAAAAUUCAAAAAAUAUUUUUUUUCUCUCUCUCGAGUCAACCGCAUCUCUUCAUUCAAACCAUGUUGACCAGGGUAAAAACUGAGUUUCGGGCUGUUUCGGGUCAAAAACAUCAUUUUUGACCAAAAUCGGGUUCACCGGGUCAAUACGGGUCAUACCAUGUUGACCAGGGUAAAAAAUGAGUUUCGGGUUGUUUCGGGUCAAAAACAUCAUUUUCGACCCAAACCGCGUUCACCGGGUCAAUACGGGUCAUACCAUGUCGACCAGCGUAAAAAAUGAGUUUCGGGUUGUCUCGGGUCAAAACCGUCAUUUUCGACCAAAACCCGGUUCAUCGGGUCGAUACCCAUUAAAUGUUUUUUUUCGAUACCCGAUCAACCUGCUGAUCUAGUCAAUCACAGCCAUCCGAUCGUUUCAUCCAAGAUCCAACGGUUACCAUCCUUCAGCGGCACCGGUACACCAUACACGCGUCCGCACCGUAGCACAUCUCGGAGCAUCUCUCUCCUCUCGCCGGCGACUCUCUCUCUCUCCUCUAUAAUCUCCACUUUCCGGCCAUAUCACGCCUCCUAACCACCACAGAAACGUUGAUCCACUGUUUUAAAGCAAACCCCCGGCGGUUUUAACCGUUUUCGCCGCCUCAUCUGGCCGGAAAAAGGCCGCGAUUCUCGCCGGCCACCGAAGCUUCAAGUCGUCGAUUCUCCCUCGUCAGCCAUCAACGGCCGUCGAGACCACCACCAACAGAAUCCUCGACCUCAGAUCUACCAGAACCGACCAUCGGUUGGCCAGAAAUCUCGCCGGAAAAUUUCGCCAUCGUCAACAGUGACAGCGCGUGAGACACACGCGCCGCCAGUGGCAUUUUCGUAAUUUUUCAAGAAAUCCGAGGGUAUUUCAGUUUUUUACCUAUACUGUGUCACUCAUGUAAUUUUUUUUAGAUUGCUAAUUUUUUUUUAUUUUGUAUAUAAAUUUUCUUGCAUGUUGUAAAACAAAAAAAGAAUAACAACGCGGGUCCAACACCCAUCCUAUUAUGUCAUCAUUCGUGGGUCCAAAGCCCAAUUUUUAAAUAUAGUUAUAGCCAUAUCUCAACGAUAUUAAAAUAUUUGUUUUUAUAAACAAAUAUUUGUUUGUCGACACGUCUCUUUUUAUAAAAAGGACCGAUGUCAAAUAAAAAAGUUUAAAUACCAAACAAAUAUGGAUUAUGUCUAUAAUUUUGUUUUUUUUUGGUAACUCAGACGUACUUCUCCUUUUUAGGGUUAAACGUCAAUAUUUUAGACAAGUCUCCUAUUUUUAGGGACCGAUGUCAUUUUUAACGUGUCUCUAUUUUUUUUUAGGGACCGACGUUAACCAUAAAAAAAUAAUAAAAUUGCAAAUAAACUCAAAAUAUAAUAUCAUUUGAAACAAAUAAAAAAACACACAAGUAAGGGUAACCUUUCUUUUGAAAGGAUGUUUUAAGGGUGGUGUCUACCUUCCCUUAAUCAUAACUAACCCAGUACCCGAAUCUCUAGGACCAGUGUCUAAUUUGGGAUUUCUAGUUCCCUCAAAUUACUAGAUGGCGACUCCAAUAAAAUUUUUAUUUCCCCCAAUUAAACAAAUCUUUUUUGUUAAAUAAACAAAAAUGAGCGGAGCCGUCGCCCGACGUCGUGUAUCGACAAUUAGUUUUUUUCUUCCUAUUGGUUUUUUUUUUCUUUGGUUUUUUUCUUUUUAAUUAUCACGUUUUUAUGACACGACCUUAUAGCCAGACCCACAUCCAAUGCUCUUGGGUUCAGUGUUGCAACCAGACUCAUUUAAACUUAAGUCAUGUAAGUUUAAUAUUUUUAUUCAUAUUAUAAAUAUUACUCUAGGGUCAAACGCUGCAGUCAAACCCAAGACUCUUGGGUAUAACUUUGAAGAAUGGCCUAACACUUUUAUUUUAUUUUUUAAUAUUUUUUAUGUUAAAAACAUUAACUCGCGGCAUCGCGCGGGUCUCAUGCUAUUUGUUAAUAUUAAAGAACUCUAAAAUGCAUAAGUUCUUCACUGUAGCGUUUUUUUUUUGUUUCUUCUGUUUUUACAUAAACACUUGACUUUUUCUUUUUUUUCCUUUUUUUUGCCUAUGGUUUUUUUUUUUUGCUUUUUUCUUUGUGUUUUUUUUUCUUUUAAUGAUUUUUUUUGUUUAAUUUAGUUUGUUAAUAUGAAAAAAAGUUUUUAUUUAGUUAUCAUACUUUCAUGACACGGAUCUCAGGUUUGACGGGUUAACCUGGUUUAACGAGUUAACUUGAAUUUGUUUUUCUAUUUAGUUAUCAAACUUUCACGACAUGAAUCCAACAUUUAAUGGGUUAACCCAAUUAAUUCAUAUUUUUUUUCUUUUUAUUCAUUAGUUUUUUUCUUUCUAUUGGUUUUUUUUUCUUUUUAAUUAAUUUAUUUAAUUAUCACACUUUUAUGACAUGACCUUGCAGCCAGAUCCGCAUCCAAGGCUAUUGGGUCUGGUAUUGGAGCGAGACCUACUGGGUCAUGCAAGUUUAAUAUUAUUAUUAUUAUUAUAAAUAUUAUUUUUGGGUCAUGCGUUAUAGCAAACCCAAGAUUCUUGGAUAUAGCUUUACAGAAAAACCUCAUAUUUUUAGAUCUUAGUUUUUUUUGGUAUUUUUUAUACAAAACAAAUUAACCUGCAGCAUCGCGCGGGUUCCUGAACUAGUGGCUUCCAUGACCCGUGGUGGCAUAAAUUUCAAGGUAAAAUCAUUUUAUUUUUUUUUAGUUCCACGACACUGUAAAUUUACAAUAAUUGUAAAUUGACAAUAAUAGGAUAGGACGCUGGAUUGAUUGGAUAAUUUCUUUUGUAGUUUUGCACUUAUGGACAAUUUCUGGACCCCACAAUUUUUUUCUUAACCUCUCUCCCUUGUGCCCACACAUAGCAAUUGGCAGAUAGCCACUCCUUUAGUCUUUUGUAGCACCAAUUAGCAUCGUCGCCUAACCCCUUCAGUCUCUUUCUCCUUUUCAAAUCGAUAUAAAUCGCCUAACGCCUGAGGAUUUUUUUUUUCAUACAUAUAUAUAUAUAUAUAUAUAUAUAUAUAUAUAAUUGUGUUUAAGUUGGAAAGAUGGUAAUUUAAUAUUUUUAAUUUAUUUUAAUAAUUUAAUGUGUUAAUAUCAAUAAUAAUAAAAAAUUAUUAGUUUAAUAUUUUUUAAAAUAUAUAUUUUAAAAAAGCACAACAUGAAAUAUUAAAAAAAUCACAAUUAUAUAUAAAAAAUCAUAAUUUAAAAAUUUUAUUUAUAUUUUGUUAAAAAUAUUAAAAAUUAUAUUUUGUUAUCACAAUUAUCUAUUUUUUAGAUUUUUUUACUAGUAAUCAUCUAUAAUAUCUAUAUAAUUUGACUUUAACUGAUUGGAUCAAGUUAGAUAAUAUAAAUAUUAUAAAUGAAUUGGUUUUUUUAAACGCUCUUAUUUUAUAUUGAUUUGUUUUCAUGGUAUAGCUAGAUAUUUCGAACCAUUUUAUAUAUAGAAUGAUUUUUUAUUUUGAAUAGUUUUAAGAAACAAUCCUUUAUAUUAACCUAAUACGUUAAGAAAAAUAAUUUUUUAAAAGAAAUAAAUGUUAGUAUCAAUUUCUUUAACCCUGGCUAUCCUUUAGCUUAACCUUUGAAUUGAUUAACAAAAUAGAAGGUGAGAUGUGCACAUCAAAACCAUCUCUUGCUGAUGAAAGAUUGUUGGGUCAGCAGCGACGAUAUUUACGAUGGUUGCAGCAAGUUUUCACUCCCCCAAGUCCACAUUUCCUCAUCUUAUUGGUCUAAAAAUGCAAGGACAAUUAAAUUAAAGCCUCACAUGUCUCACAUGUAAUUAUCUUAAUUAAAUUAACCCCCUCCCCCCACCUCUAUAUAUAUACUCGCUCAAUAUUUCCAUCGUCUCAUCGGAUCAAAGCAUACACAAAACCAUGGUGGAAACGGUAUGAUAUGUAUAUUUGUGUGUGUUAAUUUAUCUUUUAAUGCAUCCUCUUAAUUUGGCUUUUCUUCUUUUUACGUGGAGGUCCUAUAUAUGUUACGUACAAGUUCUUGAUAAUCUCUACAGCGAAUUCUUCCAUGUCAGAACAUGUUUUGAGUUCUUCAAAUCUUUCUGUCUAUAAAUUUAUCAUGACGACGUUUUUUAAUGUUUUCUAUUGGGAUUAAUCAUGGUGAGGUCCUAAAUGAAAUGCAUGCACUAACUACGUACUAUCGUUACAGCAAGUCACAAAGAUGGUGAUUAAGGUUGACCUUGGAUGCGAAAAAUGCCACAAGAAAAUCAAGAGAGUACUGUGUGCUAUCCCUCGUGAGUCUUUCUUUUUUCUCUUUAAAAACAGUACUGCUACGUUUGAGUUGUUUUUAUUACCAAAGGAAGUGACUAAGUUUUGUGGAUUGAUGAUGUUAAUUAAUGAACAAUAGAAAUCCAGAACCAGGCAUAUGACAAGAAGGAAAAUAAAGUGACAAUCACUGUGGUGUGUUGCUGUCCUGAAAAGAUCAAGAAAAAAAUAUACUGCAAAGGAGGUAAAGCUGUCAAGUGCAUUGAGAUCAUCAAACCGACUCCGAAACCACCACAGCCUAAAUCGGAUCCACAGCCACAGACACAGUCUAACCCGCCUCCACAGACACAGACACAGACACAGCCACAGCCUGACCCGCCUCCACAGACAAAGCCUGACCCGCCUCCACAGACAAAGCCUGACCCGCCUCCACAGACACCCCGAAGGACAUGUUGUGCUGAAUGCUACAAUGGGAUUAGUGGAGGCCCAUGUUAUCAAGCUUCUGGAAGGCCAACACGUCCAUGUGAUGUACCUUGUGGAAGGCCAACACGUCCAUGUUAUGUACCUUGUGGAAGGCCAGUGUGUGAUAUAUGGGCAGUUGGUGGCUGUAGUUGCCGAAGUAGGGGUUACUAUGUGUGUAGAUGUGAAUAUGUUUAUGAAGACUAUCCCCCGGCAUGCAAAAUCAUGUAAAGGGAAAUUAAGUUCAGAAGAUCGAUGGUUUGAGUCAACGUCCAGCAUCAACCGUUGGAUUCAAAUCCAGUGGUCAUGAUGCAUGGGCCUUUGUGUUGUUACAUGUUUGGUCAGGCAAAUAUGGGAGGCUUUACUACAUGUUUAUGCUAUCUUAUCUUUGUAUAGCACUCCUGGGAUUUUGUCCCUUUGAAUGUUUUCUUCCAAAGUGCUAUUAUAUUGAAGUACUUUUUUUUUUAAAUAAAAUUAUUCUUAAUAUAGAAUAUUAAAAUUAUCUGAAAAUACAUAAAAAGAUACAUAAAUUGAAAAUACAUAAAAUACAUAAAUUGCACUGCAUUGAUACUCGUGUUUAGACUCAAAAUAAUAAAAUAAAAACCUAAGUACCUCACUUCUAUAACUCCAUUAAACAGGGCCAAACUACCUAUCCAUCCAAAAUAUAAUAAAAUAAAACCCCCGGAUAGAUCUUAAUCAUUUUUCAAACAAAGUCUUCAAGGAGAAACUCUUUUCACUAUCUUUAAUUAAUCUUCAAGCCAAUCACGAAAAACAUUCAAGUUAGGGUUCCAAUUUGCUUCCCGAUGGACACAGUCAGUAAGCAACAUGUUUCGCGGUACGUCUAAACACUGGCUAUGGUAUUAUCCCCAUGCAAAUUUUGUUUAUUAAUUGAUAAUAUGUUUUUCAUUCCAUAAAACCUUAUGAAUAAACUCAUAUAAUUUAUAAUAUUUUACGCAGAGAGACCAUCCUCUGUGAUUAAACAAUUAGGUCAACAAGGUUGGUGAGAUGUAUAAAUAUUAUUGUAGGGUCACGUACGUAGUUACAAUUAUUGCAAAUAAAAGCAAAAGCUUCCAUUUUCCAAGGUGACGGUGGUGAUAGUGACGGUGGUGGUGCGUGCACCUCCGUUUCUUUCACUUUCAAUUGCUUUCUUCAAUCCUUGACCGUUUGAUUGCUUCUGUGGUGUAGACGUGAGCAUGCUUGUGUCCUGGAAAACAUGGUGCCACCCAGCCAUGCCUGAUGAUCCAAACGAGAUAAUGAAAUUUGGAUUAUUAUAUACUCUAUAAAUUAAUUAGGAUUGUACUUGGAGAGAAGAAUAAUCCCUUUAUCAGCAUACAUAAUAAUCGAAGACCAAUUUCCUUUUCAUUAUGUAUAUAUCUAGUUUUAUGUGAAGCCAUGUAAAGCUCUCUUAAUCUGGAGAUAUAUUAUCAUUGGUUGACGUUAUUUGACUCGUUUCUUUUCUAUCUCCUUUACACAUCAAUUAAUUGGUUGGGAUGACAGAAGAAGAAUGCUACCAUGGGAUAGGUUAGCGAGCUGUCAAUGAAAAUGUAAGGAAGCAAUGGAGAUUUUGAAGGGGUUAUUGUAAUCUCCAUUGACUUGUACGGAAGAAAUAGUUGUUAAUUAUACCCACUUAGUUGAUUCAUAAAAUUUAUGUCCUAAAAGGUUGCCAUAAUAUAUUGAUAUGACUAAACUCAAUUAAUCAGACUAAAUUUUUAAUUAUUUGAUUUACUUGGUCAAUUUCUAUCAAAACUUGAACGGGUUAACAUCAUUCUUUUAAAUAAUAAAACAAACAUGCUUUAAUAAUAAAAAAUCAGCUGCAAUUAACUUGAUUAUUUAAUUUUUACUUGGUUUUCACAUAAAAUAAUAAUAUUUUUUUCUUUUAAUAAGUGCAAUCUUGUAUAAAUUAUUUUUUCUUUAAUUUUAUUCAAUUAUUUUUGUGUUUGUGUCAAUUUCUAUUAUCGUUUGAUUAAAUAGAAGAUUAAGUUUAAUAAACAAAGUUAUUAAACGCAACCAGGUACAUGAUUCAUAUUGGUAGAUUAAAUAUUUUGAUCUAUAUCUAUCUUUUCAUUUCUCAAAUUUAGUCCUUAAUUAUUGUUAACGAUUUUAUUUAUUUAUUUAUUAGUACAAAUAAUUCUAAAUUUAUUUAAUUGAAUGUAUACAUAAGUUUUUUAUAUAUAAUAAGAAUUUUUAACAUUAAAAAAUAUAAUGAAAGAACUUGAUUAUUUAUUUAUUUAUUUUAUUAGAAAGAAUAAUAUCUAACCCACAACAAUGCACUUUCACGAUAGCUGUCGCGGGGGCGCGACGUCGUCUGGCGACGGCGGAGGCUCUUUGUCGUGCCUCCUGUGUGAGGUGUGUUGUGUGUUGGAAAGGGUUUUGGAUUUAAUCAUAAAAUUAUGAUUAGUGUAAGGAGUCACCACCUAGUACUAUGGUCACUAGGAACCUAUGGUCUGCGAGAGUCCGAGUAAGGGAUUGGUUAUGCAAGGGGGAAGACGCAUCACCCCUAGUGAACCCUACCUAAGGUAAGUUGCAUUGUUGUUUGAUUGUUUUUUUUCUAAGUAGGGUUGGUCUUUUCUAAGGUUCAAGGCAGAUCUCUCUUCAUGAGAGAAUCUCUAUCUUAUCGGGUUACAUCCUAACCAUUCUAAAUUUUGAAUUUUAGCAUCGCAUUUACACCUUGUAUCUUUAAUACCUGAGGGUGUAAUUUAUCGUGUAAUUUUACACCCCACAAAUAUUAAAGCCUACAUCUGGAUCUUAAAAAAAAGAUUGGACAAAUAUUUUUGACAUGGUGGCCAAAUCUUAAUGGAUAAUCAUAAACUGGUUAUGAUAUCCAUUUUUUGAUUUAAAAAAAAAAACAUGAAAAGAUGCAAUUUUUUUUCUUGUUUUUUUUUUUAUCAAAAAUAUGCUUGAAUAGGAUUUAGUCGUAUGCAACAAUAUAUAUAUAUAUAUUGAAAAUGUUUUGAUUUUUUUUUGAAAUAUUUCGGAGAAAAACGGGUAUUUUAAUACCGGAUUUGUAUUUUACAAUGUAAAUAUACAACCCGAUAUUAUGCAAAAUGGAUAGAAAAAUAUUUGAGAAAAUCACAAAUUUUUUAAAAUGAUUUUUGCAUUUUUUUUGGAUUUUUUUGUUUUUUGUUUUUUUUUUAAAUAAUAAUAUUAUAAUAUAUAUUAUAUUAUAUAAUAUAAAAUAUGUGUGCUGGGCCGGCCUAGCUAGCCGGGCCGAGCCCAGCCUACAAAAGGGUGGGCCGUUAUCGGUCCAUAAAUUUGGUCUGGGCCGAAUCAGGUCCAGCCCAUCUCCAUGUUAAUUAUUUCUGCAUAAACGUGUAACUGUUCACGUUUUGCAUGCAACCAAACGGUUGCAGAAGGUGUAGGUGGGCGGAGGAGAAGACUAUCAUCAGCGGUGGUCACAGAUGUGAUUAAAAGGUUGAGCUGAUGGCUCGGGCGGCGUCGCUGGGAGCAACGGUGGCCGGAGUCGAUCACGGGGAAGGAAGAAGGAUUCUGCAGAGGUGAGAGAGAGGAAAAAACGGUGACAGUUUCAGGUGUGGGGGGUGGUCGGCUUGUGGUUGGGAUAGACACCUGUGGUGGACAUGGUGGCGGAGAAGCUAUUUGUGGCUCUGUUUGGUGGCUGCGGCGGCGGAGAGAGAGACUGCAAAAACGGAGCAGUGGGGGGCUGGUUUUUUGUCAACUUUUGACUCGAUUUUCUCCUCCCUCAGGUCAUCAACAGAGCCUCUAUUUAUAGAAGGUGGAAGAGGGUAAUCUCGUCUACACCGAGGUAAAAUUUCAGCCAUUGAUUCAGUUGGGAAGGAUCCCAACUGUUGGCCCAAAGUAGGCAUCCUGAGUUGUCAAUUCUGCAGAAAAAGCUGCCUGAGUGGGCAUGUUUAGGCCGGCGCCGGCGUCGAUUUGCUGUCAUUUAGACUACAAGCUUCACAUGGGGGUGUAGAUUGACUGUAGAGGAUCAUUUUCGUGCAAGUUUGGUCAAAUUCCGUGCACGUUUGGUGCAUUAAAUGCACUUGAAAAGUAGGCGGACGGGCAGUUUCUUUCGGGUAAAAAAAAAGGACAACAAACAGUGACUAGACAACGCGUUGUCUGGUCUUCUCUUUUUUUUUUCUUUUUUUUUAACGCAAAACGGCGCCGUUUUAGGUUUAAAUUAGGGAUUUUUACUCAUUUUUAAUUUAGUCCCUGAUCUUUCAAUUUCUUUCAAUGGAACCCCUAAUUGACACAAAACUUUCGAUUUAAUGCAAUUAAACCCCUGAUGAACUUCAAUUGCAGUUUCGUAUUUACGUGCCUUUUGCAAUAUGGUCCUUGGUCUCAGAAUUUGUCAAUUUAACCCAUAAUUGACCAUUAUACUUUCAAUUUCUUCAAUCCCCCCCGGUUUUUGUCAAUUGAAACCCCAUAGUUUGUUGCCUGUUGCAGAUUGGUCCCUAUUCUCGGAUUUCUUAAAUUUAACCCUAAUUGACCCCAAAACUUCAAUUUUCUUUCAAUUUGGCCCCCAAUUUCAAUCAAUUAAUUUGGUAAAAUUAAAUUUGGUCUUUUAAAAUUCUAAUCUUCUCAAUUAAGCCCAAAUUAAGCUCUCAAACUUAAUUUUUCAUCAAUUAAGCCUCAAAUACAAUUAAUUUGACUAGUUUAAAGUAUAAUUAAGUGCUUGCACUUAAUUAAAUCUUUCAAUUGGACCCAAAUUAAUUCUUAAAAUUUAAUUUGGCUCAUGAUUAAAUCAAAUUGGCAUAUUAAAAUUUUAAUUAUGUCCUUGGACUUAAUUUUUCACUAAUUAAGCCCCAAAUAAAACUAAUUUGACCCAUUUAAAGUAUAAUUAAGUCCUUGCACUUAAUUAAAUCCUUUAAUUGAACCAAAAUUAAUUCUCAAACAUAAUUAAAAUUUAAUUUGGCCCAUGAUUAAAUGAAAUUGGCCUAUUAAAAAUUUAAUUAUGUUCUUGGACUUAAUGUUUAUGCAAAUUCAUCCAAUAAUCAUUUAAUUUGACCUUGAAUUUGCAUUGUUUUCUCUAUUGUUUGGGCAUAAUGGGGUACAAUUAGGCCUUGAAUUUUCCUCAAAAAUUACAGCUUGAUUUCCCGGCCUACUUUUUCCACUUUGCUAGCCUUUAUUUUAUUUCUUGAUUUUUAUCUUGAAAAAGAAGUUAUUUUUUGGGAAUAACCCAGAAUUGAGUUAUGACAGUUGCCCCUCUCUUUACAAUGCUUACGAUAGAAAAUCUCGUAAGAGACUUUAGAUAGUAAGCGUUGUAAAGAAGAAAAAGAAAGAAAAAGAAGAAUGAGAGAUGAUGGAAUGAUUAAUCCUUUUGAGGGCUAGAAAGCGCACUCAAGGUGAAAACUGGAAGAUUUAUCUUCUGAAAAUUCAGAGAUUUUGAAGUGGUCGAAUUAUCAUGGGUGACCUACUCAGAGAAAAUUGUAAUGGGUGACCUACCCAGGUGAAAAAUGCAAAGAUUUUUCAAAGUGGUCUUGUUGUAUUGGGCGACCUUCAAAGUGUUGAAAAAAACGAAGGUGAGAAAUGCAAAGAUUUUUCAAAGUGGUCUUGUUGUAAUAGGCGACCUGCCCAGGUGAAAAAUGCAAAGAUUUUUCAAAGUGAUCUUGUUGUAAUGGGCGACCUGUCCAAAUGAAAAACUCACAGAUUUUUUCUACGUGAUGAAAAAUGCAGAGAUUUUACAAAGUGGAGAAAAAUACAGAGAUUUUUCAAAGUGGUCUUGUUGUAAUGGGCGACCUAGCCAAAUGAAAAAUACAGAGAUUUUUCAAAGUGUUGAAGAAUACGAAGGUGAAAAAUGCAAAGAUUUUUCAAAGUGGUCUUGUUGUAAUGGGCGACCUGCCCAGGUGAAAAACUCAUAGAUUUUUUUCUACGUGAUGAAAAAUGCAGAGAUUUUUUGAAGUGGUGAAAAAUACAGAGAUUUUUCAAAGUGUUGAAGAAUACGAAGGUGAAAAAUGCAAAGAUUUUUCAAAGUGGUCUUGUUGUAAUGGGCGACCUGCCCAGGUGAAAAACUCAUAGAUUUUUUUCUACGUGAUGAAAAAUGCAGAGAUUUUUUGAAGUGGUGAAAAAUACAGAGAUUUUCCAAAGUGGUCUUGUUGUAAUAGGCGACCUAUCUAGGUCAAAAUUUUGAAGGAGGUGAAAAAUGCGAGAAUUUCUUAAAAUGGUUUCAUUGUAAUGGGCAAUCGGCCCAAAAUGAAAGAUUUUGAAGGUGGUGAGAAAUGCAAGGAUUCCUAAAAAAAAAUGGUUUCAUUGUAAUGGGCAACUGGCCUAAAUGGAAGAUGAAAAAAGUUUUCAAAAAGGUCUAAUUGUGAUGGGUGACCUACCCGGGUGAAAUGUCUUGAAGAGACGACAUGAUAGGGCUCGAAGGUGCACUAUUCAAGAGACGGAAACUCAAGGAAGCGUUCAAAAAAAGAUAGGACUCAAAGGGGAACGAGGGCUGAAAAGCGUUCUGGAAAGGGGGUAGGAUUAGAAAACGCAUUACGUUCAAAGGCGAACUUGAAAGGAGACAGGGUUAGAAAACGCACUACCUAUGAGGUGAGGGUUUGAAGGCGUACUUAAGAAGAGGUAGGGUUGGAAAACGCACUACCUAAAGUGGUUGAGGGCUCUAAGGAGCACUAAAAAAGAAGUAGGGUUAGAAAAUGCACUACCUAAAAUGGUUGAGGGCUCAAAGACGCACUCAAAAUGAGAUAGGGUUAGAAAAGACACUACCCAAAAGGUGAGGGCUCGAAGGCGCACUAAAAAAGAGGUAGGGUUGGAAAACGCACUACCUAAAGUGGUUGAAGGCUCUAAGGCGCAUUCAAAAUUAGAUAGGGUUAGAAAACACAUUACCCAAGAGGUGAGGGCAUGAAGACGCACUCAAAAAGAGGUAGGGUUGGAAAACGCACUACCUAAAGUGGUUAUGUAAACCCCAAGAAAAAUAAAUAAAUAAAAGUGAAGGAAUUCAUGGAUAUGGUUUAAAAAAAAAAUUAGGAAUUUAGAGAUUUUUGAAUAUGAAUUUCCAGGUGAAAUAAUUCGAGAUAUUAUAAUGAACUCGGUAUUGUUGAGGGUUAGAUUUAAUUGAAGAGAAAAAAAAAUAAAAUACACUUGAAGGAAAACGGGGGGUUAAAUGCAAAUAAGGAAAAAUAUAGAGUAUAAUUACUCUCUCCUCACCAAAACAAAAUCUGUAGGAACCAUAAGGAGAGAUGAUAGAGAGUUUUAUACCCAUUCUUGAAAAAUCAAGAGAGAAACACUAACAUUUCAAGAACCCAUCCAAGAUUUAGAGCUUAUAGAUGGGAUAAACACUUGAGAGCAAAGGAUUACCAAGAAAUUGAACAAGAAGAAAAGAAAGGAGGGAGUUGAAAAUCUUCAACUGGUUGAAGAUCAAGAUCUUAAUUUGUAUCGGGUAAGGUAUUCUAAACAUGAUCUAAAAAAAAAUCAUUUUAAAAUUCGAUAAAGAAUUGAUGCCUUGAUAUUGAAUCAUAGGUUAGGGUUCUUAGACAUAAAUUGGGGGGAAAGUACUUAUUAUUGAGAUUAAGUUAAUUUAUAUGUGUGGUAUGUAGUUUAUGAAAGUAUUGUGUGAAGGUGAGGGGGAGACAACUCUGGACAGACUUGUCUCCUGACUUUCGGUGAGAUUUUGGAUAGGAGGAUGAGGGAAUUAGGAUUGGAUUCCUUAUAGAAAUUAUAGAUUUGAAUGUUAGCUAACCAAGGAAACUGGUCUUGCUCAAUUUGGAGAUGUAGAACUCCAGUUAUGGGUUACCAACCGAAACUAAGUCGUGACUGAUUAUGUAGGGCAAUAGGAUUGAUUAGUUGAUAAACGAUUUUAACUAUCUUGGAGGCAGAACUAGGUUCUCCUUCCUCAGAGAAUUGGUAGCCUCAUGUCUUAGCUUUCUAACGAGAUAAAACUCACUUAAAAUGGAGUUUUAGAACUUUAGAUAUAGUUUAAAAUCUGAUGAGUGUUCGGACAGUAACAGUUCAAAGUUAGACAUUAACGGUUCAAAGUCAGACAGUAACAGUUGGAAAUUUAGACAGUAACAGUUCAAAAUUAGACAGUAAUGGUUCAAAAUUGGACAGUAACAAUUCAAAGUUAGACAGUAACGGUUUAAAGUCAGACAGUAACGGUUCAAAAUUGGACAGUAACAGUUCAAAGUUAGACAGUAACAGUUUAAAGUCAGACAGUAACAGUUGGAAAUUUGGACAGUAACAAUUCAAAAUUAGACAGUAACAGUUGGAAAUUGGACAGUAACAAUUCAAAGUCAGACAGUAACAGUUCAAAGUUAGACAGUAAUAGUUGGAAAUUGGACAGUAACAGUAGACUUUCAUGUGAAUGCUAUAAAUAAGAAUAUAAAAGAAUUGAGUCAUACGAACGCUUACACAUUGAGAUACUAAGUUUGAAAAUAUACAUGAUAUAUGUAUGUAUGUUUUUAUGAGGAAAUGAACAUGCAUAGAAAGUAACAUAUGAGUAAUGGAUGAAUAUGAAUUCUCUAUAAUAUCGGCUUGAAGGAAUCAUAACCAAAAAACUUCCUUGUGAUUCAGGAGGAGCAACCAUGAUUGGAUUUUCUGUUAGGGGAGGUCGCGAGACAGGCGAAGCAGAUGCGUGAUUUCCCUCCUAUUUGCACUUAUAUAAUCUAAAAUUUGUCUGGUGAAGUCAAUUACAAUAAAUAUCGUGUUCAAUGUAAAUAAAAAUAUAUCGUAAAUACAAGAAUAGCUUCGGCUAAUGGCAUCCGUGAUAGGAUUGCCGGGAGAUGACCCACAAGAUUAGUUUCGGCUAAUGGCAUCCGUGAUAUGAUUGCCGGGAUAUGAACCACAAGAUUUGCUUCGACUAAUGGCAUUCGUGAUAGGAUCGCCUGGAAAUGGAUUACAAGAUUUGACCUUGCAAGGUCACCCAGUUCAUGUAAGUAAAUAAGAUUGUUUGAUUAAGAAUAUACAAAUGAGUGUUAAUUGGGUUUAAAAGAUUUACAAGCAAAAUAUAAGUUCUCUGUUAGAAUUCUUAUGGUUCGAUAAAAAGUUAAUACUUCAUUUGUAUUUAUUACAUGAGCAUACAUAUAUUCCUUAUCAACAUAAUGGUAUAUUUAUUAUGUAACAGGUCCAUCAAACAUCCAAGAAGAUCAUUAGUUUAGGACUCUACUUUAUAAAGCUUAUGUAAAUAUUUAACUUAAACAAAAGGGAAUUAACGUGUUUAUGUAGUAUAUUUUUUUGUAAACCUUGAUGUAUUCAUAAAAGUUCAGCUUGGCAUUUAGUAUUUUAAUUAUCUUGUAACUAACCCUUUUGAAAUAUUUAGGAACACUUAUUAUGUUGUAAAUACUUUCUUUGUAUGUUAGUACUCCUUUUCUCUUAAAUUUUAUGAUAUGAUGUUUGGACUAUGUUCAUAUUGGUCUUACUCGUAGGAUAUAUAUAUUGUGUGGAAUUAUGAGGGUUGAUAUAAGGUCCGGAAUUAUGGGACCUUGUGAUGAUGGGUUGAUUAAGUAAAUUGAUAGUAGUCGAUAACUUGGGAUGUCCUAAAUGCAAAAGAAACUCUGCUGAAUUUUUGAAAAAAAAAAAUUACCCUCAAAUAAAGAGGAUAUGUUGUGAUCUUUUACAUUGAUUGAGUCCUAUAGUCGGACUGUUACAGGUUGAGGGCUCUAAGGUGCACUCAAAAUGAGAUAGGGUUAGAAAACACACUACCCAAAAGGUGAGGGCUCUAAGACACACUCAAAAUGAGAUAGGGUUAGAAAACACACUACCCAAAAGGUGAGGGCUCGAAGGCGCAUUAAAAAAGAGGUAGGGUUGGAAAACACACUACCUAAAAUGGUUGAGGGCUCUAAGGCGCACUCAAAAUGAGGUAGGGUUAGAAAAUGCACUACCUAAGGUGUUCGAGGGCUCAAAGGCGCACUCAAAAUGAGAUAGGGUUGAAAAACACACUACCUAAAAUGGUCGAGGGCUCAAAGGAGCACUCGAAAGGAGGUAGGGUUGGGAAAAAAACACUACCCAAAAGGUGGUCGACGGCUCAAAGGCGCACUCGAAAAGAGGUAAGGUUAGAAAACACAAUACCCGAGAGAUAAUAGCUCAGAGGCGCAUUCAAAAGGGAGAUAAGGCUAGAAAGCACACUAUAUAAAUGACAAGGGUUCAAUAGCCCCCUCAAAAAGAGGUGACGAUGAGACACCGAUAUAUCAGGGAUGAAAGAAAUGCAUCAUGAUCAAUAUGCAUGUAUACUUACCUGAGAAAUAUAGGUCCCCUUUUCUUCAUGGAGUUUCUCCCUUUUUCUCCAAAGUUUGAGUCUCUAAUAGUAAGCUUUGAUGGCUCUUUCUGCUCUUGCUUACUCGAGUUAUAUUUUGUAAUCUUGACCUCUAAGAGGGGUAUGACAUCAGCAUACUUCUUUGCCCAUAAACUUUUAUCUAAGGGAUUGCCAGCUUUGCACUAUAUCUCAUGUUUUCUUAGAAAGGGAAUCAUGGAGCCAGCCUUAUGUGUUUUGGUGGAUUGCCCCCCAGUUUGAUCAUGUCUCCAAGUGUUCAAUUUGGGUUUUUCUUGGGGAUGAAGCUAUGUGGAAGAAGAUUUUGUUAUUUACAAGGAGUUGUUUUCACAAAGAACUUUUGGAAUUUCAAAGUUAUUCCAAAAAAUCAUUUUGAUGUUUGUUCAAAACAAACUUGUUCUGAAAAAUUCAAGUGAUUCUCAUGGAUAGGUUUGCAUGAGUGUUUGAUUGGUCAAAAUGAGUUCAAGAUCCAAUCUGAGGGUUUCAAAGAACUAGUUUUCAAAACAUUCAUUUUGCUUGCAUGAAUAAUGACUUGUUUCACAUGGGAAAACAAAGUCUACCGAUCCAGAUUAACUGCCUUUGAUCAGAAAUGGCUUGAUUGGGCACGUAACGUAGGCUUUGGCUCUUGGCUAUGAAGAAAAAGAAUAUUUAUAGGCUCAAAAGGUGUUUAAGGGAUUUCAAGACUGAGGAUCACUAGUGCAGAUUGGUCCCUGGUCUCGGAUUUCUUCAAUUUAACCCCUAAUUGACCCCAAAACUUUAAUUUUCUUGCAAUUUGGCCCCCAAUUUCAAUCAAUUAACUUGGUAAAAAUUAAAUUUGGUCUUUUAAAAUUCCAAUCUUCUCAAUUAAGCCCAAAUUAAGCUCCCAAACUUAAUUUUUCACCAAUUAAGCCCCAAAUACAAUUAAUUUGACGAGUUUAAAGUAUAAUUAAGUGCUUGCACUUAAUUAAAUCCUUCAAUUAGACCCAACUUAAUUCUUAAAAUUUAAUUUGGCUCAUAAUUAAAUCAAAUUGGCAUAUUAAAAAUUUAAUUAUGUCUUUGGACUUAAUUUUUCACUAAUUAAGCCCCCAAAUAAAACUAAUUUGACCCAUUUAAAGUAUAAUUAAGUCCUUGCACUUAAUUAAAUCCUUUAAUUGAACCAAAAUUAAUUCUCAAACAUAAUUAAAAUUCAAUUUGGCCCAUGAUUAAAUUAAAUUGGCCUAUUAAAAAUUUAAUUAUGUUCUUGGACUUAAUGUUUAUGCAAAUUCAUCCAAUAAUCAUUUAAUUUGACCUUGAAUUUGUAUUGUUUUCUCCGUUUUGUUUAGGCAUAAUGGGGUACAAUUAGGCCUUGAAUUUUCCUCAAAAAUUAUAGCUUGAUUUCUCGGCCUACUUUCUCUACAUUGCCAGUUUUUAUUUUAUUUUUUGAUUUUUUAUGAAAAAAAAAUUAUUUUUAAAAAAUAACUUAGAAUUGGAUUAUAACACUAGCCGCAGGUAUAAACUGCAUAAGGUGUUGCUUGCAGCCCUGUUUUGCCAGUAGUCAUGGAGAAAACAUAUACAAUGGAUUUCAAAUUUGAUUGGUGUGAUUAUUACAUCACCUCCUUCUAAAAUUUGGCAGAUAGCGAUUGGCAGAUAGCCACCCCUUUAAUCUUUUGUAGCACCAUUCAUUUAUCAUCGUCGCUUAACCACUUCUGUCUCUUUCUCCUUUUCAAAUCAAUAUUAAUGCUCAAGAGGAUGUUUUUUAUUUUUAUUUUUAUACACACACACGUGUGUGUGUAUAUAAGAAACAAAUAUUAAAAAAAUCACAUUUAUAUAUUAAAAAUGUUGUUCCAUAGGAAUUCAAACCCAAUGAAUGAUGACUAUAACAUAACAGCGAAGGGUAAGGAAUUAGGGUUGUUUAAAACCGUUAUAGAAAUUGUAUUUUUUAAAAAAUUAUUUUUUUAUAUUUUUAAAUUGUUUUGAUGUAUUUAUAUCAAAAUAAUUUUUUUAAAAAUAUAUAUAAUUUUUUAUGUAUUUGCAAGCAAAAAAACAUUUUAAAUCACAAUCGCUAUUAUAUUUCUAAACACCCCAUUAAUAUUUUAUAAAACACUUGGGACACAUAUUCGUCAUGUGCUGGGUUUUUUUUAAAACAUUCCUAUUUUAUAUUGAUUUUUUUUCAUGGUAUAGAUAUUAAGAAUCAUUUUAUACAUGGAAUGAUUUUUUAUUUUGAAUAAUUUUAAGAAAGAAUACCUUAUAUUAACCUAAUACAUUAAGAAAAAUAUUUUUUCUUACUGUAUGAGGUUAACCUUUGAAUUGAUAAACAAAAUAGAAGGUGAGAUGUGCACAUCAAAACCAUCUCUUACGAUGUUUACGAUGGCUGCAUCAAGUUUCCACUCUCAUGUCCACAUUUCCUCUUCUUAUUGGUCUAAAAAUGAAAGGAUAAACUAAAUUAAGGCCUCACAUGUCUCCACCUGCUUAUGAUGUAACCAUGCAUUUAUCUUAAUUAAAUUAGGCCACCGCCCCCUCCCUCCCCACCUCUAUAUAUGCACUCUCAGUAUUUCCAUCGUCUCAUCGGAUCAAAGCAUACACAAAACCAUGGUAGAAACGGUAUGAUAUAUAUAUAUAUAUAUAUAUUUGUGUGUUUUUUAUCUUUUAAUUAAUCCUCUUAAUCUGGCUUUUCUUCUUUUUACGUGGAGGUCCUAUAUAUGUACAAGUUCUUGAUAUAUAAUCUCUACAGCGGAUUCUUUCAUGUCAGAACAUGUUUGGAGUUCAUCCAAUCUAUCUGUCUAUAAAUUUAUCAUGACGUUUUUUUAUGUUUUCGAUUGGGAUUAAUCAUGGUGAGGUCCUAUAUGAAAUGCAUGCACUAACUACUAUCGUUACAGCAAGUCACAACGAUGGUGAUUAAGGUUGACCUUGGAUGUGAAAAAUGCCACAAGAAAAUCAAGAAAGUGCUGUGUGGUAUUCCUCGUGAGUCUUUCUAUUUUCUCUUUAAGAACAGUGCUUGGUUUGAGUUGUUUUUAUUACCAAAGGAAGUGAAUAAGUCUUGUGGAUUUGAUGAUGUUAAUUAAUGAACAACAGAAAUCCAAAACCAGACAUAUGACAAGAAGGAAAACACAGUGACAAUCACUGUGGUGGUUGCUGUCCUGAAAAGAUCAAGAAAAAAAUAUACAGCAAAGGAGGUCGAACUGUCAAGUGCGUUGAGAUCAAGCCGCCUCCGAAGAAAAAACCAGAACCAGAAAAAAAACCAGAACAAAAACCAGAACCACCACCAUGCCCAUGUUGUGAAAAAUGCCGCCGAGGACCAUGUUGUCAUCACUUUUGUAUGCCAACAGUACCUCCAUAUUGUUAUGUACCUUGUAGAAGGUCAGAGUGUGAUCUAUGGGGAGAUGGAUGUUGUAGUUGCCGAAGUAGAGGUUACUAUGUGUGCAGAAGUGUAAAUGUUUACGAAGACUACCCCCCAACAUGCAAAAUCAUGUAAAGGGCAAUCAAGUUCGGAAGACCGAUGGUUUGAGUCAACGUCCAGCAUCGACCGUCGGAUUCAAAUCCAGUGGUCAUGUUUUGAUUAAAAAAAAAAAUCCAGUGGUCAUGAUGGACCUUCGUGUUGUUGUGUUUAUAAUAUCAUCCCUUUUGUGAUGUUGCUGUUGUUUUGACCUCUUUCAUCUAGCUAGAUGAUGCACGACUUUGUGCCUAGCUUGUAUUUUCAAGUCAAUGGUCACAGUUUUUCCAUUGUUAAAUGGCUUGUUUCAUGUUUGUUCAGUAAAUAUGUGGUACGACCUGUUUGUUUAUUGAAAAAUAAUUUAAUUUUAAAAAAUAUGAGAAAAUAAAUUAAUUUUUGAUAUUUAGUAGUGUAAUGAAAAAUAAGUUCGAAAAUAUUUUUCAGUAUUUGGUUAUGUCAUGGAAAUUAAAUGAACUGGAAAAUAACUUAUUAAUAUUUUAUUUUUUUCAAGUUUAUUAAAAUAAUGAGGAACAAAUCUUAUAAAUUGAAAAGUUGAUUGAGAAUCAAAUUGAAAAAAAAAUCAUAAAUUAUCUAAAAUAAAAUAAAUAAUAAUUAAAAUAAUAGAGAUCAAAUCUAAAAAAUAAAAAAUUUGAAAGAUGAAAAAAUUAAAAUAAUAGUAAUUAACAUUUCAUAAGUUAUUUCAAAUAAAAUAUGUAACCAUCAAAAGAAUAAGAAUCAAAUUUGAUAGAUAAAAAAAUUCAAUUAAAAAAUGAUAAAUGAAAAGAAAAAUAAAAUGAGGACCAAAGUUAAUAUAAAAUUUAAAUUCUAAAGGAUGAAAUUGAAAAACAAAUAUUCAAAACAAAAUAUAUAUAGCAAUCAAAAGUUUGGGGAUCAAGUUUGAUAUAAUUAGCAAAUAAUAUGACAUUUCUAAAGUUUUCACAAUUUUCGAAAAGUAUUUUCCGUCCAAAAUAAAAAGAAAACACUUUUCUGGAAACUAAGCCAAAUUUUUAUUUUAUUGGAAAAUGUUUUCUAUUAACUGGAAAGUAUUUUCUAUUGACUAAUUUUUCUAAUAAUAAAUAAAUACAAAAAAAUAUAAAAAAUAAUUUUCUAAAAAUCACUCUUUUAGAAACAAACACACCUAUCUUUGUUUUUUAUGCUAUCUUAUCCUUGUAUAGGCCUAGGAUUUUGUCCCUUUGGAUGUUUUCUUCCAAAGUGCUAUUAUCUGUUUAAAAAAACCCCUCUCCAUCUAUUCUCUCGUCAUUUGUUGCCGGAUGAAAUGCCCAGAAACAACACCAUUCGACCGUACUUCGUCAAUGAUAGUUUUCUUAUAAUAUUAUUUUUAUUUUAAAAUAUAUUGAAGUAAUGUUUUUUUUUAAAUAAAAUUAUUCUUGAUAUGAAAUCAUUAAAACUAUUUAAAAAUAUUGACUUGGCCAGUGACUAGACUGGGUUGGCUGGGUCUAGCUCAGCUCAUGUGGGCUGAGCUAGGCCUAGCCCCAAAAAAAAUAAAAAAAUAAAAAACAGAAAAAUAAAAAAGGUAGAAAAAAUAAAAAAAUAAAAAAUGUGUAUACAUGAAUAAAAAAUAAUGUAAAUUUAUUGGUUUAUUCACUGAUGCUAGAGUUAAGAAUAAAAAUAUCAGUUUUAAUUUAUAUUAUUUUUAUUCGUUGUAUUUUAUUUUAUUUAGCUAGAAAAAUAAAAAAUAUAUGCAUGCAUAAAAAUAAAUUUAUUUUUAUUUAUUUAUUCAUCGGCGCUAGAGUUGGGAAUAAAAAAUAUUGAUCUAAUUUAUUUUAUAGCUACGUGAUAUUUACCAACGCCAGAGAUGGAAGUAUCCGUAGUUGAAUAUUCACUGGCGCCAGAGUCAGGAAUAUUAUAAGCAAAUUAUCAUAGCAUAAACUAAUAAACAUUUAGCAAUUUAAGAUGAAACUAGCAAUGCAGCCUGCCUCAGGCAGGACGUUUAAGGAGUGAUAAUAUCUUCCCUUUUAUGUAACCAGUCCUGAACCAUAGAAUCUCUAUUGACCAGUUAGGAUUCCUAGUGACCAUAAUACUAGGUGGCGACUUCUUAAAUAAGACAAUUCCCCAUUAAAGAACAAGAUGCCAGAAAAUCCGUUCUUUCCAUGAAUAAUUUUUAAGGUCACCGCGAUGUCGGGUGCGACAUCUGUCACUCAUGACAUGUUGAAGAAUUGACCUACAUUUUUAUUGGGUCUUAGGGCUCACUAUUCUUAUGGCAGACUCUCAGUCAAAUUAGGAUGUUUGGCAUUGUCAGUUUCCUGAAUUAGAUUAGGAGAUCUUUUUUUUACUAACCCGAUUGCUGCUAGAUUUUGUUCUUCAAAACGAUUUUAUAUCACUUCAAAUCCUUUAUCAAAGUUGUAGUCCUUGAUGCGUAGAUGAAUUUGGGUUUUUGAAUAGCUUGAUUUCGAUAUCAGAAGCUCAAGAUAUUCCCGUUUGAAUAUCUAAACAUGAAAGUAGAGAAUUUUGCCGCGAGAAGGAUUCUGACCUGAGUUUCCAGGUUUGAUUCGAGGGACCUAAUUGCAAGAAUCUUAAAGUUUGAAGGCCAAUUGUGGGCCAAUGUAAAGGACUUUUUUCGGACUGGGAUUGAAUUAAAAAAAUACUAAAAUAAGGGAGUUGAUUGAACGUCUAAAUUGGUUUUUUUGGACCAAUAUUAAAUUGGUUUUUUUAAUAUAUUUAGAUGAAUUUAAUACUUUGAUGUCAAAAAAAAAAUCAAAACAAAUUUAUUAUAAUGUAUUUUUAAACUAAAAACACUCUUAAAACACAAUGAAUCGCAAUAACAAACAUUACUCCGAGGAUGUUUGUGAGUAUAAUAGUGGUUAUUUUUUAAUGUUCUUUUUAUUUAAGAAUAUAUCAAAAUAAUAUAUUUUUAUUUUAUUUUUAAAAAUUUAUUAUUCAUAUCAGCACAACACAUAAAAUAAUAUAUAUAUAUAUAUAUAUAUAUUAAUUUUAAACAAAAAAUAGUUUUUGGUACCGAAAAAUGUCUUCCAUGACCCGUGGUGGCAUAAAUUUCAAAGUAAAAUCACCUUCUUCUUUUUUUUCUUUUUUAGUUCCACGACACUGUAAAUUGACAAUAAUAGGAUAGGACGCUGGAUUGAUUGGAUAAUUUCUUUUGUAGUUUUGCACUUAUGGACAAUUUCUGGACCCCAUAAUUUUUUUUGUUAACUUCUCUCCCUUGUGCCCACACAUAGCAAUUGGCAGAUAGCCACCCCUUUAGUCUUUUGUAGCACCAAUUGCAAUUAGCAUCGUCGCCUAACCCCUUCAGUCUCUUUCUCCUUUUCAAAUCGAUAUAAAUGCUCAGGAGGAUUUUUUUUUUUCAUAUAUAUAUAAUUGUGUUUAAGUUGGAAAGAUGGUAAUUUAAUAUUUUUAAUUUAUUUUAAUAUUUUGAUAUGUUAAUAUCACCAAUAAAAAAAAUUAUUAGUUUAAUAUUUUUUAAAAUAUAUAUAUUUUUUAAAAAAACAUCACAGGAAAUAUUAAAAAAAUAACAAUUAUAUAUAAAAAAUCAUAAUUUAAAACUUUUUCUUUAUAUUUUGUUAAAAAUUAUUUUUUAAAAUAUUUUCAGAUCGUUCUGAUGUAUUGAUAUUAAAAUAAUUUUUAAAAUUUUUAAAAAAUAUUAUUUUAAUAUAAUUUAAAAAAAAAAAAACACUUUAAAUUACAACCAUUACAAUAUUUUUAAAUACCUCAUUAAUAUUUUAUAAAGCACUUGGGGCACAUGCCAGUGGGCGUGCAUGGAGCGUAAUUGAACAUCACCAAACUAAUGUGCCUUAGGAUAGAUACAAUUCAACCUUUAUAUUAGCGUUGUUCAUAAAUAUGAUUCGGUGAAGUAACACAAUUUUAAUAUUUUGUAAAUUUCACUUAUUUAAUUUUUAUUUAUAUCCAAUCGAGUCAUAAGAUAUAUGUUAAAUAUUUUAUGAAUAUUAUAUAUAUUUACAAAUUAAGUUUAUGUUGUUAAUUUUUAUAAAUUAAGUUUAAUUAAUGCUCAAUAAAUUAGCUUAAAUUUUUUUUAUAAGUUUUAACAAAUAAUUUAGACUUAAUACAUUAACUAAAUUAAUUAACUAAAAUAAAAGAAUCAAUUGCAAAAAAAUAAAAAUAAAUACAAGACAUAUAACCAACAAAUAUUUAAGUUUUUUGUUAUAGGAUAUAUACAUGCUAGGUUGAGUUUUCUCACUUUGUAAUAUUUAAUUUUUAGAUUUUUUAACUAGUUAUCGUUUAUAAUAUCUACAUAAUCUGAUCUUAACGGGUUGGGUCAAAUUAGAUAAUACAAAUAUUAUAAAUAGGUUAGUUUUUUAAAACCACUCUAUUUUAUAUUAAUUUUUUUUCCUAGUAUUUUCAAGUCAAUGGUCACAUUUUUUCCAUUGUUGUUGGCUUGUUACAGGUUUGGUCAGCAAAUAUGGGAGGCUUUACUACCUACUCUUUGUUUUUUUAUGCUAUCUUAUCCUUGUAUAGUACUCGGAUUUUGUCCCUUUGAAUGUUUUCUUCCAAAGUGCUUUUAUUUGUUUCAAAAAACCCCUUUCUAUCUAUUCUCUCGUCAUUUUUUACCUGAUGAAAUGCCCAGAAACAUCAUUCGACCGCAAUUUGUUAAUGGUAGUUUUCUUAUAAUUUUUUUUUUUGGAAUAAUUUUUUUUAAAAAACAAUUAUUUUUAAUAUUAACAUAUUAAAAUUAUAUGAAAAUUCAACCAUACUUUAUCCCUCAAUAUUUUUGUUUAUAUUUAUUGAUCUUCUGAUAAUGAGUCACCUUAGCUAUCCAUCCAAAAUAUAAUAAAAUAAAAACCGCAAAUAGAUCUUAAUGAUUUUUCAAACAAAGUCUUCAAGCCAACCACGAAAAACAUUCAAGUUGGGGUUUCAAUUUGCUUCCCGGUGAACACAGUCAGUAAGCAACAUGUUUUACGGGACGUCUAAGGACUGGCUAUGGUAUUAUCCAUAUAAUUUUGCAAAUUUUGAAAAACAUGUUUUGCAAAUUUUGUUAAUUAAUUGAUAAUAUAUUUUUCAUUCAAUAAAACCUUAUGAAUAAACUCAUAUAAUUUAUAAGAUUUUACGCAGGGAGACCAUCCUCUGUGAUUAAACAGUAAGGUCAAGAAGCUUGGUGAGAUAUAUAAUAAAUAUUGUUGUAGGGUCACGUACGUAGUUACACUAUUGCAAAUAAAAGCAAAAGGUUCCAUUUUCCAAGGUGAUGGUGAUGGUGCUGGUGCGUGCACCUCCGUUUCUUUCACUUUCAUGCUGUGUUUAUUUCUUGAAAAAUUAUUUUUAAGAAAUUAUUUUUAUGUUUUUUUAUUAUUAAAAAAAUUGGUUAACAAAAAAUAAUUUUCGAUCAACGAAAAAUACUUUUCAGUCAAAGAAAAAUUUAGCUUGGUUUUUAGGAAAGUGUUUUUCUUUUAUUUUGGAAGAAAAACACUUUUCAGAAAUUAUGAAAAAUUUAAAAAUAUCAUAUUAUUUGCUGAUUAUAUCAAAUUUGAUCCUCAAAUUUUUUAUUUUUAUAUAUAUAUUUUAUUUUGAAUAUUUGUUUUUCAAUUUCAUCAUUUAGAAUUUAAUUUUUAUAUUAACUUUGAUCCUAAUUUUUAUAAUUGUUAUUUGCUUUUUCCUUAUCAUUUUUUAAUUGAAUUUUUUUAUCUAUCAAAUUUGAUCCUCAUUCUUUUGAUUGUUAUUUAUUUUAUUUGAAACAAAUUUAUAAAUAAUAAUUAUUAUUAUUUUAAUUUCUUCAUCUUUCAAUUUUCUUAUUUUUUAGAUUUGAUUUCUAUUAUUUUAAUUAUUAUUUAUUUUAUUUGAGAUAAUUUAUGAAAUUAUAUAUAUAUUUUAAAUUUCAUUAUCAUUUAACUUUUUAAUUUGUAAGAUUUGUUCCUUAUUAUUUUAAUAAACUUGAAAAAAAUAAAAAAUUAAUAAGUUUUUUUCCAUCUUAUUUUUUUAUGACAUUAUCAAAUACUGAAAAGUAUUUUUUAACUUAUUUUUUAUUAUAUUAUCAAACAUUAAAAAAUAAUUUACUUUCUUAGAAUUUACUUUUCAAAAAAAUUUUAUUUUUCAGCAAAUAAACAGGGACUCAAUUGCUUUCUUCAAUCCUUGAUCGUUUGAUUGCUUCCGUAGUGUACACGUGAGCAUGCUUGUUUCCUGGAAAAAAUGGUGCAAGCUCAGCCAUGCCUCAUGAUCCAAACGAGAUAAUGCAAUUUUGAUUAUUAUAUAUUCUAUAAAUUAAUUAGGAUUGUACUUGGAGAGAAGAGUUAGUAAUCCCUUUAUCAGCAUACAUAAUAAUCGAAGACCAAUUUCCUUUUCAUGAUGUAUAGUUUUAUAUGAGGCCAUGUAAAGCUCUCUUAAUCUGGAGAUAUAUUAUCAUUGGUUGACGUUAUUUGACUCGUUUCCUCCUUUACACAUUAAUUAAUUGGUGGGGAUGACAGGAGAAGAAUGCUACCAUGGGAUAUGUUAGCGAGCUGUCAAUGAAAAUGUAAGGAAGCAAUGGAGAUUUUAAUUUGAAGGCGUUAUGAAAAUCUCCAUUGACUUGUACAGUAGUAAUAGUUAAAAUGUUUUACUUAAAAAGUUAACUUUUAAAUUUCAAGUUGAAAAAAAAUAUAUUGAUAUGACUAAAUUUGAUUAAUCAAACUAAAUUUUUAAUUAUUUGAUUUAUUCGAUCAAUUUCUAUCAAAACUUGACCUGGUUAACAUUAUUGUUUUAAAUAAUAAAACAACACGCUUUAAUAAUAAAAAAAUCAGCCGCAAUUAACUCGAUUAAUUAAUUUGUACUUAGUUUUCACAUAAAAUUAUAAUUUUUUUCUUUUAAUAGGAGCAAUUGUGUAUAAAUUAUUUUUUAAAAUUUUUAUUUAAUUAUUUUUGUGUGUGUCAAUUUCUAUUAUCGUUUGAUUAAAUAGAAUAUUAAGUCUAAUAAACAAAUUCAUUAAACACAACCAAGUACAUGGUUCAUGUUACUAGAUUAAAUAUUUUGAUCUAUAUUUAUCUUUUGAUUUCUCAAAUUUAAUCCUUAAUUAUUGUUAAUGAUUUGCUUUUUUAUUUAUUAGUACAAAUAAUUCUAAAUUUAUUUAAUUAAAUGUAUACAUAAGUUUUUUUUAUAUAAUAAGAAUUUUUAACAUUAAUAAAAUAUAAUAAAAGAACUUGAUUAUUUAUUUAUUUAUUUUAUUAGAAAGAAUAAUAUCUAACCCACAAUAAAGCACUUGCCCGAUAGCCGCGGGUAUAAACUGCAUAAGGUGGUGGUUCAGCCCUGUUUUGCCAGUAGUCAUGGAGAAAACAUAGACAAUGGAUUUCAAAAUUGAUUGGUGUGAUUAUUACAUCACCUCCUUCUAAAAUUUGGCAGAUAGCGAUUGGCAGAUAGCCACCCCUUUAAUCUUUUGUAGCACCAUUCAUUUAUCAUCGUCGCUUAACCACUUGUGUCUCUUUCUUCUUUUCAAAUCAAUAUAAAUGCUCAAGAGGAUGUUUUUUAUUUUUAUUUUUUCACACACACACAUAUAUAUAUAUAUAUAUAUAUAUAUUUGUGUUUAAGUGGGAAAGAUAUUAAUUUAAUAUUUUUAAUUUAUUUUAAUAUUUUGAUGUGUUGAUAUUAAAAAUAAAAAAAAAUAUUUUUUAAUAUAUUUUUUUAAGAAUAUAUAUAUAUAUAUAUAUUUAAAAGGAAAAAAUAUUAAAAAAAUCACAUUUAUAUAUUAAAAAUGUUGUUCCAUAGGAAUUCAAACCCAAUGAAUGAUGACUAUAACAUAACAGAGAAGGGUAAGGAAUUAGGGUUGUUUAAAAACGUUAUAGGAAUUGUGUUUUAUUUAAAAUUAUUUUUUUAUAUUUUUAGAUUGUUUUGAUGUAUUAAUGUUAAAAUAAUUUUUUUAAAAAAAUAUUAUUUUAAUUUAUUUCAAGUAAAAAACAUUUUAAAUCACAAUUGCUACCAUAUUUCUAAAUACUACAUUAAUAUUUUAUAAAACACUUGUGACACAUGCCAUGUGCUGGGGUUUUUUUAAAACAUCCCUAUUUUCUAUUGAUUUUUUUUCAUGGUAUAGAUAUUAAGAAUCAUUUUAUACAUAGAAUGAUUUUUUAUUUUGAAUAAUUUUAAGAAAGAAUCCUUUAUAUUAACCUAAUACAUUAAGAAAAAUAUUUUUUCUUAAUGUACGAGGUUAACCUUUGAAUUGAUUAACAAAAUAGAAGGUGAGAUGUGCACAUCAAAACCAUCUCUACCAUCUCUUGCUGAUGAAAGAAAAAAAAAAAAAAAGAUUGUUGGGUCAGCAGCUACGAUGUUUACGAUGGCUACAUCAAGUUUCCACUCUCAUGUCCACAUUUCCUCAUCUUAUUGGUCUAAAAAUGAAAGGACAAACUAAAUUAAGGCCUCACAUGCAUUUUAUCUUAAUUAAAUUAGGCCGCCGCCCCCACCUCUAUAUAUGUCCUCUCCAUAUUUCCAUCGUCUCAUCGGAUCAAAGCAUACAGAAAACCAUGGUAGAAACGGUAUGAUAUAUAUAUUUGUGUGUGUUAUUUUAUCUUUCAAUGCAUCCUCUUAAUUUGGCUUUUCUUCUUUUUACGUGGAGGUCCUAUAUAUGUUACGUACAAGUUCUUGAUAUAUAAUCUCUACAGCGGAUUCUUCCAUGCCAGAACAUGUUUUGAGUUCUUCCAAUCUUUCUGUCUAUAAAUUUAUCAUGACGACGUUUUUUUAUGUUUUCUAUUGGGAUUAAUCAUGGUGAGGUCCUUUAUGAAAUGCAUGCACUAACUAGUACUGUUACAGCAAGUCACAACGAUGGUGAUUAAGGUUGACCUUGGAUGCGAAAAAUGCCACAAGAAAAUCAAGAAAGUGCUGUGUGGUAUUCCUCGUGAGUCUUUCUAUUUUCUCUUUAAGAGCAGUGCUUGGUUUGAGUUGUUUUUAUUACCAAAGGAAGUGACUAAGUCUUGUGGAUUUGAUGAUGUUAAUUAAUGAACAAUAGAAAUCCAAAACCAGACAUAUGACAAGAAGGAAAACACAGUGACAAUCACUGUGGUGGGUUGCUGUCCUGAAAAGAUCAAGAAAAAAAUAUACAGCAAAGGAGGUCGAACUGUCAAGUGCGUUGAGAUCAAGCCGCCUCCGAAGGAAAAACCAGAACCAGAAAAAAAACCAGAAAAAAAACCAGAACCACCACCAUGCACAUGUUGUGAAAAAUGCCGCCGAGGACCAUGUUGUCAUCACUUUUGUAUGCCAACAGUACCUCCAUAUUGUUAUGUACCUUGUAGAAGGUCAGCGUGUGAUAUAUGGGGAGAUGGAUGUUGUAGUUGCCGAAGUAGAGGUUACUAUGUGUGCAGAAGUGUAUAUGUUUGUGAAGAGUACUAUCCCUCGGCGCCAUGCACAAUCAUGUAAAGGGAAAUCAAGUUCAGAAGACCGAUGGUUUGAGUCAACGCCCAGCAUCUAUCAUUGGAUUCAAAUCCAGUGGUCAUGAUGCAUGGGCCUUUGUGCUGCUGUUGUGUUUAUAAUAACAUAUCCCUUUUGUGAUGAUGGACGACUUUGUGCCUAGCUAGUAUUUUCAAGUCAAUGGUCAUUGUUUUUUCCAUUGUUAAACGGCUUGUUGCAUGUUUGGCUUCAAGUCAAAGUUACAAUUAUUGCAAAUAAAAGCAAAAGGUUCCAUUUUCCAAGGUGACGGUGAUGGUGAUGGUGAUGGUGCUGGUGCUGGUGCGUGCACCUCCGUUUCUUUCACUUUUAAUUGCUUUCUUCAAUCCUUGAUCGUUUGAUUGCUUCUGUGGUGUAAACGUGAGCAUGCUUGUUUCCUGGAAAAAAUGGUGCAAGCUCAGCCAUGCCUCAUGAUCCAUACGAGAUAAUGAAAUUUGGAUUACUCGGUAAAUUGCUAUUAAAACUUAACGGGUUAACAUCAUUGUUUUAAAUAAUAAAAUGACACGCUUUAAUAAUAAUAAAAAAUCAACCGCAAUUAACUUAAUUAUUUAGUUUUUAGUUGUUUUUUUCCAUAAAAUGAUAGUAUUUUUUUAUAUAAUUUAUGCAACCCUAUAUAAUUUUUAUUUUUUUUUAUUUAAUUAUUUUAAUGUGUGUUAAUUUUUAUUAUUGUUUAAUUAAAUAAAAAAUUAAGUCUAAUAAACAAAGUUUUAAAAAACAACAAGGUACAUGAUUCAUGCUAUUAUAUUAAAUAUUUUAAUUUACAUUUAUCUCUUAAUUUUUCAAGUUAGUUUUUAGUUAUUUUUAACGAUUUUUUUUAUUAGUACAAAUAAUUCUCAAUUUAUUUAAUUGAAUGUAUACAUAGUUUUAUAUAUAUAUAUAUAUAAUCAGAAUUUAUUACAUUAAAAAAUAUUUAUAUAUUUAUUUUUUUUACUAAAAAAAAUAAUAUCUGAGCGACGAUAAAGUGGUAGCCGGUAUAAACUGCAUAAGGUAGCAUACUUGCAGCCCUGUUUUAGCCUCUGGACUUCUAGGCAGUCGUGGUCUAGCCAUGGAAGAGAUGGGCUAAUUAAUACGCCCUUUAAAACAUGGCUUUAGAGGGCAUCGGUCCAUGGCUUUCCUUGGAUUCUCUACUUUCAUGACCUGUAGAGUCAUCGCCCAACAUCAACCGUUGGAUGCAAAUCCAGUGGUCAUGAUGGACCUUAGUACUGUUGCUAGUAUUUUCAAGUCAAUGUUGAUGGCUUCUUACGUGUAUAUUAAUUAAAAAAUAUAUAUAUAUAUAAUUGUGUUUAAGUGGGAAAGAUAUUAAUUUAAUAUUUUUAAUUUAUUUUAAUAUUUUGAUGUGUUGAUAUUAAAAAUAAAAAAAAAUAUUUUUUUAAUACAAUUUUUUAAGAAUAUAUAUAUAUAGAAGGUGAGAUGUGCACAUCAAAACCAUCUCUUGCUGAUGAAAGUUUGUUGGGUCAGCAGCUACGAUGUUUACGAUGGCUGCAUCAAGUUUCCACUCUCAUGUCCACAUUUCCUCAUCUUAUUGGUCUAAAAAUGAACGGACAAACUAAAUUAAGGCCUCACAUGUCUCCACCUGCUUAUGAUGUCACCAUGCAUUUAUCUUAAUUAAAUUAGGCCACCGCCCCCUCCCUCUCCCACCACUAUAUAUGUAUAUGUACUCUUAAUAUUUCCAUCGUCUCAUCGGAUCAAAGCAUACACAAAACCAUGGUAGAAACGGUAUGAUAUAUAUAUUUGUGUGUGUUGAUUUUAUCUUUUAAUGCAUCCUCUUUGGCUUUUCUUCUUUUUACGUGGAGGUCCUAUAUAUGUACAACUUCUUGAUAUAUAAUCUCUACAGCGGAUUCUUUCAUGUCAGAACAUGUUUGGAGUUCAUCCAAUCUUUCUGUCUAUAAAUUUAUCAUGACGACGUUUUUUUAUGUUUUCUAUUGGGAUUAAUCAUGGUGAGGUCCUUUAUGAAAUGCAUGCACUAAUUAACUACUAUCGUUACAGAAAGUCACAACGAUGGUGAUUAAGGUUGACCUUGGAUGCGAAAAAUGCCACAAGAAAAUCAAGAAAGUGCUGUGUGCUAUUCCUCGUGAGUCUUUCUAUUUUAUCUUUAAGAACAGUGCUAGGUUUGAGUUGUGUUUAUUACCAAAGGAAGUGACUAAGUCUUGUGGAUUUGAUGAUGUUAAUUAAUGAACAAUAGAAAUCCAGAACCAGACAUAUGACCAGAAGAAAAAUACAGUGACAAUCACUGUGGUGGGUUCCUGUCCUGAAAAGAUCAAGAAAAAAAUAUACUGCAAAGGAGGUGAAUGUGUCAAGUGCAUUGAGAUCAUCAAGCCGCCUCCGAAGGAUGACCCUCCAAAGACACAGACACAGCCACAGCCACAGCCACAGCCACAGCCACAGACACAGCCUAAACCGCCUCCAAAGACACAGCCUAAACCGCAUAAUGAGUGCCCAACACCCCGAAGGACAUGUUGUGCUGAAUGCUCCCAAGGGAUUAGUGGAGGACCAUGUUAUCAAGACUUUUGUAUACCAACACGUCCAUGUUAUGUACCAGUGUGUGAUAUAUGGGCAGUUGGUGGCUGUAGUUGCCGAAGUAGGGGUUACUAUGUGUGUAGAUGUGAAUAUUUUUAUGAAGACUAUUCCCCGGCAUGCAAAAUCAUGUAAAGGGAAAGUUCAGAAGACCGAUGGUUUGAGUCAACGUCCACCAUCAACCGUUGGAUUCGAAUCCAGUGGUCAUGAUGGGCCUUUGUGUUGUUCUGUUUGUAAUAUCAGCCCUUUUGUGAUGAUGCACGACUUUGUGCCUAGCUAGUAUGUUCAAGUCAAUGACCACAGUUUUUCCAUUGUUGAUGGCUUCUUCCAUGUUUGGCUUCAAGUCAAAGUUACAAUUAUUGCAAAUAAAAGCAAAAGGUUUUAUUUUCCAAGGUGACGGUGAUGGUGAUGGUGAUGGUGAUGGUGCUGGUGCUGGUGCGUGCACCUCCGUUUCUUUCACUUUCAAUUGCUUUCUUCAAUCCUUGAUCGUUUGAUUGCUUCUGUGGUGUAAACGUGAGCUCAGCCAAGCCUCAUGAUCCAUACGAGAUGAUGAAAUUUGGAUUAUUAUAUAUUCUAUAAAGUAGGAUUGUACGUACUUGGAGAGAAGAAUUUAUAAUCCCUUUAUCAACUUCCUUUUCAUGAUGUAUACAUAGUUUUAUAUGAAGCCAUGUAAGGCUCUCUUAAUCUGGAGAUAUAUUAUCAUUGGUUGACUUUGUUUGACUCGUUUCUUUUCUAUCCUCCUUUACACAUUAAUUAAUUGGCGGGGAUGACAGAAGAAGAAUGCUGCCAUGGGAUAGGUUAGCGAGCUGUCAAUGAAAAUGCAAGGAAGCGAUGGAAAUCUCCAUUGACUUGUACAGUAGUAAUAGCCCUGUUGGUUGAUUCAUAAAAUUUGAGACCUAAAAGGUUAACCCGGAUUAAGUUUCAAGUUGAAAAAUAAAAAAAUGAUAGGACUAAACUUGAUUUCAGAUUAAAUUUUAAAUUAUUUGAUUUACUUGUAAAUUUCUAUCAAAAGUUAACCGGGUUAACAUCAUUGUUUUAAUAAUAAAACGACAGGCUUUAAUAAUAAUAAAAAAUCAACCGCAAUUAAAUUACUUAUUUAGUUUUUAGUUGGUUUUUAAUGAUAAUAUUUUUAUAUAUAAUUUAUGCAACCCUAUAUCAAUUUUAUUUAUUAUUUUAUUCAAUCAUUUUAAUGUGUGUUAAUUUCUAUUAUUAUUUAACUAAAUAGAAGAUUAAGUCUAAUGAACAAAGUUAUAAACACAACCAGGUAUAUGUUUCAUUCUACUAGAUUAAAUAUUUUAAUUUACAUCUAUCUCUUAAAUUUUCAAGUCUAGUCUUUGGUUAUUGUUAAUGAUUUUUUUUAUUGGUACAAAUAAUUCUCAAUUUAUUUAAUUAAAUGUAUACAUAGUUUUAUUUAUUUAUUUAUAAUCAGAAUUUCUUACAUUAAAAAAUAUAAUAAAAAACCUAUAUAUUUAUUUUUUGUACUAAAAAAAAUAAUAUCUACCCACGACAAAGUGGUAGCUGGAAUAAACUGCAUAAGGUACCUUACUUGCAGCCCUGUUUUAGCCUCUGGGCUUUGAGGCAGUCGUGGUCUAGCCAUGGAAGAGAUGGGCUAAGCUCAAUAUUAAUGAAACCCAGCAUAGAUAAUGGAUCGGUCCAUGGCUUUCCUUGGAUUCUCUAAUUUCAUGACCUGUAGAGUCAUCGCCCAACAUCAACCGUUGGAUGCAAAUCCAGUGGUCAUGAUGGACCUUAGUACUGUUUCUGUGUUUAUAAUAUCAUCCCUUUUGUGAUGAUGCUGCUGCUGUUUUGACCUCUUUCGUCUAGACUCUAGAUGAUGCACGCCUUAAUUUGUUUAGUCAAUGUUGAUGGCUUGUUUGGUCGACAAAUACGGGGAGUUUUACUACCUCCUCUUGUUUUUUAUGCUCAAAGUCCUCGGAUUUUGUCCUUUUGAAUGUUUUCUUCCAAAGUGCUAGAGCUUCGGCAAUGGUGGUUUUUUUAUAAUACUUUUUUAAAAUAUAUUUAAGUAAUAAAUUUCUUUAAAAUAUAUAUAUUUUUUUAACAACAAACAUAAAAAAGAAACUAUAUUGUUGAAAUAUAUUAGAAUAAAUUUUUUAUUUUUUUAUUUUUUAAAUUUUAUUUUUUACUCGUAAAUAUCAAAAUAAUUUAAAAAUAUAUAAAAUAAAAUUUUAAAUUUAAUUUUUUUAAAAUACAGUUUAAGAUAAUGUAAAAUUUGAAGGGGUGUAGCUUAUUUGGUAGUCUCUAGUUUUUUUUUAUAAAUUAUUACAAAUUUUAAAAUUAUUAAAAAUUUAUUUAAUUAUUAAUUUUAAGAUCGGUAAAUGAAAUGAAUAGUGAGUGCACACCGACAUUAAUUAUUUGAACUAGAAGAAGAAGAAAGUUGGCGGACGCAACUUCAGGACCCCCAAUUUGUCAGCUUUCUUCUCGAUGUCCACACAUAGGGAUGAGGAGGUAGCCAUCCCUAAUGUAUCAUUAGAGAACGUGAAUCAUUGGCUUUCUUUCUCAUUUUCAUAUCUUUAUAAAUAUAUAGAUGUUUGUCGUUUGGGGUGAUGAUAGGAAUUGGUAAUAUUUUAUUAGUUAUUUUAUAAGAUUUAAUUUUUUAAAAAAUAUAAAUAAAAAAGAGAAUAAUAAAAAUAUCUCAACUUAUUAUUUCCCUUGUAUUAUCUUUUUUUUAUAUAUAUAAAGUAAAUCAACUAAUUACUUUGCUCUAUAAAUUCAAGUUUUGAAACAGAGGAGUUCGUUAGAAUUAGGACACUUAAAAUUAUGUGUUAGUGUAGGGCGGAGGAUAAAAAUAAGAAUAUAGAAUAAAAAGUUUUUUUGUAAUAAUUUUAAAAUAAUUUUAUAUACUUUUAAAAUAAUAAAUACAAUGAUCCAAGUUUUCUAUGCCUCCUCAGUGUAUUUUUAUUAUCUUUACUCUUUUAUUUUUAUCAGGAAACAACGAUCAAACACCGGCUAAAUUCCUUUAAACAUGAGACAUGGAAAUAUUAAUUGAAGAUUUUUAAUUUUAUGUGGGGAAUUUUUUGGGGACACGUGUACGGUUGUCAUGGGGGUUGCAUGGCUCAUUUAUGGACUUGACUAAACUAAUGCACCGUCGGAUGCACUACAACCUUCGACAUGAUUAACAAAAUUGAAGGUGAGAUGUGUCCAUCAAGGCCAGCACAUGCAUGUGCAGGUUUGGACUUUGGAGGGUCAGCAAUAAAAAAUGCAACGACAAUAUUACGGCAGGCUACACACCUAAUGCCACGUGUUCUCUUCUUAUUGACCUCUAGAUGCACGGUAUUUAAACCAUGGUCUCACACUUCUUCCACUUAAGCUGUGACUUGUGAUCACUCUUAACUUCAUAAGCCUCCAUUUUGGCAUCUCAAUCUCCCUCUCACCCUCCGGUCUGUUCCUUCACCCUGCCCACAAUUCUAUAAUCGCAUCAGGUCCAGAUCAAAGCUUCGACAAAACCAUGGCUGAAAAGGUAUGUGCAUUGAUGGAUGUGGGGAUUAUGAUAUAUUUCCUUCUUCUUCUUUUCUUGGUUUCGAUUUGUCUUUUAUUUAGCCCAUUCAUUUGGGUUUUCCUUCUUUUUAUGUGGCGGUCCUUGUUUUUGGCCCUAUGGACCUCAUCUUCUUGUUCACUCUCUUUACUGAUCAAUAUCCUUCCAUGUCAGAAAGUGUUCCGGUCCUUUCAAUAUUCUUCAUGGCUUAGAAAUUAUGUCCUUGUUUUUAUGUGCUCCUUUUGCAGAAAGUCACAACAAUGGUGAUCAAGGUUGACCUUGAAUGUGAGAAAUGCCACAAGAAAAUCAAGAAAGUACUGUGUAGAAUCCCUCGUGAGUGCCUCCUUCUCCAUGUACUAUAUCUUAGUUUGAGCUGAUUAAUUUAAGAUGAAAGGAAAGUGGCUAAGUUGUUUUUGUGGAUUGUGAACAAGAGAAAUUCAGAACCAGAUAUAUGACAAGAAGGCAGGCACAGUGACCAUCACUGUGGUAUGUUGCAGUCCUGAAAAGAUCAUGGAAAAGAUUAUCUGUAAGGGAGGUGAAGCUGUCAAGAGCAUUGAGAUCAAGGUUCCAGAGAAACCCAAACCAGCACCGGAGAAACCCAAAGCAGCACCAGAGAAACCCAAACAACCGGAGAAGCCAAAAGAACCUGAGAAGCCUAAGGCACCAAGCAGACAACCGGACGAUCCUUCAGACACAGUUGAUGGCGAUGGCAGGCCCAAAGGACCACUCAAGCCCCAAGGACUUAUUGUUGAACCAGUCCACCCAAGGACAUGUUGUGUUGAACACUACCGAGGUAUUAGUGGGGGCCCAUGUUAUCAUGACUAUGGCAGGCCAGCACCCCCAUGUUAUGAAGCUUACGGACGGCCAGUGUAUGAUAGUUGGUCUGGCGGCGGCGGCGGCUAUGGUUGCCAAAGAAGCGGUUACUAUGCGUGCAGAGGUGAAUAUGUCUGUGAAGAUAAUCCCUCGUCAUGCACAAUCAUGUGAAAGCAUCAAGAAUGUCGAUGCUUUAAGCCGAUCUCCACCAAAAAUCACUGGAUUUGGACAUUAGUAUGGUGUCGAUAUGAUCAAACUAAACAAUAGCAUUACUCAUGCGCAUGUCAUAACCUUGUCUAGCUAGCUCUAGUUGUCUAUGUUGAAAUGUUGGGGUCAGUUUUGGCUGCAUAUUGGGUCUUCGAUCUUUCAUCGUUAUUAGGAUUUUAUGUGAUACAUGUGGGAACAAUCUUUUAUUUUAUAUUAAUGGUGCGUCUCAGCAUCUCCUUUCCAUUUGCUUUCUUUAAUUUCUGACAGUAACUGGUCGAUGGUUUGUUUUUGAGCUUCGCUGUCAGAAAUUUAGGUCAUGCAUGAUCCAUCUAGAUAAUGGAAUGUGGACUGUCAUGAUCCUAUCAUUGUCCUUGGCGAUAAGAAUUCUCCCUUGAAUUUAUCACAGAAUCAUGCAUUGAAUUGAGCAGUUCCCUUCCAAUGUAUAGAUCAUUGGGUCAAUUCAGAUAUAUCAUAAAAUUUAUAUUGUUUCUGUUAAAAAAAAUUGGAAAGGAUAUUGUUUUGAAUAAUUUUUUUAAAAAAUCCAAGUAAUUUACUAGUUGAGUCUCAUCAUCUAGAUUAAUCGUGCCAACAUCCACUGCAAUUAAUUAGAGUUAGAUUCUAUAUCAACUAUGAUUAUAUAAUAAGAUUCUUAAAGAUAUUUUUUGCAUUUGUUUCUACUAGAAUAAAAAAAAUAUAAUCAGAUUUAUUUACAUUAAUAUGAUUAUUAUUUUUUUGCAUUUAUGGGUACAAGUAAGUCUACUACAAAUAAUUCUCAAUUUAUUUAAUUGAAUGAAUACAUGAUUUUUUUUAUUUAUAAUCAAAUUUUUUUACAUUAAAAAAUAUAAUGAAAAAAUAUGUUUAUUCAUUUUUUUUUCUACUAGAAAGAAUAAUAUUUGAUCCAAAGCAAAGCAAUUCAAUGUGAUUCAGAAAGCAUAUUUUGAAACAUGGGCUAAGCUCAAUACUAAUGAAACCCAGCUUGUCAUUCAGAAAGCAUAGAUAAUGGACUCAUGACACGUAGAGUAGAGGCACAAAUUUCAAAUUAGAUUCAUGUGAUUAUUACGUUCCUUCUUAUGAAAUUUUGACGUAAAUAUUACUUUUAAAAAUAUUAUUUUACUUAAAACUAUAUUAAAAUAAAAUAUAUAAUUUUUAUUUUUAAGAUUUAUUAUUGAUAUCAGUAUUUGAAAACAAUAAAAAAUAUACAUUGUUGUUACUUAUUUUUGGACCUCACGUGCUGGAGAUGGAAUGUAUCCCUCUUGAACCAUAUGCAGGAGUUCAGUUCGUGAUUGUUGAAAAAUCAACAAAAACAGAGAAAAAUAUAAGAAGAGAGAAGCAGGGUUUGCCUUUCGGUCUUUCCUCCCUACAAAUAAAAUCUACAGAACAAGGGAGAAGAGAGUACAAGAACCAGUAGAUAGAGAGGGAUGAAGACCUAGAGGGAAAAAAAGAGACGAUCGCAAACACAAAAUAGAAGGAAAAGGGCUGAAAUAGAUGAACACAGACAGAUUAGCCACGCCUUUAACUUCGCUGCAGCUUCUUCGUUUCCGCCUCCAGGUUUGUCAUUCCUAGCAUCUGCAUGAAUCCUAGUGCAUUUGUUUCUGUUUAAGUGAAAUUUAAUACACUUGAACAGUGAUCGGCCAAGGCACACCUGAGGAAACUCACACAUGCCUUUUUGCCCAACCAGGUCAUUGAUUUGGGUCAGUGAUCGGCUAGGCCUGCUGGGUUCAGCCUAGCCACAUGGGUCGAGCUCGACCCAGCCCCUAAAAAAACAAUAAUAUCAUUGGUUUGUGUGUGUGUAAAAAAAAAAUAUUUUCUUGUAUGUUGCAUACAGUCAAUACCCUAAUAUAUUUUGAAUUUCCUUUAAAAAAAACAAAACAAAUAUUCAAAGUUUGAAAGAAAAUGUGUUUUGGCAUGGAUUUCUUAAACAAAAAACAUAUUUUCUUGCAUUCUGGAUUUUACAACAUAUUUGUAAAAAUCAAAAGGGUGUUGGAUAAUAUUCCAAAAAAAAAAUACAAAAAUCUUAUUUUUUGAGGAAUUCAUGUAUUAUUCACAGUUAAUAUUUGGAUAAAAAAAUCCCAAAGGGAUAAAUAUCCAAAAUAUUAUUGGAACUAACUUGUUGUUAUUCGAUGUUAAUGUUUAGAUAAAGAAAUCCCAGAUAGUUACUAUCCAAAAUAUUUUUCUAGGAAUAAUAAGUCAUCACACAUCCUUGAAAAAAGCCUUGAUUAUAAUUGAGGACAUUUCAAUUUUUUUUGACUCUACGGUUUACGAGCCAUGAGAGUAUGAAACACUAAGAAAAAAAUAGGCUUUUAAAGUACCCUGAAUUUCUUUAGAUUUCUAAAUGUUUUUCCCUUUUCCUUGUGAUUUACGAGUCGCGAACACUUGAAAUACUAAGAGAAAAAUGAGCUUUUAAAUCAAAUUGAAUCUCCUUAGAUUUCUAUCUUACAUAUCUUUUAAUUCAGAGGUUAUAAAUUUAUUUUAAAUCAAACACAGAUUUUAAAAGAUCUGCAUCGGUUCUUCUUAGGACUCUGUAGACAUAUCUAAAUGCAUGAUCUAUAUUGACUAAGGGUUUUUACUUUUAGACUUUGAACUCAAGCCCAUUCAUCAGAGCAAACCUUUCAUAGGAAAAUUGAUUAGAGAACACCAACACUAUAGCAAGGCAAACCAAACACCAAGUAACUUACUUUAAGUAGGGCGUAUUAGGAGUGUUAAUACCUUUUCUUUACGCAACUAGUCCAUUGCCUUAGAAUCUCUGAAAAACCAGUUAGGUUUUCUAGUAACCAUAAUAUUAAGUGACGACUUUUUUUUUUCACAAAACAAAGACCCCGACAUGAAAUCUCCGCUCCUGGGAAGGGUUGCCAUGAUGUCGAGCUCUCGCGAGGUUGUGAUAGUAUAUGUGUGUGUGUAUAAAAAUUAAAAAAUUAAUUUUUUUUUAAAAUUGCAGUUGAACGCAAUUUCAAAUGAUUAGUUGAGAAUAAUAUUUGAUCCAAAGCAAAGCAAUAUGUGUUGCUUGCAGCCCUGUUUUACCCUCUAGGCUUCUAGCCAGUCCUGGUAUAGCCAUGGAAGUGGUGGGCUAAAUAAUGCGCCCUGUAAAACAUGGGCUAAGCUCAAUACUAAUGAAACCCAGCUUGUCAUUCAGAAAGCAUAAAUAAUGGACUCAUGACAUGUAGAGUAGAGGCAUAAAUUUCAAAUUAGAUUCAUGUGAUUAUUACGUUCCCUUCUUAUGAAAUUUUGACGUAAAUAUUACUUUUAAAAAUAUUUUUUACUUAAAACUAUAUAAAAAUAAAAUAUAUAAUUUUUAUUUUUAAGAUUUAUUCUUGAUACCAGCAUUUAAAAACAAUAAAAAAUAUACAUUAUUGCUAUUUAUUUUUGGAUCUCACGCACGUGCUGGAGAUGGAAUGUAUCUCUUUUGAAUCAUAUGCAGAAGUUUAGUUCGUGAUUGUUGAAAAAUUAACAAAAACAAAGAAAACAAAAAAAAAAAGAUAAGAGAAACAAGAGAGAAGCAGGGAUUGCCUUUCGGUCUUUCCUCCCUGCAAAUAAAAUCUGCAGAACAAGGGAGAAGAGAGUACAAGAACCAGUAGAUAGAGAGGGAUGAAGACGUAGAGGAAAAAAAAAGAGACGAACGCAAACACAGAACAGAAGAAAAAGGGCUAAAACAGACAAACACAGACAGAUUAGCCAUGGCGCCUUUAGCUUCGCUGCAGCUUCUUCAUUUCCGCCUCCAAGUUUGUCAUUCCCAGCAUCUGCAUGAAUCCUAGUGCAUUUGUUUUUUCUUAAGUGAAAUUUAAUUCACUUGAACAGUGAUAAGCCAAGGCACGCCUGAGGAAACUCACGCAUGCCUUUUUGCCCAACUAGGUCACUGGUUUGGGCUAGUGACCGGCUAGGCCUGCAGGUUUCAGCCAAGCCAUAUGGGCCAAGCUCGAUCCAGCCUCUAAAAAAAACUAAUAUCAUUGGUUUGUGUGCGAGCCCCUAAAAAAAUUAAAAAAAUCUAUUUUUUGAGGAAUUCAUGAAUUAUUCACAGUUAAUGUUUGGAUAAAAAAUUCUCAAAGGGAUAAAUAUCCAAAAUAUUAUUGGAACUAACUUGUUAUUAUUCGAUGUUAAUGUUUAGAUAAAGAAAUCCCAAGUGGUUACUAUCCAAAAUAUUUUCCUAGGAAUAAUAAAUCAUCACACAUCCUUGAAAAAAACCUCGAUUAUAAUGGAGGACAUUUUAAUUUUUUUUUACUCUACGGUUUACGAGCUGUGAGAGUAUGAAACACUAAGAAAAAAAUAGACUUUUAAAGCACUUUGAAUUUCUUUAGAUUUCUAAAUGUUUUUCUUUUUUCUUUGUAAUUUACGAGUCGCGAAUACUUGAAAUACUAAGAGAAAAAUGAGUUUUUAAAGCAAAUUGAAUCUCCUUAGAUUUCUAUCUUAUAUAUCUUUUAAUUCAGAGGUUAUAAAUUUAUUUUAAAUCAAACAUAGAUUUUAAAAAAAUCUACGUCGGUUCUUCUUGGGACUCUACAGACAUAUCCAAAGGCAUGAUCUAUAUUGGCUAAGGGUUCUUUCUUAUAAACUUUGAACUCAAGCCCAUUCAUCACAGCAAACCUUUCAUAGGAAAAUUGAUUAGAGAACACUACCACUAUAGCAAGGCAAACCAAACAUCAAGUAACCAAACCAAGCAAAGAACCGGACGACCCAACAGAUAAAGUUGAUGGCAAUGACAAGCCCAAAGGACUACACAAGCCGAAAGCGCUUAUUGUUGAACCAUCAAAACCAAACGAACCAGAGAAGCUGAAAGUGGUUAUUGUUGAACCAGUCCACCCAAGGACAUAUUGUGCUGACUGCUACCGAGAGGGAUUAGUGGAGGACCAUGUUAUCAUGACUAUGGCAGGCCAGCACCCCCAUGUUAUGAAGCUUACGGACGGCCAGUGUAUGAUAGUUGGUCUGGCGGCGGCGGCGGCUAUGGUUGCCAAAGAAGCGGUUACUAUGCGUGCAGAGGUGAAUAUGUCUGUGAAGAUAAUCCCUCGUCAUGCACAAUCAUGUGAAAGCAUCAAGAAUGUCGAUGCUUUAGUAUGGUGUCGAUAUGAUCAAAUUAAACAACAGCAUUACUCAUGCUCAUGUCAUAACCUUGUCUAGCUAGCUCUAGUUGUCUAUGUUGAAAUGUUGGGGUCAGUUUUGGCUGCAUAUUGGGUCUUCUUUCUUUGUUAUAAAGGUUUUAUGUGAUACAAUAAGGUUGGUGAUCAUGUGGGAACAAUCUUUUAUUACAAGAGCUGUUAAGAUUUUUAAUAAAUUAAUAUAAGUGAUUUUAAAAGCUCCAUAAUCAUUGCUAUUUGUAUAUUGAUGGUGCGUCUCAGCAUCUCCUUUCCAUUCACUUUCCAUUUGCUUUCUUAAAUUUCUGACAGUAACUGGUCGAUGGCUUUUGUUUGUAAACGUUACCAAGCUUCGCUGUCAGAAAUUUAGGUGAUGCAUGAUCCAUUUAGAUAAUGGAAUGUGGACUGUCAUGAUCCUAUCAUUGUUCUUGGCGAUAUAUAAGAAUUCUCCCUUGAAUUUAUCACAGAAUCAUUGAAUUGAGCAGUUCCCUCCCUUCUCGUGAUUUGUUGACAUGGGAUUAUGUAAAGUUGUCGACUACGAAAUUUAUACGAGUUGCUCUCUAAACACUAAUAUUAUUGAUUAAAAGAGUGAAAUUCUUGUGCAAUUCACAAUAAAAAUUAAGGGAUUCCUAUUCUCACACGUUUUAAAUAAAUGUUUAAUGGGUUAGAAAAUUUAUCAUGUAAAUUCAAAGAUCCAGAUAUAUAUAUAUAUGAUAAAAUGAUAAUGUUUUGGUUAAAAAAAGUCUAUAAAAAUAUUAUUUUGAAUAAAAUUUUAAAAAAUUCAAGUAAUUUAUCAAGGUAUUAUUUAGGUUUAUCGAGCCAACAUCCACUCCAAUAAUAUAAAACCUGGUUCGAGCUAAAUUCUAGAUCAACUAUAUAUGGUUAUAUAAUCACAUUCUUAACGAUUUGUUUUGUAUUUAUUAGUAUAAAAAUUUUCAAUUUAUUUAAUUGGAUGAAUAAAUAUAAUAUAAAAACAUAUUUAUUAAUUUUUUCUACUAGAAAGAAUAAUAUUUGACCCGCAGAAAGCAAUAUGUGUUGCUUGCACAGCCCUGUUUUAGCCUCUGGGCUUCUUAGCCAGUCCUUGUAUAGCCAUGGAAAUGUUGGGCUAAUUAAUAUGCCCUUUAACACAUGGGCUAAGCUCUGUUAAUGAAACCCAGCAGAAAACAUAGAUAAUGGACUGGUCCAUGGCUUUCCUUGGAUUCUCUACUUUCAUGACGAGGCAACAAUUUCAAAUUAGAUUCAUGUGAUUCCUCUCAACAAUUCUGGAAAGCAAUAAUGAUUUUGCUGGGAUUUUUUUCGAAGUUUUUUAUAAAAUUAAAAAUUAAAAAUUAAAAAUAAUUAUUUUUUAAAAAAUGCAGCUGAACGCAAUUUCAAACGGUUAGUUAAACCUGCCUCAGCUUUCAAAGUUGGAAAUCAUAGACGCAACUUCCGGGCCCACAAUUUGCUAACUUUCUUCUUUAUGUCCACACAUAGGGAUAAGAUAAAACGAUGAGCUACUUGCUUUACGACUUGGGUUUCUAAUUUCUCAUUUUUCAUUUUCAUGGUAAAAUAAUAAAUACAAUUUCUUUUUUUCAGGAAACAACAAUCAAACGCCGGCUAAAUUCUUUUACACAUGAGAUAUGGAAAUAUUAACUGAAGAUUUUUAAUUUUUUAUGAGGAAUUUUUUGGGGCACGUGUACGGUUGUCAUGGGUGUUGCAUGGCUCAUUUAUUGACAUGACUAAACUAAGGCACCGUAGGAUGCACUGCAACCUUCGAAAUGAUUAAAAAAAUUGAAGGUGAGAUGUGCCAUCAAAACCAGCACAUGCAUGUGCAUGAUUGGAGGGUCAGCAAUUAAAAAUGAAACGACAAUAUUACGUCAAGCUCAACACCCAAUCCCACGUGUUCUCUUCUUAUUGGCCUCUAGACGCACGGUAUUUAAACUAUGUCCUCACACUUUACUACUUAAGCUGUGAUCAAUCUUCAUUUUAUAAGCCUCCUUUUUGUAUCACAAUCUCCCUCUCACCCUCUGGUCCGUUCCUUCACUCUGCUCUCAAUUCUAUCAUCUCAUCAGGUGCAGAUCAAAGCUCGGACAAAACCAUGGCUGAAAAGGUAUGUGCAUGGAUGGAUGGAUGUGGGGAUUUUGAUAUAUUUCCUUCUUCUUCUUUUCUUGGUUUCGAUUUAUCUUUUAUUUAGCCCAUUCAUGUGGGUUUUUCUUCUUUUUACGUGGUGUGGUCAUUGUUUUUGGCCCUAUGGACCUCAUCUUCUUUUUAAUUUUCUUUACUGAUCAAUAUCCUUCCAUGUCAGAAAGUGUUCCGGUCCUUUCAAUAUUCUUCCUGGCUUAGAAAUUAUGUCCUUGUGUUUAAUUAUGUGCUCAUAUUGCAGAAAGUCACAAUAAUGGUGAUCAAGGUUGACCUUGAAUGUGAGAAAUGCCACAAGAAAAUCAAGAAAGUACUGUGUAGGAUCCCUCGUGAGUGCCUCUUUCUCCAUUUACUAUAACUUAGUUUGAGCUGUUUUAAGAUGAAAGGAAAGUGGCUAAGUUGUUUUUGUGGAUUGUGAACAAGAGAAAUUCAGAGCCAGAUAUAUGACACGAAGGCAGGCACAGUGACCAUCACUGUGGUAUGUUGCAGUCCUGAAAAGAUCAAGGAAAAGAUAAUCUGUAAGGGAGGUGAAGCUGUCAAGAGCAUUGAGAUCAAGGUUCCAGAGAAACCCAAAGCAGCACCAGAGAAACCCAAACAACCGGAGAAGCCGAAAGAACCUGAGAAGCCUAAGCAACCAGAGAAGCCGAAAGAACCGGAGAAGCCGAAAGAACCGGAGAAGCCGAAAGAACCUGAGAAGCCCAAGCAACCAGAGAAGCCGAAAGAACCGGAGAAACCCAAAGAACCAGAGAAGGCCAAAGAACCGGAGAAGCCUAAAGCGCUUCUUGUUGAACAACCAAAACCCAAAGAACCGGCCCCAAACCCAGCUCCAAACCCGGCACCACCACCACCACCACCUAAAGCUCCGGAACCAGUCCACCCGAGGACAUGUUGUGCUGAAUGCUACCAUGGGAUUAGUGGAGGCCCAUGUUAUCAUGACUAUGGUGGGCCAGCACCCCCAAGUUAUGAAGCUUAUGGAAGGCCAGUGUAUGAUAAUUGGGGUGGCGGCGGCGGCGGCGGCGGCUGUGGUUGCCAAAGAAGCGGUUACUAUGUGUGCAGAUGCGAAUAUGUCUGUGAAGAUAAUCCCUCGUCAUGCUCAAUCAUGUGAAAGCGUCUAGAAUGUCGAUAUUGCCUUAAGCCGAUUUCCACCAAAAAUCACUGGAUUUGGACAGUAGUAUGGUGUCGAUAUGAUCAAAUCAAACAAUAGCAUUACUCAUGCUCAUGUCAUAACCUUGUCUAGCUAGUCAGUUUUGGCUGCAUAUUGGGUCUUCUUCCUUCGUUAUAGAGAUUUUAUGUGAUACAAUAAGGUUGGUGAUGUGGGAACAAUAUUUUAUUACAGGUUUACAAAUGUUAAGAUUUUUAAUAAAUUAACAAAAGGGAUUUUAAAGCUUCCAUAAUAAUCAUUGCUAUUUGUAUAUAUAGUGAUGGUGCAUCCCAGCAUCUCCUUUCCAUUCACUUUCCAUUUGCUUUCUUUAAUUUCUGACAGUAACUGAUCGAUGGCUUUUGUUUGCAAGCUUCGCUGUCAGAAAUUUAGGUGAUGCAUGAUCCAUCUAGAUAAUGGAAUGUGGACUGUCGUGAUUCCAUCAUUGUACUUGGCGAUAAGAAUUCUACCAUGAAUGAGCAGUUCCCUUCCCUCUCUUGAUUUGUUGAUAUGAGAUUUAUGUAAAGUUGCCGACUACGAAAUUUAUAUGAGUUGCUCUCUAAACACUAACAUUAUUGAAAAUAUAUUAAAAUAAAAUAUAUACUUUUUAUUUUUCAAAAUUCAUUCUUAUACCAAUAUAUCAAAACAAUCAAAAUAUAUAUAUAUAUAUAUAUAUAAGAUUUUUAAAAAAUACAGUUGAUCGUAAUUUCAAACGAUUAGUUAAACCUGCCUCCGCUUUCAAAGUUGGCACUCAUGGACGCAACUUCUGGGCCCACAAUUUGUUAUCUUUCUUCUUUAUGUCAACACAUAGGGAUGAGGGGAUAGCCAUCCCUAAUUUCUUAACGACUUGGGUUUCAUAUCAUUAUAAUUAUACAGAUUUUUGUCGUUUAGAUUACAUGAAGUAUUCCAUGGUGAUGAUAGGAAUUAGUAAUAAUUUAUUAAUUAUUUUAUAAGAUGUACUUUUUGAAAAAAUAUAAAUACAAGAGAGAGUAAUACAAAUAUCUCAACAUAUUAAUUAUUUUUUUCUUAUUAUCGUUAAAAUUAUGUGUUGUUAGUGUAGAACGGAGGAUAAAAAUAAGAAUAUAAAAUAAAUUGUUUUUGUAAUAAUUAAAAAAAAUUAUAUACUUUCAAAAUAAUAAAUAUAAUAAUUCAAGUUUUCUAUGUUUUAAUCACGAAACAACAAUCAAACACCGGCUAAAUUCUUUUAACAUGAGAUAUGGAAAUAUUAAUUGAAGAUUUUUAUUUUUUUAUGGGGAAUUUUUUGGGACACGUGUAAGGUUGUCAUGGGGUUUGCAUGGCUCGUUUAUGACAUGACUAUACUAAUGCACCGUAGGAUGCACUACAACCUUCGAAAUGAUUAACAAAAUUGAAGGUGAGACGUGUCCAUAAAAGCCAGCACAUGCACAUGCAGGAUUAGAGGGUCAGCAAUAAAAAAUAAAACGACAAUAUGACGUCAAGCUCAACACCCAACCCCACGUGUUCUCUUCUUAUUGGCCUCUAGAUGCACGGUAUUUAAAACAUGGUCUCACACUUCUACUACUUAAGUUGUGAUCAAUCUUAAUUUUACAAGCGUCUUUUUUGUGUCUCAAAUCUCCCUCUCACCCUCUGGUCGGUUCCUUCACUCUGCUCUCAAUUCUAUCAUCUCAUCAGGUCCAGAUCAAAGCUUAGACAAAACCAUGGCUGAAAAGGUAUGUGCAUGGAUGGAUGUGGAUAUUUUGAUAUAUUUUCCUUCUUCUCUUGGUUUAGAUUUAUCUUUUAUUAAUUAGCCCAUUCAUGUGGGUUUUUCUUCUUUUCAUGUGGUGAUCAUUGUCUUUGGCCCUAUGGAGUAUGGACCUCAUCUUCUUGUUCAUCAUCUUUACUGAUCAAUAUCCUUCCAUGUCAGAAAGUGUUCCGGUCCUUUCAAUAUUCUUCUUGGCUUAGAAUGUCCUUGUUUUUAUGUGCUCCUAUUGCAGAAAGUCACAAUAAUGGUGAUCAAGGUUGACCUUGAAUGUGAGAAAUGCCAAAAGAAAAUCAAGAAAGUACUGUGUAGAAUCCCUCGUGAGUGCCUCUUUCUCCAUGUAUCAUAACUUAGUUUGACUUGAAUUUUAAGAUGAAAGGAAAGUGGCUAAGUUGUUUUUGUGGAUUGUGAACAAGAGAAAUUCAGAGCCAGAUAUAUGACAAGAAGGCAGGCACAGUGACCAUCACUGUGGUAUGUUGCAGUCCUGAAAAGAUCAAGGAAAAGAUAAUCUGUAAGGGAGGUGAAGCUGUCCAGUGCAUUAAGAUCAAGGUUCCAGAGAUACCCAAAGAACCACCAGCUAAACCUAAAGAACCGGAGAAGCCAAAAGAACCUGAAAACCCUAAGCAACCGGAGAAUCCCAAAGAACCGGAGAAGCCCAAAGAACCAGAGAAACCCAAAGAACCGGAGAAACCCAAAGAACCGGAGAAACCCAAAGAACCGGAGAAACCGGCAGAACCAGUCCACCCAAGGACAUGUUGUACUGAAUGCUACCAUGGGAUCAGUGGAGGCCCAUGUUAUCAUGACUAUAGGAGGCCAGCACCCGCCCCAAUCCCAGCUCCAAUCCCGGCACCACCACCACCUAAAGCUCCGGAAGUAGUCCACCCAAGGACAUGUUGUUCUGAAUGCUACCAUGGGAUUAGCGGAGGCCCGUGUUAUCAUGACUUUAGGAGGCCAGCACCCGCCCUAAUCCCAGCUCCAAACCCGGCACCACCACCACCUAAAGCUCCGGAACCAGUCCACCCAAGGACAUGUUGUGCUGAAUGCUACCAUGGGAUUAGCGGAGGCCCAUGUUAUCAAGACUAUGGUAGGCCAGCACCCCCAUGUUAUGAAGGUUAUGGAAGGCCAGUGUAUGAUAGUUGGUCUGGCGGCGGCGGCGGCUGCGGUUGCCAAAGAAGCGGUUACUAUGUGUGUAGAUGUGAAUAUGUCUGUGAAGAUAAUCCCUCGUCAUGCUCAAUCAUGUGAAAGCAUCUAGAAUGUCGAUAUUGCCUUAAGCCGAUUUCCACCAAAACUCACUGGGUUUGGACAUUAUUAUUGAGUCGAUAUGAUCAAAUUAAACAAUAGCAUUACUUAUGCUCAUGUCAUAACCUUGUCUAGCUAGCUAUUUGUCUAUGUUGAAAUGUUGGGGUUAGUUUUGGCUGCAUUUUGGGUCUUCUUCCUUCGUGAUAAAGAUUUUAUUACAAGAUUUGUUAAGAUUUUUAAUAUAUUAAUAUAAGGGAUCUUAAAGCUUCCAUAAUCAUUGCUAUUUGUAUAGUGAUAGUGCAUCUCAGCAUCUCCUUUGCCUUCAAUUUCUAUUUGCUCUCUUUAAUUUCUGACAGUAACUGAUCGAUGGCUUUUGUUUGUAAAAGUUAUCAAGUUUCGCUGUCAGAAGUUGAGGUCAUGCAUGAUCCAUCUAGAUAAUGGAAUGUGGACUGUCAUGAUCCCAUCAUUGUACGGACUUGGCGAUAAGAAUUCUACCAUGAAUGAGCAAAAUCAUUGAAUUGAGCAGUUCCCUUCCUUCUCGUGAUUUGUUGAUAUAUGAGAUUAUGUAAAGUUGUCGACUACGAAAUUUAUAUUAGUUGCUCUCUAAAGUCUAAACACUAUUAUUAUUGAUUAAAAUAGUGAAUUGCUUGUGCAAUUCACAAUGAAAAAUUUGGGAUUCCUAUUCUCUCACGUUUUAAAUAAAUGUUUUGUGGUCAGAUCUGAUUUAGAAUAUGAAAUGUGAGUUUGUUAUAUAAUAUUAUUUUGGUUAUAAAAUAAUAUUAUUUUUGUUAAAAAAACUUAAACUAUAAAAUAAUAUUAUUUUGGUUAAAAAAUAAAAUAAUAAAAGUCAACAGGUUUGCAGCCGAGUCUUGACAGGGUUUUGCUAGGUCAACCGGGUCACACCAGUCGACCAGGUCUCGGGUCGACCCGCCAGGCUAGACCGGGUUUCAAAACUAUGCUCUAAACACUAUUAUUAUUGAUUAAAAAAUUGAAAUUCUUGUGCAAUUCACAAUGAAAAAUUUAGAAUUUCUAUUCUCUCACGUUUUAUAUAAAUGUUUUGUGAUCGGAUUUGAUUUAGAAUUUGAAAUGUGAGUUUGUUAUAUAAUGUUAUUUUGGUUAAAAAAACUUAAAUAAUAUUUUUUUUAAUAAAAUUUAUAAAGAUUCCAAGUAAUUGACCAACCCAAAGUCUCAUCAUCUUGGAUAAUCAAUUCAAUAUUUAUUUUAAUUAAAAAUAAAACUUGGUUCAAGUUAGGUUUUAGAUUAAAUAUCAUUAUUUACACUAUAAUUAUAAUCAUGUUCUUAAAUUUGCCAAGUUAUUAUCAUUUUUAAUAUAAAUUAAAAUAAUACCAAUUAUUUUUUUUAAUUUAAAGAUAUAGACAUAAAAAAACAUGACAAAUGCAAAAGUACUUGUACCAAAAUAAGUGGCGUAAAAAGAAAAAGAAAUUUUAACGUGGUUUUUACCAUCAGAAAAAUGUACUUUUCUAACUAAUAAAGGGAGAUUGACGUGACAAAGGAUGCCCUUAUCUUAUUUCACCCAAAAAAAAAAAAAACAGUGAUAUUAAUUUAUUUGCUUUUAUAACCAGUCUCGACACAAAAAUUGAGCUUUGUAACCCAUUGGAGCCACCAAACUUUAUGAAUGAUGUUGAUUUUGACUUAAUCUUUUUUUUUUUUUUUAUGGCACUUUCUUCUACUUUAGUUUACUUGAAUAUCUACUCAUGCUAGCUUUAUAUGUAAAAAAAGAGUAAGAUGUUUGAUCAUUUUACAGUACAUGGUACGAGAAAGUGAAUUUCACACUUUUUCUUUUUUAAAGUAUUUUUUAAUUUUUAUAUUUUAAAAAAACAUUAGAUUAAUGUUUUUAAAUGUUUUUUUUAUAGUUUUAAUAUGCUGAUAUUAUUAUUUUUUAAAAAAUAUUUUUUAAAUAUAUUUUUAAUUAAAAAAUAAUCUUAAAACAUAUUAUAUGGUAGGUGGCAGUCAUCAUUGAAAUACAAUGAAAUGAUAAAAUCAAUAGAAAUUUAAAGGGAUUAAGGCCCGUCUCAUGAACUUGCCUACCAGUAGCUUUGAGUGGAAGGAAGCUUCGCCCAUACAUAAAUGGCUUUAUUUUGUGCUUUCAACUUUUGGAAACCCUAGCUACCAUGCCAACCACCUACUUAUCUUCUUGGUUAAGCCUUACAUAAGCAUGGAAUUUCAACAUAGUUGCUUGUAUCUUUCAUGGCUCAAAUAAUCUUUCAAUGGCCGAUGACGAACACAGAUUGUUAUAAUAAUCAUAUAUGGUGGGAUCUGAUCAAAAGAUUUGCGCAAAUGAAGACACAUCUCAAUCAUUUAUUUAAAAAUGUUUAAAUAAUCAAUACAUAUAUUAUAAUUUUAUAUAAAAAAACAAAAAAAACUAUGAUUUUUUAGCUUUUUUUUUUUUUUAAUUAUAGUUAUAAAAACAAUCACAGCACAGUGGCCUUCCUCUAGAGACGUAGUGCAUGCAUGGAUCUUAAAAAUGCCGGGCAUUGAAAUCCAUUGAGUACAGCUUAUAAGAAUGUGUAGCCAAAACCGUUGUCGGCAGACCUGGCUAUGAGCUGUGACUAGAGCCAUUGGGAACACAAAUAUUGACCAAUCUUGAAGAACAUGGUAUCGUGGAGGAGCCUCAUGGCUUAUGCCAUAUGGUCAUGGUUUUUAAUUAUUUUGAACAAAAAAGAAAAACUUUAUACAUUUUCUUUGCCAAUCAGGGCUUCACAGUACAUUAAUUAUUGAGAGAAAUUAUUUUAUUUAAAGUGGAAGGAAUAUUGUCAUGAUGAUCAGAAAAUUAAAUAAGUGGUGGUCAAUUUGAAGAUCUUUGAGAAUAUUACUUUCAGAUUACUUUUUAAAUUAUUUUUUAUUUAAAAAUAUAUUAAAAUAAUAUUAUUUUUUAUUUUAAAAAAAUUAUUUUCGAUAUUAGUACCUUAAAAUAAUUUAAAAUCACUAAAAUUAUAUUAAUUUAAAGUAAAUAAAUAAAUAUAAUUUUUUUUAAAAAAACUUUUGAAAAAAAUAAAAUAAACAGCGAUAAAAUCAUUAAAAGGUUACCUCUUUCUGCGUCAAGCCUUUUGGAUCUCCAAUAAAUCAUCUUGUCCUUGAACUCACCAAUACUUUGAGUUGAAGGAAGCAACAGUACUAAUCUUUUCCCACAUCGAUCAAUUGCUUCGCUCUGUUCUUUUCAUUGCUACGAAGCAAGCUACCACCUUUUCCCUCUUUAAGUAAACCGACUUUUUUUUUAAAAGAAAAUUUUCUUUAGCAACCACGCUUUAGAUUUCGUUGUGACGUAGUGUAAUUGAAAAUGUUUUUGAACUUAUUAUAAUUUUAAAAGUUAUUUAAUUUUCCAGUGCUUAAAUUUGCUUUUCAUCUUAAAUAAUGGUAAAAACUUGAAUUUAAAAGAUUAUAAUUUAUAGAUUUUUUUAAAAAUCAAAACAUGCUACAAAAAACAAUCAUAUACUUAUGUUCUAUUUGGUGACACAGUUCAAUCAGUUUUUCAAAGUGUUUUUUAAAUUAUUUUUAUUUAAUGGUUUUAUGAAUACUUUUCAAUAAAUUUAAUGUGUUUGUUAAUACAAAAAAUAAAAUUAAAAAAUUAUUUUAAUAUAUUUUUAAUUUAAAAAUAUAUUUUUUAAAAAACCAUUUAUUUUAUUAUCAAACAUAAACUUAACCUCACAUACGAGGAUUCUUGUGCACUAUUAACAGUUUCAACAGAGUCCAAAAUCGACAUAAAAAUAGUAUGCAUGUUCCAUAGACCCCAGGUGGUCAAUUUUUCAAGCAUGAGUAAGAAGUGUCAAUGUCAUCUCUGUCAAGAAUUGCAAAAUCGAUCAAUGUUCAUCUUGUUUAAUGAACUUUCUUAUUAUUAUUUGAUUUUAAUUUAAAAUUUAAAAUUUAAAAUUUAAAAUUAUAAAAGUUUGGGUUAGAUAUGUUUAAUAUUAUUAUUAAUAUUAUAAAUAUUAUUAUUGUCAUUAUUAUUAAUAUAAUCAUUAAUAAUUUUUUUAAAAAAUAUUAUUAUUAUUAAAAAAAAACCCAUAGAUUUUAUUUGAAGAAUAAAAUUAAAGAUUAUUAUUAUUGUCGUCGUCGUCGUCGUCGUCGUCAUUGGUAUUCUUAUUCUUAAUGUUAUUAUUUUUAUCAUUAUUAAAUUUGAUAAAAAAAUAUUACUAUUAAAAAAAAUCAUAAAUUUAAUUUAAAGAGAUUAAAAACUAUAAAAACUUGAAUCAAACAAGUUUCUUAUCAUUAUUAUUAUGAUUGUUAUUAUCAUCAUAAAAGGAAUCAAAUCCUAGAAACAUAGGUCUAGUUGUGGCUCCAAAUCCAAGUUUAUAAUCAUGAGUAAUAUUUUUAUUAUUCUUAUUGUUAUUAUUAUUGUUAUAUCAUUAAUAAUUUUUUAAAAAAUAUUUUUACUAUUGAAAAAAGAUUAUAAAUUUAAUUUCAAGGGAUAAAAAAUUAUAUGAACUUGUACGAGACAAGUUUAAUAUUAUUAUUAAUAUUAAAAAUAUUAUUAUUUGUAUUAAAAGAAUUACUAUUUGUAUUUGUAUUAUAGUUAAUAUUAUAAAUAUUAUUUUUGAAUCAAAUAUUACAUUCAGACUCAAGACUUUUAAAUCUAGUUUUAUAGACCUUUAAAUCUAAUUUUGUAAAUAAACCUAACAUUCUUGAAUAUUAAUAUUUUUUAUGUAAAAAAAAUAAAUAAAUUACUCCACAACAUUGCACGGGACACCCACAGACCCACUACGGAUGCCAUGUGCUGGGUGGGGGCGUGCACGGAGCACAAUUGAACAUCACCACAUUAGUAAUUUUUUAUAUAUACAAAUGUCACUAUUAAUUUCUGUAACCCUGCGGCUAUCCUUAGCUUAACCGUUGAAUUGAUUAACAAAAUAGAAGGUGAGCUGCGCACAUCAAAACCAUCUCUUGCUGAUGAAAGAUUAAUUGUGGGGUCAGCAGCGACGAUGUUUAUGAUGGUUGCUUCAAGUUUCCACUCCCAAGUCAACAUUUCCCCAUCUUAUUGGACAAUUAAAUUAAAGCCUCACAUGUAUUUAUCUUAAUUAAAUUAACCCCCCCACCUCUAUAUAUAUACUCUCAAUAUUUCCAUCGUCUCAUCAAAUCAAAGCAUACACAAAACCAUGGUGGAAACGGUAUGUUAUAUAUAUAUAUAUAUAUAUAUAUAUAUAUUUGUGUGUGUUAAUUUAUCUUUUAAUGCAUCCUCUUUGGCCUUUUUCUUCUUUUUACUUGGAUGUCCUAUAUAUGUACAAGUUCUUGAUAAAUAAUCUCUACAGCGGAUUCUUCCACGUCAGAACAUGUUUUGAGUUCUUCCAAUCUUUCUGUCUAUAAAUUUAUCGUGAGAUUUUCUUUGUUUUUCUAUUGGGAUUAAUCAUGGUGAGGUCCUAUAUGAAAUGCAUGCACUAACUAGUACUGUUACAGCAAGUCACAACGAUGGUGAUCGAGGUGGUUGACCUUGGAUGCGAAAAAUGCCACAAGAAAAUCAAGAAAGUACUGUGUGCUAUUCCUCGUGAGUCUUCUUUUUUUUUCCUCUUUAAAAACAGUUCUAGGUUUGAUUUGUUUUUAUUACCAAAGGAAGUGACUAAGUUUUGUGGAUUUGAUGAUGUUAAUUAACGAACAAGAGAAAUCCAGAACCAGACAUAUGACAAGAAGGACAACACAGUGACAAUCACUGUGGUGUGUUGCUGUCCUGAAAAGAUCAAGAAAAAAAUAUACUGCAAAGGAGGUGAAGCUGUCAAGUGCAUUGAGAUCAAGCUGCCUCCACCUCCACCUCCACCUCCUCCACCUCCACCUCCACCUCCUCCUCCUCCUCCACCACCACCACCACCACCACCACCACCACCACCAUGCACAUGCAGUGAAAAAUGCCGCCGAGGCCCAUAUUGUCAUCACUUUUGUAUGCCAACAGUACCUCCAUAUUGUUAUGUACCUUGUAGAAGGUCAGAGUGUGAUCUAUGGGGAGAUGGUUGUUGUAGUUGCCGAAGUAGGGGUUACUAUGUGUGCAGAAGUUUAUAUGUUUAUGAAGAGUACUAUCCCCCGACAUGCAAAAGCAUGUAAAGGGAAAUCAAGUUAAGAAGACCGAUGAUUUGAGUCAACGUCCACAAUCAACCAUUGGAUUCUACUCCAGUGGUCAUAGUGUUGUUGUGUUUAUAAUAUCAUCCCUUUUUGUGUUGCUGAUGUUGUUUUGACCUCUUUCAUCUAGCUAGAUGAUGCACGACUUUGUGCCUAGCUAGUAUAUAUUUUGAAGUCAAUGGUCACAGUUUUUCCAUUGUUGAUGGCUUCUUACAUGUUUGGUCAACAAAUAUGGGAGUCUUUACUACCUAGUCUUUGUUUUUUUACGAUUUCUUAUCUUUGUAUAGUCCCUUUGGAUGUUUUCUUCCAAAGUGCUAUUAUCUGUUUCAAAAAACCCCUCUCCAUCUAUUCUCUCGUCAUUUUUUGCCGGAUGAAAUGCCCAGAAACAACAUCAUUCGACCGUACUUUGUAAAUGAUAGUUUUCUUAUAAUAUUGUUUUUGUUUUAAAAUAUAUUUUUCAUUCCAUAAAACGUUAUGAAUAAACUCAUAUAAUUUAUAAUAUUUUUCGCAAAGAGACCAUUCUCUGUGAUUAAACAAUAAGGUCAACAAGGUUGGUGAGAUGUAUAAAUAUUAUUGUAGGGUUAGUACGGAAGUAGUUACAAUUAUUGCAAAUAAAAGCAAAAGGUUCCAUUUUCCAUGAUGAUGGUGCCGGUGCGUGCACCUUCGUUUCUUUCACUUUGAAUUGCUUUCUUCAAUCCUCGGUCGUUUGAUUGCUUCUGUGGUGUAAACAUGACCAUGCUUGUUUCCUAGAAAAAAUGGUGCAAGCUCAGCCAUGCCUCAUAAUCCAAACGAGAUAAUGAAAUUUGGAUUAUUAAAUAUUCUAUAAAUUAGGAUUGUACGUACUUGGAGAGAAGAAUUAAUAAUCCCUUUAUCAACAUACAUAAUAAUCGAAGACCAAUUUCCUUUUCAUGAUGUAUAUAUAGUUUUAUGUGAAGCCAUGUAAAGCUCUUAAUCUACAGAUUAUCAUUGGUUGACGUUAUUUGACUCGUUUCUUUUCUAUCCUUUACACAUCCAUUAAUUGGUGGGGAUGACAGAAGAAGAAUGCUACCAUGGGAUAGGUUAGCGAGCUGUCAAUGAAAAUGUAAGGAAGCAAUGGAGAUUUUGAAGGCGUUAUGGAAAUCUCCAUUGACUUGUACGGAAGGAAUAGUUGUUAAUUAUACCCUAUUGGUUGAUUCAUAAAAUUUUUUAUUUAAAGAUUUACUCAGGUAAAAAUAAAAAGCAAAAUAUUAAUGUGACUAAACUCGAUUAAUUCAACUAUGUUUUUAAUCAUUUUAAACAAAAAUAGUUUUGGGUACCGACUAACCGAACAAUGUUUUCCAUGGCCCGUGGAGGCAUAAUAUUUCAAAGUAAAAUCACCUUCUUGCACAUUGAGGCCGCGAGACUAUAAAGGUUUGUUUGAGAGUGUGGUUGCAGUUGUUUUUUAAAGUGUUUUUUUCAUUCUGAAAUGCAUCAAAAUGAUUUUUUUUAUUUUUAACAAAAACAAUUCAAUUUUUUGUAAACUUGUAAAUUGACAAUAAUAGACUAAGAUGUUGGAUUGAUUGUAUAUAUUUUUUUUCUUCUAAAAAGAUAUUAAUUUAUUAUUUUUAAAUUUAUUUUAAUAUUUUGAUAUGUUAAUGUUAAAAAUAAAAAAAAUUAUUUUAAUAUAUUUUUUAAUAAAAAAACACAGCUUAAAUAUUAAACAAACACAAUUAUUUAUAAAAAAUAUCAUUCCAUAGGAAUUCAAACCCUAUGAUGAGUAUAACAACAAAGGACAAGGAAUUAGAGGGUGCCAAAAAUUUGAUUUUUUUUAUUUAAAAUUAUUUUUUUAUGAGUUAAGAAUAAUUAGGAGGCUUAACUUAUUGGUUAGCCAAUCAUUUUUCUAUUUAUAUGUGUAGGGCAAUAUACAAUAGUAAUGGUGAUAAUUAAAACACAUAAUUUAUGACUAUAAUAUUUUCUAUUUAGGUAUAUUCUAUAACAUGUCCCCUAAAGUUGAGUGUGGAGGAUCGACCUAAAGCUUGAAUCAAAAAGCAGUAAAUAGAGUAGUAGGAAGUGGCUUAGUAAAAACAACUGCAAGUUGAUUGUGAGAGAAGAUAAAGGGAAUCUAAAUCUCUUUCUUCGCAACCCUGUCUCGUACAAAAUGAUAGUCAACCUUAACAUGUUUAGUGCAAGCAUUGAAGAUAGGAUUUGCAGAUAAGAGUAGCGCUUAUAUUAUCACACCAAAUAAAAUGAGUAUAGUUAGAAAGAAUCUGCAUAUCUCUCAAUAGAUACUGAAGCCAUAUAACCUUAGCAGUGCUAUUUGUCAAGGCUUUAUACUCAAUCUUGGUCGAGGAGAGAGCAACUGUUCGUUGCUUGCUUGAUUUCUAUGAAACUGACGUUUGACUAAAGAAGACAAGAUAACCACCAGUAGACUUGCAAUCAUCAAUACUACCUGUCCAAUCUAUAUUUGUAAAGCCACGUAGAGUAAAUGAAGAACUGCGAGUGAUAUGUAAGCCAUAAGUGGUCAUACCUCGUAGAUAACACAUAAUACAUUUAACGACACCCAAUGAGAAUCUAUAGGAGCAUGCAUAAAUUAUCAGACUCUGUUAACAACAAAAUAGAUAUUUGGUCUCAUAAAGGUGAGAUAUUGAAGAGCAUCCAUAAUUUGACGAAACCUUGUAGGAUCAUAAAACAAGGGACCUGAGUAAAGAUAAGAGUAUUAAUCGGUUUGCAAGAAGUCAUACCUACUCGAGUAAGGAUGUCAAGAAUAUACUUAUAUCAGCAUAACAUCAGACCUGUAGCAGUGGACUGAACCUCAAUACCUAAAAAAUAUUGAACGACGCUAAGGUCAUGAAGCUUGAACUCUUAACUCAGUAACUGUAUUAGGUGGUGAAGCAUAGUAGAGUUGCUACCCGUAAGUAGAAUGUCAUCAACAUUAACUAGAAGAUAGAAGAUAUUAGCACCAACAGACAUAAUAAAUAAGGAGGUGUAAACUUUGGAAGUGUUGUACCCUCGCGGCGACCCUCGAUUGAUUUUGAUUUUUAUGUUGUGAAUAUGAGAGUUGCUACCUAGUAUUAUGGUCACUAGGAAUCCUAACUGGUAUUUUAGAGAUUCUAAGGUAAGGGACUGGUUACGUAAAGGGAAGGUAUUAUCACCUCUAGUACGCCCUAUCUAAGGUAAGCUGUUUGGUGUUUGUUUGCCUUAUAAUUGCUGUAGUGUUGGUGUUCUCUUAAUUAAUUUUAUUAGGACAGGUUUGCUAUGAUGAAUAGAUUUGGGUUCAAAGUCUAAAAGCAAAAACCCUUGGCCAAUAUUGAUCAUACCUUUAGAUAUGUCUACAAAGGGCUAAGGAGAACCAAUGCAGAUCUCUUGACAUCUGUGUUUGAUUCAAACUAAAUUUAUUAAGAUUGAAAUCCAAGGAGAUUCCAUGUGCUUUAAAAGCUCAUUUUCCCUUAAUAUUUCAAGAGUUUGCGACUCGUAAAUCGCAAGGAGGGACAAAAAAUUUAGAAAUCUAAGGAAAUUCAGGGUGCUUUAAAGCCCAUUUUUGCCUUAAUGUUUCAUAUUCUUACGGCUUGUAAACCGUGGAGUCAAAAAUUGAAAUAUCCUCAAUUAUAAUCAAGGCUUCUUUCAAGGAUGUGUGAUGACUUAUUAUUCCUAGAAAAUUAUUUUAGAUAUUUACCGUGGAUAUUUACCAUCUAUGGUUUCUUUAUCCAAAUAUUAAUAGUGAAUAAUAACAUGUUAUUCCCAAUAAUAUUUUGGAUAUUCAUCCUUUUGAAAUCUCUUUAUCCAAACAUUAACGGUGAAUAAUAGAAGAAUUCCCCCCAAAAUAUGAUUUUUAUAUUUUUUAGAAUAUUGGCCAACAUCCUUUGGAGUUUUACAAACAUGUUGUAAAAUCCAGAAUGCAAGAAAAUAUUUUUUUUUUGUUUAAGAACUCCAUGCUAAAACACAUUUUCUUUUAAACUUUGAAUAUUUUUUUUAAGAGGAAAUUCAAAAUAUGUUAAGGAAUUGGCCGUAUCCACGAAUUGUUUUUUGGAUAUAUAUGUAUACUUGUCACAUUACGUUAAAAAACUGGGUAUUCUAAAUGUGAGAUUGAAACUUUUUUACAAUAUUAAAAAAAAAUUCAAACCUUAAAAUAAAUAUGCCAGAAAAUCAUAAAUCUCUUUCUCUUUCUUUUUAUUUUUUUCGGGAAAGAAAAAAAAGUUGGAACCAGUAGGUCUGGCCGGGUCACUUGCCCAAGCAAGUGACCCGGCAGGACACAAAAAGGGUGCAAUCCUCUUAAUGAAAACUGGCGAGUUACUGUUCAAGUGAAUUAAUUCACUUAAACAAUACAAACACAACGUAAAGUGCAUGCAAAGAGACCAUGCUAUUGUUUGAGUGAAUUAAAAUUCACUUGAACAGUGCAAACACAAAGAAAACAAAUGCAUGCAAAAAGGUGAAGAGAACAAACCUGGAGGUGGGAACAAAAGGACAACGAUGAUGUUGAAGGCUUGCUGACUAGUCAAUCAGUGUUGCCGUCUGCUUUAGCUCUUUCCCCCUAUUCUCUGUUGGCAUUCGUCUUUUGAGUUUUACCUCUGCAAUCUUCGUCCCUCCCUCUCUUUACUAGUUUUCUGUGCUUUCUUCUCUCCUGUUUUGCAGAUUUUUUUUUGCAGAAAAUAGAGCAAAGACCGAAAGGCAGUCCCUGCUUCUUCCUUGGUCCUCUUUUUUUUUUUCCGUCUUUUUUUCUCUUCUUUCUCUUCUACUGCCUGCCUUCCUGAUCUAACAGUAACGCAAGGAUGAAGGAAAGAAACUCCCUUUGUUCUUUGUGUUUUUUUUUCUCUUCUAACUGCCUACCUCUCUUGCAUUUUUUCUUGUCUUUCUUUUCUCGUUCCCACCGUGUCUCCUAGCAUGAGAGGUUUAUAUAGCCUAACAUGCAGCUCUAUUUAGGAAACAAAUAUCACAUUAAUUCUAGGGUGUAAUCUUGGGUGAUCAAAUAAAGCAAAAAUAGGAAACUAAAAUAUUUUGAUUCUGAUUUUGUGAUCAUUUUCGCACCCAAAAAAAAAUCAGCGCGCGGCAUCGACUGACGAUUUUUCGUCUCGUUGUUGUUUGCUUGAAUUUGGUUCGUUGGAGUCGCCACCUAGUAAUUGAUUUCGGGCUACUAGGAAACUGGAUGUACUUGUCUUGUCAGAGAUUCGCGGGUAAGGGACUGGUUGUGGUUAGGGAAGGUAUUAGCACCCCUAACGCACCCUACCUGAGGUAAGCUGCUUCGUGGCUUUGACGUGUUAAAGAAGUUUUAAUAAUUGUCUUUUCAUCGGAAAUUAGAAAUAUCACUUACGUAUCAGUUAAUAAUUCUUAACCGUGAUCCGAUCAAAAUAUUAAAUUCUUCUUUAAUAUAUUUGCAAUUUUAUCCUAAAAAAAAAAUAAAAAAAAAUAUAUAUAUACAUAUAUACAAAUAAGUAAAACAAAAUACAAACACACACAUUCACUAUUUUCAUUUCUUUUCUUUUUCUUUUCUUUUACAUCCACAAUACAAAUACAAAUACAAAUACAAAUUCAAAUUCAAAUUCAAAAUAAAUAAAUAAAAAUACACCAACACACACAUCCCCUUUGUUAUUAUUAUUUUCUUUUCUUUUCUUUUUUUUUUCUUUUACAUUCACAUACUACAAAUUUAAAAUAAAUAAAAAAAAAUUACAUUAAAACUUUAAAAUUUACAAAAUGGUCCCUAAACAAUCCAUAACAGUACUGGGAAACCCUUCAGGAACAGUUCUGGGCUGCCUGAACAAUAGCGGCGCGUGGACCCCACGCACAGCCAGGGCAGUCGAUUUUAAGUUUUUCUUAGUUUUUCAAAUCUGUUUUUUUUUUAUUCUUUCUUUCUCCGCCUGCUGCUUCCUCUUCUUCUUCAGAUCGUCUUCCCUGUACAGGUGACGACUGCUGGAGCCCGGAGCAGCGGGUGGCGCCGCUGGGGAAAGGAGCUGCUGCGGUUGGCUUCGGUGGGCGCUGGGUUUCGUCUUCUUCUCCUCUGCUUCGGGUGGAAGAUCGGUGGCUUGGUGGAGGAUCUGAAAGGCGGUGGCUUGCUUCUGUUCGGGUCAGCUGUUGGGGGGUGGUUGCCUGAGUCAGUGGGUGCCGCUGCGGCUAAUCGGUGAAGACCGUGGGUCUGGGGCUGCUGAAGCUGGGACGCCGCUGCACGGUGAGGCUAAGAGAAAACUGGGAGAGCUGAAGGAGAUCGUGAACAGGCUGGAUCUCCGAUGAGGACGAGCGGAGAGAGAAGUGUGAGGGGGUGUUGAAAGAGAACCGGUUGAGGGACGGGGUGAGCUCCUAAUGAGGGCUCCGGUUUGGAGGGAGGGUCGGCUGAUAGAUGAGAGAGUGAGGUCGCCGGCGAGAUGGGGCUACAGGGAACCCAAAAAUGAAAGCCACCGGGGGGGGCUGCUGCUUGACCGAAAAAAAUGAACACGGUAGGGGCGGCUGUGUUUGGCUCCGGCUGAAUAGAAAAAAUAAAAUAAAAAUAAAACCAGAGGGGAAGGGGCCUUGGGUGAGAAGGAGCAACGGCUAGAAGUUCAAAAAAAUUCAAACCGGGGGGGCGGCUCCUUUGGGUAGAAUGAGGCAGCUUUUUUUUGUUUAGGGUUAGGGUUUUUUUUGUAUUUUAUCUUCUGAAAAUUUCCUAAUUGCCCCCCCUCCUUUGUGUGAGUUAAAGACUAGUAUUUAUAGGCAAAAAUGUUGUCAAGUUUUUCAACUUGGUCCCUCAACUUCUUUCUUUUUGUAAAUUUUGAUUUUUUUUUUUUUGAAAACGAGCAAAAUCAACGUCGACUCAAAUGCAGAAAAUCAAUGAUUUAAAAAUGACGCGUGAAAAGUCGAACGCGUUUGAAAAUAUUUUAACAAUUUAAAUUCUUUUUUAGACGACGUUGAAAAUGCUAAAAUGACGAAAAUAUAUUAAAAAACAUAUUUUUUGGAUUUUCUUUGUUUUUCUCAAUUUUUUUGGAUUUUUGAAAAUAUAUCAAAACAUGGGUCAAAAAUUGUGUAGCAACAAUCAUCAAUGAUUUGUUUCUAGUAAUUAGAGGAUGGUGCGGCUCCUUUUCAUCCUUCCAUAGCUGGGACCAUGAGGCACCAGCUGUUUCCUUUGAACCGAGGCAAAAAAUAAAAAAACAUGGUUUGCAGAUAAAAGGAAAGAAGACAACCAGGAUAUUUAAGUAGAGAAAAAAAAAAGAAAUGCAGAUGGGGAGGGGUGCAUGCUGCAAAGUCUUAUUUUCCUUAUUCGGUGUGGAGGAAAUCCCGUCAUUUUAUGAUGAUCUAGUCCCCUCUCCAACUUCUUAAAACCUAACCAAUAUCCUUCUAAUUUCACCUUAAAUUAAAUCCCUCAUUUUAGCACUUUUCAAUUUAGUCCUUGGUAAAAAAAAAAUCCUUCAAAUUGGCCCGUAAUCCCUUGAAUUAGACUUGCGAACUUGGGCUAAACCCUUCUCACGACGGGAUUCUCUCCUUUCAUAUUAGAUAAUCAAACGGGAAUAUCUUGAGCUUCUGAUUUCUAAAUCACGAGAUUCAAAAACUAAAAUUCAUCUACACGUAUAAGACUAUAACUUUCAUGAAGGAUCCAAAGUUAGAUAAAAUCGUUUUGAAGAACAGAAUUGCAAACAAACUCGGCUGGAAACCUUAUCGCGAUAGGAUUCUAUGCUUUCACACUAGAUUUCAAACGUGAAUAUGUUGAGCUUCGAAUACUAAAAUUAAGUAAUUCAAAAGCCUAAAUUCAUUUAUGCGUGCAGGUCUACAACUUUCAUGAAGGGUUUAAAGUGAGAUAAAUUCUUUUUGAAGAACAGAAUCUGGCCGCAAUCUGGUUGGUCAAAAAGGGUUUGUUGAUUUGACAAUGCUGAGCAUCUAAAUCUGACUGAGAGUUUUCCAUAGAAACAAGGAGCCCUAGGACCCAAUAAAGGUGUAGGUAAAUUCUUCAACAUAUCAUGAGUGACAGAAUAUAGCUAGGAUGUUCAGAUAUCGUACAAAACCAAGUCAGAAUCAGAGCCUAAGUUGGAACAAAAAAUUAUGACAGCAGCAACAUUAGUUUUUUUAGUGCAAAUUCUGAGGGAUUUAUCCAACCUUAAAAACAAGAUAAAUAAGGAAUAAAUUUAGCAUUAUGAAGACUCCUAGUCACUCUAAGAAACCUGACGAUUUUGGUAGCAAAGAGGAAGGAUAAAGAGGAAAGAAAACAACUCAAAUAGGGUUCGACAAACAUUUCUUCCUUCUUUGCUUUUGUCAAUCUUCCAUUAAACAUGAGCUACACUCCUGCACUUGGUUCAAAAGAGGUAUACACCAUCUCUAGCACGUGUGGUCAAAAAAUGAGUAACAACAGGAAGUAUAAAAGCCAAUAGAGAUAAGAAAAUCACUCAGACGAGUGUACCAUACCCAUGGGGCUUGUUUUGAACCAUAUAAAGACUCAUGCAACCGACACACAUGAGAGGGAAGAGCAGAGUCAACAAAAUUUGUAGGUUUUUCAUGUAGACCUCUUCAGCAAGAACACCAUUGAGGAAGGCAUUAUGAAUAUCAAGUUGAUAAAUCUUCUAAUUACUGGAGACCGCAAGGAGAAAACUAAUUUGAAUCUCUUGUGCUUAACAACUAGACUGAAAGUUUUAGAAUAAUCAAUGCCUUCUUGUUGAGUAAAGCCUCUAGCAACCAAAAAUGCCUCAUACUGCUCAACACUAUCAUCCACACGAUGUUUUAUCAUGUACACCCACCGGCUACUAACAACAUUCAUCGAAGGAUGAAAAUGAACUAAGGACUAGGUGUUAUUAGAGCAUAAGGCCCGAAUUUCAUCACGCCUAGCAUCAUGCCACACCUCAUUCUUGUCAGCAUUAGAGAAUAUAAAGGGUUCAUAAGCAGGAGAGGACGUUACCCGAUAGUGAGAAGCAGCAUAGGUGAUUGUAGAUGCUAUUAGGAGGGCAAUCUUUAGCAACUAUGGGUAAGAACCAUCUGAUGCUGACAAGCAGCAGACCGAGGGGCAGAAUAAUUUGAACUAGGAAGUUGCUGAACAGGAUAAGAUGAGAGAUCAAUAAAGAGUUGCAGACCUACAGGAGAAUAUGUCGAAAGACUAGAGCUCGCAACAGUAGAUGUGGGAGAACUUGCUAUAGAAUCAUAGUUGGCUACAGUGACAGGCCUGGAAAUAUGCAACUUUGAAGGAGGUUAACCUAUUCUUGCAUAAUAAUCAUUAGAGAAACAUGUAGAUGGUGACAUAAAGGCAGGGUUGGGUAGCAGAUAAGGGUGGGGAACGAUGAGGCUGUUUGGGUGGAGCUGAAGGGGCAACAAAUCUACUGGGUAUGGUGUUCAACGGGUCAGCAGGUAGAAAAUUUAGGGAGGUAAUUGAUAAGGAAAGUUUUAGCAUGCAUAUUUUCCACUAUUCAUCCUUGAUUUUUAAAUAUUUUGGAUGUGUUGGACAAGUUAAUUAGAAUUUUGGAUCUUUUUUUGAACUAUUGACCUUGUGAAAAAUUAAUGUGUUUUCAGAUACUAGAUUACUGGGUAGGCAGAAUCCGGUAGUAAAAUCAAACAUUGAUUGAUUUUAGGCUGCAAAGAAAGCUAUACAACUCAGUUCUAGGCGUUUGUCACCAUUUUCAAAUAUUUGAGAUGAAGGUCUACAAAACAUAUGGAGGGCAGAGAACUCAGUUUUGCUGUUUCUAAGCCUAAAGAGACAGUCGAAAAAUAGGGAUUGAAUCAUACCCGAACUUCCUGCACUCCAAAUGUUGUCUCAGGUUAUGACCCAUAUCUCAAGUCUCAGACGUCCAAAAAUUGCAAGAUCCAUGUCAUUGGAAAGAAUAUUUGAUUUUCUACAAUUUCUCCAGAAAUAGAGACCAUUGAAUUUGCACGUUUUUUGCCUUAAAUUUGGCCCGCAUUAUUCAAAAAGGAAAGGAAUACGAAGCAGAGAAGGAAAUUUUCUUCUUGCCAGCUAAGGGAUAAAAAGGCCAGAAUAUAAAAGAGAAGCAGAGAAGGAAAUUGUCCUUGCACUCACCAAUACUUUGAAUUAAAGGAAGAAACAAUACUAAUAUUUUCCCAUAUUGAUUGCGUCACUAUGUUCUUUUCAUUGCUACAAAGCAAGCUACCACCUUUUCCCUUUUUAAGUAAAAUGAAAUUUUUUUUAAAGAAAAUUUUUUGUAGCAACUAUGCUUUAGAUUUCGUUUGAUAUUAUGAUGUAUCGUGGUUGGAAUUGUUUUUGAAUUUAUUAUAAUUUUAAAAAUUAUUUGUUUUUUCUUUAUUUAAAUCUACUUUUCAUCUCAAAUAUUGGUAGAAAACUCGUAUUUGAAAAAGCUAUAACAUUUAAAAUUUAUUUUUUUAAAUCAUAACAGCAAAAAAUACUACAAAAACAAUCAUAUACUUAUGUUUUAUUUGGUAAUAUGGUUCAACAAGCUUUUCAAAAUGCUUUUUAAAUUGUUUUUCAUUUAAUGUUUUUAUGAAUACUUUUCAAUAAUUUUAAUGUGCUAAUACAAAAAAUAAAAAUAAUUUUUUUAAAAAUACCAUUUAUCUCAUUAUCAAACAUAUAUUUAAAGUCCAUUUGGGAAUAUGGAUGUAAUUGCGUUCCUUCAAAUUUCAACUUUAUUUUUUGCUUAUUUUUUUUUUUUUUAUGUUUUUAGAUCAUUUUGAUAUAUUAAUUUUAAAAAUAACUUUUAAAAAUAAAAAAUAUUAUUUGAAUAUAAUUUUUUAAAAAUAUUACUUUAAACCAUAAUCAUUAUAAUAAUUUCAAACAUUCUCUAACCUCACGUAUGAGGAUUCUUGUGCACUAUUUACGGUUUCAACAGAGUCCAAAAUCGACAUAAAAAUAGGAUGCAUGUUCCAUAGACCAAACUCUACUUUCCAUAGCAAGAGGACAAAUACAAAUUAUUAUAAUAUCUAUGAUGGGAUCUAAAACGAACUGAAGUCAACGUCAAGAGUAAAAUGCUCGUAAGAAUAAUAAUAAAAAAAGUUGUUCAUAGCUAAGGAGAAGACUGUAUAAAAAAAUCAAAGAUAUUAUGAGAGUUUCUAAUAUGAAAAUCUUGAAAAAGAUGGGAAAAUGAACACCAAUUAAGGUAUAAAUUCAUUGCAUCCAUAUUCUAUUUUCAACAAUAUAAGUUUCAUUAUUUAUUAAAAAUUAAAAUAUUAAAACCUAAUAAUAAUAAUAAAAAAAAAAGAUUGGAAGACUUAUUUUCAACAAUUUAUCUAACAAAAACACGAAAGAGCUUUUUUUUUUUUUUUUUUUUAAUCUGGAAAAAUAAAACUUUAAAACUUGGUAAGUGAAAAUGGGCCAAAACCAUGAGAUACAUAAAGCACAAAGCCUAGAAACUGCAGAAAAGCAACAUGAAAACAAAACCCAUAUCAUUGAAAAGCAGCCCAGUCUCAUUUUUGGACAAUUAAAAGCAUCUCAUAUUAUUACAACAAGAGAAUAAUUUUUUUUUUUUUUUAUGUAAUAUGGUUUUUAUCUUGUUUCCAAAAAAAAAAAAUAGUAUUCUUCAUGGAAUAAUAAUAGUCGUAUCUUUAUUUAAUUUGUUCUAUUACCAAACUUUGAUCCUAAAAACUCCAAUUUGAAUCUUAUUGUAAACACAAAAUCAAAAUGUUGCAAUUUAAUAGUAUUAUUCUUUUUUUCAUAGUUGAAAAUUGAGAAAAAAAUUAUAAUUGAGACAAUUAAAAUGAUCGAGAAAGAGGGUUUAUAAAUCAUGGUAAGAUUCAAAGCGAAAACAAUAUAAACUAUAUGAUUAAAAAAAUAAUAAUUUUGGUUGGUGUAGGUUAUCAACAUGUGUUCCAUAAUGAUGUUAUACCUAUUUGCAAUCGGGUCCAAGAAAGAAAGACAACCAUAUUUUGAGGGUUUCUACUUACUAAAAUCCAAAAAUAAAAAAUACAAGGACCAAGUUGUAUUUUUAUCAAAAUAUUUUGAGGGGUUCUGCAAAAUUUUCUAUCACCACCACCUCCUCCUCCUCCUCAUCCUCAUUGUUUUAACAAGUUUCCUACUUUUUAUAAGCUAAAACUCCAAAUUCUGUAUCACCACCUCCCUAUUUAUUUUUAUGUUUCAAAAGUAUUUUAAAAUUUUUAUUUAUUUUUUUUUUGCUUCAAAUUAAUAUUUUUUGGUAUUUUUAUAUCAUUUUGAUGCGCCGAUAUCAAAAAUAAUUUUUUUAAAAUAAAAACAAUUAUUUUGAUACAUUUACCAAUAAAAAACACUUUGAAAAAUAACAACAACCAUUCUCCCAAACACUCCACUAAAAGGUCUGGGAUUAUUAUUCUUUCAUGCAUUGUAGACUCAUACUCAUCUGAAUUGUGGAUUUACUAUGCCCAUGAAUUUUUUUUUUAUUUUGCCUUUUAAGGACCUAAUUUAAGGUUAAUUUAGCUAAAAUUGUCAAGGAAGGAUGCAAUUGAAAGAAAAAGGACUAAAAUGAAACACGUGGAGGAGAUGAGUGAUGAUUUUUUAUGUGUGCAAAAUGUGCAAUUUAGUUCUCAUUCUUUAUGAAAGUUGAGAAUAGUGGAAUGUGUUGGGUUGUGUCUUAGCCAACCUUCCUAUUUAUAUAGAGGCAACAAAACACUGCAGUAACUGUAAUGAUUACAACAUCCUAUAUUAAAAUCCUAUUCUGAUAGAUACAUGAGUAACUGUAAUGAUUACAACAUCCUAUAUUAGAAUCCUAUUCUAUAAUAUGCCCCCUCAAGCUGAGGGUGGGGGAUCAACCCGAAGCUUGAAUCGAAAAGCAGUAAAGGAUGCAACAGGAAGCGGUUUAGUGAAGACAUCGGCAAGUUGAUCCCGAGAGGGAACAAAACGAAUCUGAAUUUCUUUCUUGGCAACACGGUCACGGACAAAGUGAUAAUCCACUUCAACAUGCUUAGUACGAGCAUGGAAGAUAGGAUUUGCUGAGAGAUAGGUAGCACCAAGAUUAUCACACCAAAUGGUAGGGGCAGAGACUGAGGGAACCUGCAAAUCUGUUAACAAGUAUUGAAGCCAAAUGACUUCAGCGGUACCAUCAGCAAGGGCUUUAUACUCAGCCUCAGUAGAGGAGCGAGCAACAGUGCGUUGCUUGCCGGAUUUCCAAGAAAUCGGCGUCUGACCAAAAAAGACAAGAUAGCCGCCCGUAGACUUGCGAUCAUCAAUACUACCAGCCCAAUCUGCAUCUGUAAAGCCAUGUAGAGCAAAAGAGGAGCCUCGAGUGAUAUGGAAACCAUAAGAUGUCGUACCUUUAAGAUAGCGUAAAAUACGUUUGACAGCGGCCCAAUGAGAAUCUGUAGGAGCAUGCAUAAACUGACAGACUCUGUUAACAGCAAAGCAUAUAUCUGGACGGGUGAAGGUAAGAUAUUGAAGAGCACCCACGAUUUGACGAAAUCGUGUAGGAUCAGAGAAUGAAUGAUCCGGUAAUAAAAUGACUUUCGAAGGGGAGACUGGAGUAUCAACUGGUUUGCAGGAAGUCAUACCAGCUCGGGUGAGGAUGUCAAGAAUAUAUUUAUGUUGACGCAACAUUAAACCCAUACUGGUAGACUGAACUUCAAUACCCAGAAAGUAGUGAACAACACCUAAGUCACGAAGCUUGAACUCAGAGCUGAGUAACUGUAUAAGGUGAUGGAGCAUAGCAGAGUUGCUACCUGUGAGCAGAAUAUCAUCAACAUACACCAGUAGAUAAAAGAUAUUAGUACCAUCAGAUAAGAUAAACAGGGAGGUGUCAACCUUGGAAGCUGAGAAACCGAUGGAGAGCAAAAAAUCACUUAGACAAGUGUACCAUGCUCUUGGUGCCUAUUUCAAACCAUACAAUGAUUUGUGCAAUCUGCACACAUGAGAUGGAAGAGAAGAGUCAACAAAACCUGGAGGUUGUUUCAUGUAGACCUCUUCAGUAAGAACACCAUUAAGGAAGGCAUUAUGACUAUCAAGCUGAUGAAUCUACCAAUUUCACGAAACCGCGAUAGAGAAAACCAAUCGGACAGUGGCCUGCUUAAUAACUGGACUGAAGGUUUCAGAAUAAUCAAUACCUUCCUGCUGGGUAAAACCUCUAGCAACAAGGCGCGCUUUAUAGCGCUCAAUACUACCAUCAACACGACGUUUGAUCCGAUAUACCCAUCUACUGCCAACAACGUUCAUCGAAGGAUGAAAUGGAACCAAAGACCAAGUGCGAUUUUCGCGUAAAGCGGCGAUCUCAUCACACAUAGCAUUAUGCCAAACUGCAUACCGGUCAGCAUCAGAGAAUGCAAAAGGCUCAGAAGAGGGAGAAUACAGUACCCGUGUGGAGGUAGAAGUAGCGGCAGCGGAAGCAACCAGAUUAGCUGUCUUGGCUGCUGCGGUCUAAGAGUCAUAGGAUGUCUCUGUGUGCUGGUGGAGACGCAGGGGAAGACGGUUGUAGCGAGGAGACCUGUGGCAGCUGAUAAGAAGACAAAUCAACCAUAAGUUGCAGACCAGCGGGAGAGGAUGAUAAAGAAGCAGCCUCAAGCACAGGACUGUCAGCAGAAGAGGGCUGGAAGUAGAGACUGAAGCUGCAGGAGUGCUGGCCAGGGAGGGCGAAGCAGAGGAGAGACUAGAAAGUGCCCCAAGACCAUGAGGAGAGGAGACCAAUUGACGAUCUGAACCUGCAUCAUAAGGGUUAGAUAAACAAGCAUGGGAUGAUGGCCAAGGGAUGGGUGGAGGCUGUGGUUGGGUGGCUGUUUGGAGUGGCAAAACGGAGUGUUGUGGGUUGUUUGGGUGGCUAGUGAAAGUGGUUGGUGGUGGGUGGUUUAGCAAAUUUGGGAGGGUGACAGUAGCGGGUGGGGUGGGGGUUGUGGUGGAGACCUUUGCAAUCUGUUCAGAAUUAUCAAAUGGAAACACAUGUUCAUGGAAGCGGACAUGACGGAAAUAUAAAUACGGUGAGAUGCAAUGUCAAGACAUCGAUAACCAAGAUGCGAGGAACUAUAUCCAAAAAACACACAUGGAGAGGAAACGAAAAUCCAAUUUAUGAUUAUUAUAUGGACGCAGAAAAGGAAAACAGAGACACCCAAAGGUACGCAAAAAAUGAUAAUCAGGAGAUCGUUGAAAUAAACAAUCAAAUGGAGAGCGAUGGGCAAGAACAGGAGUAGGCAUGCGAUUUAUAAGAUAAACAGAGGUUUCAAAAGCAUAAUUCCAGAAUCGAAAAGGUGUUUUACAUUGCCCUAAAAGAGUAAGACCUGUUUCCACAAUAUGCCUAUGACGACGCUCUACUGUUCCAUUUUGUUCAUGAGUGUGGGGACAAAUCAGACGAUGAUGAAUACCAAUGGUCUGAAAAAAUAUGGAUAGUUUUCGGUAUUCACCGCCCCAAUCAGUUUGAAUAGAUUUUAUUUUUAAUGAAAAUUGACGUUCGACAAGAGUCUGAAAUUGAUGAAAACAGAGUAAACAUCAGACUUGGCAACGAGAGGAUAAUACCAUACCUAUUUAGUAUAAGCAUUAACAAAGAUAACAAAAUAACGAUAGCCAUCUGAAGAAAAAAGAGGAGCAGGGCCCCAUACAUCACUAAAAAUUAAUUCAAGUGGAGCAGAAGUUUUGUGACCCGUAGGUCCUAAAGACAAACGCGAUGAUUUUCCUAAAGGACAACUUUGACAUUGAAAAUUAAGACGUUUGUUGUUACAAAUGAUCUUAUUUUUCGAGAUUAACAAUUGAAAAAUACGUGAAGUAGGAUGACCUAGUCGACGAUGCCAUAAAUCGGCAGAGGCAGAAGUGCAGGGAGACCAAUAGGCUUGAGGAACUGACGUGACGGAAGACUUGGUCAGGGCAUAGAGACCAUCUUUACUCUAACCUGAGAGGACUUCAUGGGUGUUGAAAUCCUUGACAUAAAACACACGAGGGUGAAAUUCAAAAUAAACAUUAUUAUCAAGACAAAAUUUCUGAACAGAGAGCAGAGGUUUUGUGAUUGCAGGAACAUGAAGAACAUUAGAUAAGGUGAAAGAACGAUGUGGUGUAUAUAUUUUUGUAUGACCAAGAUGAGAUAUAGGAAGGCCCUUACCAUCACCAACAUGCAAAUUAUCAUUACCAAGAUACGGUUCUGAAGCGGUCAAGGUGGCAAGAUCAGGUGUGACGUGUUGAUUGGCACCGGUAUCUGGAAACCAAUCAACAGAACCGGUUGAGGAGAGAUUGCACUGCACCAGGUUGGCAGUAGGUUGUUGGCCAUAACCUCGCUUCUGGAAUUGAGGGCAAUGAAGAGCUGUAUGGCCGAAAUUCUGACACAGUUGGCAGCGUGGAUUUUGCCCCUAUUGCGCUGCCAAGAGCCCUGCCUAUUAUCACCGAAGGAGGAGUUUUGGAAGCUGCGGUGAUCAGGUCUGGAGCCAGAAAAUCGGUUGCCUCUGCUGUUGGACUGGUUGGGACGCCAGCCACCGUUGAAGCGGCCCCUACUGCGGCCAGAAUUGCCAAAAGUCUGGCGCUGCGCAACAAGAGCAGAAGAUGGAAUGCUGGGUGUGGGCAGCAGAGGAGCAUGUAUGGCAGCAGAAGAUUUAUGAAGAAAUUCAUGUGUGAGGAGAUGGCUGUGAAGAUCUGCAUAUGAUAAAGGUUCAGCCUUCAUAAUAAGACUGGUAACUAAGUCUUUAAACUCUCCCUGAAAACCACAAAACACAUAAAUUGAAAUCUUCAAGGGAAACUGGCCGACUAGCAGCGACCAAUUCAUCAAAUAAGGCCUUCGCUUUUUGCAUAAAUUGAGUUACUGAUUCAUCAUCCUAUCGAAGAUCCUGAAGAGAGCCAUGAAGUUGCAUAGUACGAGAGUUGGAGGUGGAAGCGAGAGCUCGCUCACGAGUGCCCCAAGCUGAACAAGAACUUUGACAGCCAACAACAAGAUGCAAUACUUCCAUAGAUAGGGAGGAAAUAAGAGCACUUAGAAUGAGUUGGUCCUGUUGUUUCCAGGUUUGAAAAAGCGGAUUUACCUGAAGAUAAAUACCAUCAUGGGCAAGAACAUGUGUUGAUAGAGAUGUGUUGGAGCAAUCAACAAAACCAAAAACUCCUUGGCCUAGGAGAUAAGGCACAAUCUGCAUACACCAAUAUGAAUAAUUGGUGUUUGUUAAUUUGAGGGAGAUGACUUGAUGAGUGUGAGAAAGGGAGAUAAUGCUUGCGACAGUAGAGGUAACAGAGGCAGCAGACGUGGGUUGCAAGAGGAGGCGUUCACUAGCCAUGGUAGAGGAGAAUCCAAACGAUGACACAACAGAGGAAAGUAGAGAAGGCGCUGCAAGAGAAGAGGGUUGCACUGUCGGAGAAGAAGAAAGCUGGACUGCUGGUGCUGCAGAAUUUGAAGAUGUAUGUGGCAACUGUUCUAUUGAAGAAAUAGAGGCUGGAAGGCUGUGAGAAAAGUAGGUUUAAUUUAUUUUAGGGUUUUGUGGCUCUGAUACCAAGUUGAGAAUAAUAGAAUGUGUUUGGUUGUGCCUUAGCCAACCUUCCUAUUUAUAUAGAGGCAGCAGAACACUUCAGUAAGUGUAAUGAUUACAACAUCCUAUAUUAGAAUCCUAUUCUAUAAUAAUGAAUAAUAACAAUUGGGUCCCUCUAAUUUUUAAAGUUUCAAAAAAAUCAUGUUUAUUAUUUUUUAAUUCUUGGUGUUGUUACUCAUUUUUUUGGGCCCUACGUGCUAAUAGAGAUGGUGUAUAUCCCUUUUAAAUCGAUAAAAGCAAAGAAGAAAGAAAUGUUUUUCGAACCCUGUUUCAGUCAUCUUCUGCUAUCUUUAUCCUUCUGCUUUGCUGCCAAAAUUGUCAGGAUUCUUAGGCUAAUUAGGAGUCUUUAUAAUGCUAAAUCCAUCUCUGUUUUUUUUAUCUGGUCUUUAAGGUUGGAUAAAUCUCUAAGAAGUUGCAAUGAAAAAAACUGAUUCUGCUGCUGUUGUAAUUUUUUGUUCCAACUUAGGCCCAAAUUAUGACUUGAUUUUGUGCAAUAUUUGACCAUCCCAGCCAUUUUUUGUCACUCAUGACAUGUUGAAGAAUUGACCUACACAUUUAUUGGGUCAAAUUAGGAUGCUUUGCAUUCUUAUUUAGAAUAAUUUAAAUGCACAUCCUUGAAAUAAGCCUCAAUUAUAAUUGGGGAAAUUUCAAAUAUUAGUUCUGCGGUUUAUGAGUCAUGAAAUACUAAGGCAAAAAUAAGCUUUUUAAAGCUAUUAUAGAAUAGAAAAUUAAUAUAGGAUGUUGUAAUCAUUACAGUUACUCAUGUAUCUAUCAGAAUAGGAAAGUAAUAUAGGAUGUUGUAAUCAUUACAGUUACUGCAGUGUUCUACUGCCUCUAUAUAAAUAGGAAGGUUGGCUAAGGCACACCCCAACAUAUUCUAUUAUUCUCAACUUGGUAUCAUAGCAACAAAACCCUAAAAUAAAUUAAACCUACUUUUCUCCCAGCCUCCCUUCUUCAAUGGAACAACCACUAUAUACAUCUUUAAAUUCUGCAGCACUAGUAGUCUAGCUUUUUUCUUCUCCGGCAAUGCAGCCCUCUUCUCUUGCAGCGUCUCCUGCACUUUCCUCUGCUGCAUCACCGCCUGGAUUCUCCUCUACCAUGGCUGGUGAACACCUCCUCUUGCAGCCCACGUCUGCUGCCUCUACUGCCGCAAGCAUUAUCUCCCUUUCUCACACUCAUCAAGUCAUCUCCCUCAAAUUAACAAACAGCAAUUAUUUAUAUUGGUGUAUACAGAUGCUGCCUUAUCUCCUAGGCCAAGGAGUUUUUGGUUUUGUUGAUGGCUCCAACACAUGUCCAUCAGCACAUGUUCUUGCCCAUGAUGGUAUCUCUCUUCAGGUAAAUCCGCUUUUUCAAACCUGGAAACAACAACACUAACUCAUUCUAAGUGUUCUUCAUUCCUCCCUAUCUGUGGAAGUUUUGCAUCUUGUUGUUGGCUGUCAAAGUUCUUAUUCAGCUUGGGGCAAUCUUGAGUGAGCUCUCGCUUCCACCUCCACCUCUCGUAUUAUGCAACUUCACGGCUCUCUUCAGGAUCUUCGACAGGGUGAUGAAUCAAUAACUCAAUUUAUACAAAAAGCGAAGGCCUUAUUUGAUGAAUUGGCCGCUGCUGGUCGACCAGUUUCGCUUGAAGAUUUCAAUUUAUGUGUUUCGUGGUCUUCGGGGAGAGUUUAAAGACUUAGUUACCAGUCUUGUCGCACGUGUGCGGCGGCGCGGCGAUCGUCCACCCUCAAGGAAAAAUCGGAAUAUUUAUUCCUUGGAAAAAGGGAGAGACAAGGAAUUCUUGUCUCUACAAGUGAAAAUAUGGUUUGGGAGUCGCCACCUAGUAUUCUGGUUACUAGGAACCUUAACUGGUCUUUAGAGAUCAGGUACGGAGACUGGUUGCGUAAAGGGAAGGUAUUAGCACCCCAACUACGCCCUACCUAAGGUAGGCUGCAUUGUUUUAAUGUCUGAUAACAUCUAAGGUCGUGUUUGUGGUUUUUAAUUUUAUUGUUCGGAAUACGCAUUACAUGUAAUGUCAUAUCCCAAGUUCUAAAAAAAAUUAAAUUAAAUAUCCGGAAUAUGUAUUACGUAUAAUGUCAUACCCCGGAUAUUAAAAGAUAAACAAAAUAAAAUUGUUGUUGUUUUUUUGAAAUUUUGGCCAAUAUUCUCUUGACUUUAAUAAACUGGUUAUUAAAGCCAAAAUGCAUGCUAAAACAUUGAUUUUUUUUUUGUAUGAAAAAUACAAAAUGAUUUUUUUUUUUGAGACAUUUGGCCGUAUGCACAAAAACAUUUUUUUUUAAUUUGUUUUUAUAUUCUUGAAAGUCGAAAACCGGGUAUUUCAGUACCGGAUUUGUAUUUUACGACAUAAAAAUAUUGUCCGAUAUUACAUAAAAACUACGCGGAAAAAUUAUAAAAGAAAACAAAUAUUUUUGAUUUUUUUUUUAUGGGCCGGAUGAAUAGUACCGUAUGAAUAGUACCACAGGACGAAAACGGGGUAUAAUACAGACGAUAUUAAGCAAAAUGAUAGAAGAAAAUGUGCUUUUUUUUAAAAAAUAAAAUAUAAAAAUUAUAACAAACAAAAUAAUAAUAAUAAUAAUAAUAAUAAUAAAUAAUAAUAAUAAUAAAUAAAUAAAAAAAAACAUGGGCCGGACCCAGCCCAAAUGCAUGGGCUGGGCCAACCAAGCCCGUUUACAGGGGCUGGGCUGAACGACCCAGGCCCAGGCCCAAAUGGGCUGGUUACUGUGCAUCAGCACAGUAACCAGCCCACGCUGCAUUUUGCAGCAGAACGUGAAUUAUUCACGUUCUGCAUGCAAGUGCAAGCCGGGGCAGCAGGAGAAGAAAAGAUCGGGGAGCAGGAGGGUACCUGGGGCGGCGUCGAGGCGGUUCUGCUGGCGGAGGCGGUGCUGCUGUCGGUGGUUCCAACGGCGGUCCUCCUUCUUCCUCUUUCUCUCUGUUUUUCUUUUCUUCCCUCUCUGCCGCUUCUCUUUCUUCUUCCUUUUGUUCUGUUUUUUUUCUUUUGUUUCUCUCGUCUCUUUACUCUCUUUCUAUCGUUCAAUCCUUCCCCUUCUCCCUCUCCUUUUUUUUUUUUUUUUUCGGUUCCUCCCCUGUUUUUAUAGGCAAAAACAGGGGAAGGAAUGGUGGGGCGGGCCACUGUUGGCCGCCCCUCCACUAGCCGUUUCAAAAGGAUGGCAAGUGGGCUGAAUGGUGGCGUCUUAUUGCGUAAAAGGGGAAAGAAGUUAGGCGAAAAGGGAGAAGAAAAAUCUUCUUCUUCCCCUGCCUCGCGCGUCCAGGGGAAGAAGAAGACCUACAGUGCCGUCAAAACGGCGCCGUUUUGGGCUUCUGUUUUUUUUUUUUUUUUUUUUUUUUGCAACAGUGAAUGAAACGGCGCCGUUUUGGUCAAAACGCGCCGUUUCAUUUAAAAGAAAAAGGCGCCAAAAUGCGUCAGAUUUCAAAGAAGGCCCUCAAAUUGCGCGCGUUUUACAAUUUCGUCCUUGGUCUCGGAUUUCUUCAAUUUAGUCCCUAAUUGGCCAUUAAACUUCAAUUUUAUGCAAUUAAGCCCCUGAUUUGACCAAAUUAACUUCCAAAAAUUAUAAUUUGACCCCAGAAAAUUAAUUUCUUCCAAUUAAAACCCAAAAUAACUCCAACAUCAAUUGUUUUUGCAAUUAAAACCUCUAUAAAUUCAAUUAAACCUUCACUAAAAUUUAAUCGAGUCCAUAUACUUCUAAUUUUGCAUUGUUCUUCCUGAAAUUGAAUUUUCUUUAUCAUCGGGGCUCUCAUCAGUCAAUGAUAUACUGUCAAAAAAUAAUUUUUAUAUUUUUGAAAAUCCUCAAUCAAUUUUUGAGCAUUUUUAGGGCGCUCCGGCAUUUUUUCACUGUUAUAUUUUUUGAUAAUAUAUUUUUUUGUAUUUUAUUAUUUUUUAUGUGGAGACCCAGAAAUGGGUUACAACAAGUCUUAUCACGAAGGCUGAACCUUUAUCAUAUGCAGAUCAUCACAACCAUCUCCUCACACAUGAAUUUCUUCACAAAUCUUCUGCUGCCAUACAUGCUCCUCUACUGCCAACACCCAAUAUCUCCUGGUGUAUGUUGAUGAUAUUCUGCUCACGGGUAGCAGCUCUGCUAUACUCCAUCACCUUAUACAGUUACUCAGCUCUGAGUUCAAGCUUCGUGACUUAGGUACUAUUCACUACUUUCUGGGUAUUGAAUUUUAGUCUAGCGGUAUGGGUUUAAUGCUGCGUCAACAUAAAUAUAUUCUUGAAAUCCUCACCCGAGCUGGUAUGACUUCCUGCAAACCAGUUGAUACUCCAGUCUCCCCUUCAAAAGUCAUUUUAUUACUGGAUCAUUCAUUCUCUGAUCGUACAUGAUUUCGUCAAAUCGUGGGUGCUCUUCAAUAUCUUACCUUCACCCGUCCAUAUAUAUGCUUUGCUGUUAACAGAGUCUGUCAGUUUAUGCAUGCUCCUCCAGAUUCUCAUUGGGCCGCUGUCAAACGUAUUUUACGCUAUCUUAAAGGAACGACAUCUUAUAGUUUCCAUAUCACUCGAGGCUCUUCUUUUGCUCUACAUGGCUUUACAGAUACAGAUUGGUCUGGUAGUAUUGAUGAUCACAAGUCUACGGGUGGCUAUCUUGUCUUUUUUGGUCAGACGCUGAUUUCUUGGAAAUCCGGCAAGCAACGCACUGUUGCUCGCUCCUCUACUGAGGCUGAGUAUAAAGCCCUUGUUGAUGGUACCACUGAAGUCAUUUGGCUUCAAUACUUGUUAACAGAUUUGCAGGUUCCCUCAGUGUCUGCUCCUACCAUUUGGUGUGAUAAUCUUGGUGCUACCUAUCUCUCAGCAAAUCCAAUUUUCCAUGCUCGCACUAAGCAUGUUGAAGUGGAUUAUCGCUUUGUCCGUGAUCGUGUUGCCAAGAAAGAAAUUCAGAUUCGUUUUGUUCCCUCUCGGGAUCAACUUGCCGAUGUCUUCACUAAACCGCUUCCUGUUGCAUCCUUUAUUGCUUUUUGGUUCAAGCUUCGGGUUGAUCCCCCACCCUCAGCUUGAGGGGGCAUAUUAUAGAAUAGGAAAUUAAUAUAGGAUGUUGUAAUCAUUAUAGUUACUCAUGUAUCUAUCAGAAUAGGAAAGUAAUAUAGGAUGUUGUAAUCAUUAUAGUUACUCAUGUAUCUAUCAGAAUAGGAAAGUAGUAUAGGAUGUUGUAAUUAUUACAGUUAUUGCAGUGUUCUACAACCUCUAUAUAAAUAGAAAGGUUGGCUAAGGCAUGUUGCACCCUCGCGGUGGAGUGCGGCGUCGCGACGACUUUCGAUUGAAUUUCAGGUUCUUUUGUUUUUUUGUAAAGGGAGUCGCCACCUAGUAUUUUGGUCACUAGGAACCCUAACUGGUCUUUCAGAGAUUCUAAGGCAAGGGACUAGUUGCGUACAGGGAAGGUAUUAGCACCUCUAGUACACCCUACCUAAGGUAAGCUGCUUGGUGUUUGGUUUGCUCUAUAAUUGCUUUGGUGUUGGUGUUUUCUAAUCCCAUCAAUUUUCCUAGGUUUGAUUCAAAUAAAAUUUAUUUGGAUAAGAAAUCCAUGGAGAUUCCAUGUGCUUUGAAAGCUCAUUUUUCCCUUAGUAUUUCAAAAGUUUGCGACUCGUAAAUCGCAAGGAGGAGGGACAAAAAAAUUAGAAAUCUAGGGCGCUAAAAAAAACCUAUUUUUUUUAGUAUUUUAUACUCUCACGGCUCGUAAACCGUGGAGUAAAUUUUUUUUUGAAAUGUCCUCGAUUAUAAUCAAGGCUUCUUUCAAGGAUGUGUGCGGAUUUAUUACUCCCAAUAAUAUUUUGGACAUUCGUCCUUUAAGGAUUUCUUUAUCCAAAUAUUAGCGGUGAAUAAUAGAUGAAUUCCCCCCCCAAAAUAGGAUUUUUAUAUUUUUUGAAAUAUUGGCCAAUACCCUUUGGAAUUUUACAAACAUGUUGUAAUAUCCAGAAAUGCAAGAAAUAUUUUUUUUUUUGUUGUGUUUACGAAAUCCAUGCAAAAAAAUACAUUUUUAAAACUUCCAAUAUUUUUUGUAUAAAAAAACGUUCAAAACAUGUUAGGGUAUUGGCCGUAUGCAACAGACAAUAAAAAUUUUAAAUUUUAUUUCAUCGAAACACAAGCAUCACAAUUAAACACAAGAAAAAUCGCAAUAGAAGCUAAAUAGCCGUUAUAUAUAUUAUAAGAUUUAUAAUGAGCUUAAAGCAAUAAAAAAAAAAUUCAAAGCCAACUCAAUGCGCAGACAGCAAGAACAAAAUAAAGCUGGGAGCCAUCACAAAAAAAAACAAAGGCCGGCUGAUUUCUUCUCCAGCAGGUGUAAGGAAAACAAAAAGAAAGUCCCUAAAUGUAAAAGUUCCUAAACAUGAAAGACAAACCCUUUUUACAUGGACAGCAGCUGAACUCAAAAAUCAUGAAAGAAAUAAUAGGCAAGAGUUGGUUUUUCUAAACAGAAACCAAAUAUUCAGAGGGAAGAAACAACUUUUACAACCGCAUGCCUAGUAUAAAAUAACAAAGGCGGAGAGAUUGUGGCUUAUACCUACAACUCCUGUUUGCAGAAAAUAAAAACCAAAUACUGAGAGACUCACGUAUGCCUCCUUGGUUACUAGAAAAUGACGGACGAAAAUAGAAAUGCUGAAACGGACGAAAUAUUUCAGCUAUGUGCUGGUAAAUAUCUGGUUUCCCCGUCGCCUGCCUCUCUUGCGUUUUCUUUCAAAACUGCAGCUCCUGUUUGCAGAAAAUAGAACUCAAGGCCGAAAGACAAAGCUCACGCGUGCCUCCUUGGAUGUUGGUAAAUGACAGACAAAAAUAGAGAUGCUGAAGCGGACGAAAUAUUUCAGCUAUGUGCUAGUAAAAAACUGGUUUCCCCGUCGCCUGCCUCACUUGAGUUUUCCUUCUCUUUCUUUUGCUGUGUUUUUUUUCUCUCCGUUUUUCUGCUCUCUUUUUGCUUUUUUUUGCUCUCUCUUUCCUCCUUUUUUGUUUUCGUUCCUCUCCUCUCUAUCCUCUCUUCUUUUCUGCCUCUUUUAGGUCAAUAGCCGAGGCUUCUAUAUAGCCUAUACAUGGCUUUAUUUAGGAAAACAUUUUUACAUUAACUCUAUGGUGUAAUAUCGGGUGAGCAGAAAUAGGAAACCAGAAUAUUUGAUUCUGAUUCUGUGAUCAGCAGUGAUUUCUUUCCUAGUUAGAGGAUGGUGUGACUCUUUUCUUUUCUUCCAUAGAGUCAGCUGCUCCCUUUAAAAUGAAGCAAUAAAAAUGUGGUUUGUAGAUAAAAGGAAAGAAGAAAACUGGGGUAGCUAUGUAGAGAAAAAGGAAAGAAAGAAUUGCGGACGGGGAGGCAUUGUUUUCCUUUUCUGAUCUAAUUCAUGUUCUUCAAUUUCGUCACCCGGUAAAAUUUCUUCUAAUUUUAUCUUCAAUCAACUCUCUUAUUUUAACACCUUUUCCAUUUUAUCCUUGGUCCAUAAAAGGGCUUCAAAUUGGCUUGCAAAUGGUCUUCAAUCUUUAAGCAUCUUGCAAUUGUGUCCCUGCAAACUUGGAAAAAAAAUCCUUCUCGCGGCAGGAAUCUUCGCUUUCACACUAGAUAUUCAAACGGGAAUAUCUUGAGCUUCUGAUAUCGAAAUAAAGCGAUUUAAAAACCCAAAUUCAUCUACGUGUCCCAGACUACAACUUUGAUGAAGGAGUCUAAGUGAGAUAAAAUCUUUUUACUGAACAAAAACUGGCAGUAAUCUAUGUGAUCAAAAGGGAUCUCUGGGUCUAACUCAAAAACUGAUGAAUGCAGAGAAUCCUGAUAUGACUGAAAGUAUGAACUAAGAACAAAAAUCACAAAAACUAGGCGAAAACUAGAGUUUUUUUAGUGCAGACCCGGGUCAAUAUCCUUCUCGCGGUAGAAUUCUCUACCUUUACGUUAGAUAUUCAAACGGGAAUCAAGCGAUUCAAAAGCCAAAAUUAUUCUACGCAUCUAGGACUACAACUUUGAUGAAGGAGUCAAAGUGAGAUAAAAUCUUUUUACAUAACAGAAACUAGCAGUAAUCUAAUUGGUCAAAAAGGUUCUUGAUCUGACAAUGCUGAGCAUCCAAAUCUGACUGAGAAUCUACCCUAAGAACAAUGAUUCCUAGGACCUAAUAAAGGUGUACGUUAAUUUUUCAACAUGUCAUGAGUGACAAAAUAUACCUAGGAUGGUCAGAUAUCGUAGGAAAUCGAGUCAGAAUCAGAUCCUAAGUUGGAACAAAAAAAUUGCAACAGCAGAACCAUUUUUUUAGUGCAAAUUCUGAGGGAUUUAUUCAACCUUAAAGACCAAAUAAAAAAGGAACAAAUUUAGCAUUAUGAAGAAUCCUGAUCAACUUAAGAAAACCUGAUGAUUUUGGUAGCAAAGGGGAAGGAUAAAAAGAGCAGAAAAUAGCUCACACCAGGUUUUCGAAAAAAAAAUUUCUUAUGUGCUUUUGUCAAUCUUCUAGCGAACAUGAGCUAAACUCCUACACUCUAUUUAAAAGAGGUAUACAUUGUCUCUAGCACGUGGGGGUCCAAAAAUGAGUAACAACAAGGCACAACCCAACACAUUCCAUUAUUCUCAACUAAAGCACCUUGAAUUUCCUUAGAUUUCUAACUUAGUUUUUGUUUUGUUUCUCUUCCUUGUGAUUUACGAGUCGCGAACACUUGAAAUACUAAAGAAAAAAAUGAGCUUUUAAGCACAUUGAAUCUCCUUAGAUUUCUAUCUUAGCUGUCUUUUAAUUCAUAGGUUGAAAAUUUAUUUCAAAUCAAACAUAGAUUUCAAGAGAUCUGCAUUGGUUAUCUUUGGCACUCUAUAGACAUAUCUAAAGGCAUGAUCCAUAGUGGCCAAUGGUUCUUUCUUUUAGACUUUGGACCUAAGUUUGUUCAUCAUAGUAGACUUAUCUUAGGAAAACGGAUGGGAUUAGAGAACAUCAACACCAUAGCAAUUGUCGCAACCUCCCGGCGGCGUCGCGGCGUCGCGACGACCCUUCCUGGAGCGUGGAAUUGAUUUUUCAGGGUCUUUUUUUUGUGAAUAAGGGAGUCGCCACCUAAUAUUAUGGUCACUAGGAAACCUAACUGGUCUUUCAGAGAUUCUAAGGCCAGGGAUUAGUUGCGUAAAAGGAAGAUAUUGGCACCCCUAGCACGCCCUAUCUAAGGUAAGUUACUUGGUGUUUGGUUUGCUUUAUAAUUGUUAUGGUGUUGGUGUUUUUUAAUCCUAGCAGAGUUCCUAGGAUAAGUUUGCUAUGAUGAACAAAAUUGGACUCAAAGUCUAAAAAGAAAGAACCCUUGGUCAAUGUGGACCACACCCUUAGAUAUGUCUGCAAAGUACCAAGGAGAACUAAUGCAGAUCUCUUUAACUCUAUGUUUGAUUUGAAAUAAAUUUAUAACCUAUGAAUUAAAAGACAAGUAAGAUAGAAAUCUAAGGAGAUUCAAUGUGCUUAGAACCUCAUUUUUCCCUUAGUAUUUCAAGUGUUUGCGACUUGUAAAUCGCAAGAAUCAUGAACAAAGAUUUAGAAAUCUAAGGAAAUUAAAAGCCUCCUAUUGCCUUAGUGUUUCAUACUUUCACGGCUCGUUAACCGUGGAGUCAAAAAUUGAAAUGUCCUCAAUUAUAAUUGAGACUUGUUUCAAGGAUGUGUGAUGACUUAUUAUUCCUAGAAAAAUAUUUUUGAUAUUAACCACUUAGUUUUUUUAUCCAAACAUUAACAAUGAAUAAUAACAGGUUAUUCCCAAUAAUAUUUUGGAUAUUAAUUCCUUUGGGAUUUUUUUAUCCAAAUAUUAAUGGUGAAUAAAGUCGAAUAAGUUGUAUUACCCUCAACAAUAUUUUGGACAUUUACCUUCCAUAGGUUUCUUUGUCCUUAUAUUAUUAAAGGAUAUUGACUUAUUAUUCCUAAAAAAAAUAUUUUGAAUAUUAACCACUUGGAGUUUUUUUAUUCAAAUAUUAACAGUGAAUAUUAGAUGAAUUUCUCAAAAAUAAGAUUUUUAUAUAUUUGGAAUAUUGACUAACACCCUUUGUAAUUCACAAACAUGUUGUAAAAUCUAAAAUGCAAGAAACUAAUUUUUGUGUUUAGAAAACUCAUGCUAAAACACAUUUUCUUUUAAACUUUGAAUAUUUGAUUUUUUUUAUUUUUAAAAAAGAAAUGUUUAAAAUAUGGCCGUAUGCAACACAUGAAAAUAUUUUUAUAUUCGAUCAAAGACACAAGCAUCAUAAUUAAACCCAAACAUCACAAUUAAAGUUAACAAAUUGUCACAUAUAUUCUAAGAUUUACAUUAAACUUAAAACGACUCAUAAUAAAACUUGCAAAGCCAACCCCACUUAAACCAGAUUCGGCUCGCUUACUUCGACUCAAACUUCUGUAAAUGGGAAAGAAGUCCGUAUGCACAAGGGAGCCAAAAAUUCUAAAACCAAAAUUUUGAACUCAAAAUCCUAGGACGGUGUCCGUACCUCGUCAUCCCACCUUUGUUUUAAUUUUGAGACCCGUUUUACCCGUUCCAUGCAAACCUAAAAAGAACGCUUAGGAGCACCUUUAUAUCAUGUAUGUCACGAACUAAAAGGCACCCGAACAGAGGGGAAAAAAUGAGGGUCUUUGAAGCUCAUGGCCUCUCGCGGUAGGAGAAUGAAGCAAGAAAACACGUCUUUAACAUAAACAAUAAGCUAAACUGAAAGCAAUGAAAGAUUAGUGGGCGAGCUUAUAACCUUUGUUCACACAGAAACCGAGUAUUCAGAGCAAAAGAGGAAACAAAUUUGGAACAGAAACCAACAGAUACCCAGUUCGAAUAUAACAGGGAAGAGGUAGUUGGGGUUUACAAAUGCAGAUCUUGCUUGCAUAAAUGAAGUACAAAACGACGUGCAGUCCCUGUUUGUUUUGCCUUUGGUAAUCUUAAGAAACCUUACACUUUUUCGUUGUCUCCUUCUAUUUUCUACUCUCCGCCUCCUUCCUUUCCUCUGCUUUCUCUUCUGCCUCAGCUCUCUUCUCCGUUUGUUGCCCUUUGUUUUUUUCUUUUCCUUUUUCCGUUUGCCUAUUUCCUCUCCCUCUCUUUUUCUUCCUUUUUUUUUCCUUUUCAUAUGGCUGGAGGUUCACAUAUAUAGGAACCUCUACACGUUAUAUUCAUGGAAACAUUCUUGUAAUUAUUGCAGAGAUUCUCUUUUAUAAACAGCCCCCACAAUUCCUAUGUCUAUGGUUUUUUAUAUUGCAGUGAUUUAUUUUCCAUAACCAGCCACCCAUCAAUUCCUACAUCUAUGGUUUUUAAUAUUGCAGUAAUUGUUUUCAGUAUGUGAUUCCUUGAUAUUAGCCUUGAGGAUCUAUGUUACUACCACACAUUCUUUCCUCUUUCCCUUGCAAAGCCAGCUGUUUCUACAGUUGUUUAGACUUGGAGACCAACUCUAAUGUUCCCUCAUCUUGCCCGUGUGUGCAGCAGGAAUGGUUGCCGAAAAAGGAAAGAAACUGCAGACCGGGGGGCACUGUACUCAAAAUGCGAAUGAACAGUAGUACCAUGCUAAUUAAUUCAACUAUGGGGCUGUUUCAUAUGCAGUGUGGUUUGUCAAAAAUGAAAUGUUGCAACGGCAUUGUUUGGAAGCAAAAAUAUUCCCCUAGCGUGGCCACAAAACAAAUGAAAUUAUGACAACAUUUUCCAAUUCAAUCCUCAAAGAAACCAAAUAACGUUGAAAAAAUGGUCUUUAAUUAACCGGAUAAGUUCUUGAAACAUUAAAUUGGGUCCCUCGAAUCAAACGUCCAAACUCAAGUCAAGAUUUUUAUGUGAUUCUCUACUUUCAUGCUAGAUAUUUAAAUGAUAAUAUCUCAAGCUUCUGAUUAUCAAAAUGAAAUGAUUCAAAAACCCAAAUUCAUCUACACAUCCAGGACUACAACUUUGAUGAAGGAUUCGAAGUGAGAUAAAAUCAUUUUAGAGAACAGAAUCUGGUAAGAAUAUGGUUGGUCAAAAAGGGUCUCCUGAUCUAAUUUAGAAAAAGACAAUGUCGAACAUUCCGAUAUGACUGAGAAAAUGACCUAAGAGCAAUGACCAAUAAAAUUGUGAUGGAAGCAGAGUCUUUAGUGCAAAACUCGGGUCAGAAUCCUUUUCAAGGCAGAAUUAUCUACUUUCACCUUAGAUAUUCAAACGGAAAUAUCUUAAGCUUCUAAUAUCGAAAUCAAGUUAUUUAAAAGUGUAAAUUCAUCUACGUGUCCAGGAAUACAACUUUGAUGAAAUGUUCAAAGUGAGAAAAAAAUCAUUUCAAAGAUCAGAAUCUGGCAGCAAUCUGGUUGGUCAGAAAUGAUCUCCUAAUCUAAUUCAGAAAUUGACAAUGCCGAGCAUCCCAAUAUGACUGAGAGUAUGACCUAAGAACAAUGACCAAUAAAAUUGUGCCGGAAGUAGAGUCUUUAGUGCAAAACUUGGGUCAGAAUCCUUAUCGCGACAAAAUUCUCUAGUUUCACGUUAGAUAUUCAAACAGGAAUAUCAUGAGCUUUUGAUUUUGAAAUUAAGCGAUUGAAAAGCCCAAAUUCAUCUAUGCAUACAAGAAUGCAACUUUGAUGAAGGAUCCAAAGUGAGAUAAAAUAUUUUUGUAGAACCGAAUUUGACCGCAAUCUGGUUGGUCAAAACCGGUUUCCUGAUCUGAUUUAGAAAAUUAAAAAUUCCGAGCAUUCAAAUCUGACCAAGAGUCUACCAUGAAAACAGUGAGCUCCAGGACCAAAUAAUGGUAUAGGUCAACUCUACAACAUGUCAUGAGUGACAGAAUAUAGCUAGGAUUGUUAGAUAUCGUACGAAACCAAGUCAGAAUCAGAGCCUAAGUUAGAACAAAAAAAAUUACGAUAGCAGCAGAAUCAGUUUUUUUAGUGCAAAUUCUAAGGGAUUUAUCCAACCUUAAAGACCAGAUAAAAAAAGGAACGAAUUUAGCAUUAUAAAGACCCCUAAUUAGUCUAAGAAACCUUCCCUUUACCUUAGGUAGGCCGCUCUGGAAAGGGUAGCUUCGACGUCGCGGUCUCGAGAGGGUACGACACUUGGUUUGAGAUCAAAAAGAGAAAUUUGUCGAAUUCCAAUGAUAGAGAAAAAAUUAUUGUUGACAUUGAUUUUGAUUGACAAAACGGUCAAUUUUGGUGUCAAAUGGUUUCAUUUCAUGAGGAAAUUUCAACUUAGGUGUUUUUUGAUUUAAAAUUGAAACAAAUAUGAGCUCGGGAAGAUUGUUGGUUCCAAGUUGAUUUCGGGUUUUAGGAUAGUUUUUUGAAGACAUAAAUAAGUUUAUCAAGAUGUCUUAGGUAUUUCCAAAGUAUUGCUUGAAAAAAAUUAAAAUCUUGAGGAAAAUAGUGAGGCAAAAAGGAAGGAUUUUUUAGUUGUUGUUUAUCACUAGCCUUUUUGGGAUUAUUUUUCCUUCAUAAUUCUUUCACUUUUAUUUUAGUUCUUUUGGUUUCAAAUUUUUAUAUUUUGAUCCAAGACUUUAUUUUCUUCAUUUUUUAAUUUCUAAAUUUGAGAGAAGAAAAAGUCACUAGAAAAUGAUGAAGGAGAGUGAAAGUUCUCAAUAAACCAUAUUCUAACAAUAAAAAGGUUAAUUUGGAUGACAUUGAGUUUCAAUUGACGAGAUGAGUUCUAUUAAAAUGUUUUUAGUAUUUGUUUUGUUGAAAAAAGUAAAUCGAUGUCAAAUAAAUACCAUGAAAAUAUCCGAGCAUGUGCAAUCUAAGGAGAAUAAUCGAUGUAAGAACAUAUAUAUAUGUGUGUGUGUGUGUGUGUGUGUUGGAGUCAUAUUUGAAGGAACUAAAUUCUCCAUUCCAUGAGGCUCCUGAUAAGGUUGGCUGGUUCUUAACUACAAAGGUUGCAGCUGAGUCAUUGUUGGAAUCUAGAAAAUCAACUGACGCGGUAGCUGCCUAGGUGCCAUGCUCAUGUAGAUUUUCCUUUUUUUUCUAUGUCCAUAAAUUGUACGUGCCCGCCAUAUACUUGUUUGAUUUUCUGCUGAUAUUAUCUCUCUUGAUAGGGAAUUUUUGUGUCGUUAAGAUAAAGCAUUAUAUUUAGCCAUUGAAUCGUCAUAUAGCUGAUCAGAUUCUUAAAAUCUAAAUCAUGUUGCUUUGACUGGUUGUGCUAUGAUUCAUGAGCAUCUCUUUAGAUAGUCUGCACAAUUGAGGCAAUUAUUCGGUGAGGGAAUAGCAAGUACAUUGCAUUUUCGGGAUUGAAAUUUAAAGCUAUUAAAGAUUGGAUCAAAAUCCAUUCCACAUGCAUGUGUGAUCUGACAGAACAUGGCUUGUUUGCUGUCUGCAGUGUCGGCAGUGACUGCCUCGUCAAAUCAACGAGACUCGAGCAUUUGCUUACAAUGAACCAAUUCCCAUGGUUGCUGCUGAAGACACAACUGCAUAAAUGGUAUUCGUGCAGCGAAGUUCUACUGCUUCACUAUAGGUUAAAUCAAUUCUGGACAUAUAUCGAGUCUGCACUUCUUGUGCAAGCAAUGCCAGACAACUGUUGUUACAAGCUUUGAUUUGAUACUGCACAUGACAGAAAAGUUUGCACCAUUGUGUUUUAGGACAUGUUUAAGUACAUGAAAAAACUAAAAUGAAAUUAAAAAUUUCAUGCAUUCAUCUAAUUAAGUAAAUUUAUAACUCAACCAAACAAAUUAUCAAGCUUGAUCUCUAUCCAACUGAAGUAAACUAGACUUUUACGACCUGAAAAUCAGGCUCAUUUGUUACAGGCAAAAAAAACCUAUUCUUAACAAUAUUUUGACUUUAAAAAAAUAAAAAAAUCAAAACAUAUUUAUAACUUCUAAUAACCUAAAACUUAUCUCCAAAAUCAACAAUGAAUAUGAAACCAUAAUUUGUUUUCGAUAUCAAAUCCAUCAUUCCAAGUAAUUUAAGGUAAAAACAACAUAUUGUCAUAAAUUGAAAUUCCAAGCAAGUUCGAAAUCCAGCCACAUUUUCUUUUUUCUUUCAAAUCAAGGAUCAAAAAAUAAAAAAAAAUUAGUUUGGAAUCAAAAUUGAAUUUCAUAAAUUGUUAAGGAUUGAAAGCUUAUAAUCUAAAAAUUUGAAAGACUGAAGUAUAUGUUUAGCCCUAGUUUUAGCAAAAGUAUUUUUUUAUAGUAUUUUUUAUUUUAACCCUCUAACUUUAAUCUUUCCCUUUCUUAAUAAAAGUAUUUUAAUUGUUCAUCAAUUAAGGCUUAUGAGAUUGCAGUAUAAAAAAAGUUUACCAAAAAAUUACAAUACACAGUAAUUUAUUUUUUUGCUGAACAAUCCACACCUUUUAUUAGAGUAUUGCUUAAUAGCAUUUUAAUUUUUGGGCACCAAAUGAAAAGAAAAGAAAAAAAAGGGCAAACCUGAAAAAUGCCCCCAUCUAUUUAGGCAGUCUUGAUUUUUCCCUCGUACAAAUUUUCCAUCAACUUUGUCGCCUAAGAUUUAAAAAUCUCAAUCAAGCUUAUAUUCAAAAUUCUCAGUCGCCUAAGAUUUUCCCCUCGUACAUCGUUUUAUUGAAAAAUCAACAUUUUAUAUUAAGAAACUCUAACAAUGAAGAUAAAAUUAGGGUUUUAAAACUCUAAAGUUAGACAUAACCAUAGAAAAAUCUAGUUAGAUUUGAAUAAUAUUCGCUAAUAAGAAAUGUUUAUUCUCUAGUUAGAUUUUCCCCAAGUGUUUAUUUAAGAGCUCUAAAAACCAACCAAAAUAAGAAACACAAAAUAAAUAAUUAAAAUCUAAAAAUACAUAGAAAAAUAACUAAAGUAGUCAAAACAACAAGAUCUAAUUUUGAAAGAUCUAACGGUUUGUUAAAUAAGAAAAUAGUUUUCCAUAAAAAAAAAAAACCUUGAGAACCUCCUAGAAAAAAUUGAGUAAGAACUAGUAUUCGAAUCUUCUGUUAUUAUUAUUUUAAGAUAGAUUGUUCAUUUAGAUAUUUUCUUGGGUAAUUUUUAUUUUCCAAUUUGAUCCAUCAAAUCUUGUGAUAAUUGUUCCACAUCAAAAUCCUAAUUGAGAAAUCAAAAUUAAAUUAAAUUUGGUCUUUAUAAAUUUAAAUCUUCUCAAUUAAAUCUAAAUAGACUUUCAAACUUAAUUUUCACCAAUUAAGCCCCUAAUAAAAUUAAUUUAACUUAUUUAAUGUAUAAUUAAGUUCUUGCACUUAAUUAAAUUCUUCAAUUGGAUCCAAAUUAAUUCUUAAAUAUAAUUUAAAUUCAAUUUAGCCCAUGAUAAAAUCAAAUUGGCCUAUUUAAAAUUUAAUUAUGUCAUUGGACUUAAUUGUAAUACAAAUUCGUUUAAUAAUUAUUUAAUUUGACUUUGAAUUUGCAUUUUUUUUUCUAUUUUUGGGUAUAAUAGUGUACUUUUAAGUCUUGAAUUUCCUUCAAAAUCAUAGCUUGAUUUUUUCUGAAUUUUUUAAAUUCUUUUCUGUUUGUUUGCUCCAUAUUAUCAGCAGUUAUUUUAUUUUUUUAUUUAAAUUUUUAAAAAUAACCCACUGUGUAAAUUGCUGACUUUGAUGGCCUUUUCUUUUGUCAAUCAAGUGGGCAUGGUGGUGUUGGCAGGCCACAACCAAUUCAUUACACUAAUCAUUCGGACUAUUUUUCAUGCAUGCAAAUCACAACCCUAAAAUCAUUACACACACUACAUUGUCCAUAAUGCGUAACGAGUAAUAAGUUUUUUUAAAAUGUAAAAAAAUAUUAAAAAUGUAGAUAAUAUUUUAGGUUUUUUGAAUUUAAUAAUUAUAUCAAACCCAAAUAAAUUAAAUUAGAUAGUCAUACAAGAUCCAAUAAUCUUAAAUCUAGGACCAUGUCAGACCCAUGAGGUUUCAACAUUUCCUUUUGUUUUGUUUUUGUAAAUGAUUAUUUAGUUUUAUUUAUUAGUGAUUGAGUUUUGAGUAUUUUUUAUUUUUGUCUUUAUGAGAUUGCUCUUUCUCAUUCAAUUUUUUGACAAGAAUUUAUAUUUUUAUUAGUCAUUGUUGUUUUUAUUUUUUAUAUAAUUAUAUUAUUAAAUUAAUUAAGUUUAUUAAACCAAAUUCUAAAUUUUCAUUAAUCUUCUAAAAACAAUAUUAUCAUUUUUUUUUUACAUUUUAAAAAAUUAACAUGUCCCGCGACAUUGCGAAAACCAAACUGUUUGUUGAUGAUAAUAUUAAUUCCAUAUCCCAGAAGUAACACGAGAGCCCGCAUAGGAUGCUCACCGGUCUCCUCCACCAUAUCUACAUAACAAUUGGCAGAUAGCCACCCCUUUAAUCUUUUGUAGCACCAUUCAUUUAUCAUCGUCGCUUAACCACUUCUGUCUCUUUCUCCUUUCCAAAUCGAUAUAAAUACUCACUAGGAUUUUUUUUUUGUUUUAUAUUAUUAAAAAAUUAUUUUAAUGUAUUUCUAAAUAAAAAACAAUUAAAUCAUAACCACUACCAUAUUUUCAAACACUCCCUUAUGAUAGAUACAAUACAUAUAUAGUUUUGUUAUUCAAUUUUGGACUCCACGUGCUGGAGACGGUGUAUAUCUCUUUUGAACUGAGUGUAUGAGUUUAGCUCAUGUUUGCUAGAAGAUUGACAAAAACAGAGAAAUAAAUAUUUUUUUUAAACCUUGUUUGAGUUGUUUUCUGCUCUUUUUAUCCCUCCCCUUUGCUACCAAAAUCGUUAGAUUUUCUUAGAUUGAUCAGGAUUCUUCAUAAAGCUAAAUUUGUUCCUUCUUUAUCUGGUCUUUAAGGUUGGAUAAAUCCCUCAUAAUUUGCACUCACAAAAAAUGGUUAUGUUGUUGUCACAAUUUUUUAUUCCAACUUAGGCUCUGAUUCUGACUUGGUUUUGUACGAUCUAUGAUCAUCCUAGCUAUAUUUUGUCACUCAUGAAAUGUUGAAAAAUUGACCUACACCUUUAUUAUGUCCUAGGGAUCAUUGUUCUUGGGGCAGAUUCUCAAUCAGAUUUGAAUGCUCAGCAUUGUCAAAUCAAGAACCUUUUUGACCAACUAGAUUAUUGCCAGAUUUUGUUCUCUAAAACAAUUUUAUCCCACUUCGACUCUUUCAUCAAAGUUGUAGUCCUGAACAUGUAGAUAAAUUUAGGCUUUUGAAUCGCUUGAUUUUGAUAUCAGAAGCUCAAGAUAUUCAUGUUUGAAUAUCUAACGUGAAGGCAAAGAAUUCUACCACGAAAAGGAUCCUGACCUGAGUUUUGCACUAAAAACUCUAUUUCUGUCACAAAUUUUGUUGAUUUGUUCUUAGAUCAUACUCUCAGUCAUAUCAGGAUUCUCGUCAUUGUUAGUUUCUGAAUUAGACUUGGAGAUCCUUUUUGACCAAUUAGAUUACUGCCAAAUUCUGUUCUCUAAAAUGAUUUUAUCUCACUUCGAAUUCUUCAUUAAAGUUUUAGUCCUAGAUGCAUAGAUAAAUUUGGGCUUUUCAAUCGCUUGAUUUUGAUAUCAGAAGCUCAAGAUAUUCUCGUUUGAAUAUCUAAUGUGAAGAUAGAGAAUUCUGCCGCGAGAAGGAUCUUGACCCGAGUUUUGCACUAAAAAACUCUAUUUCUGUAAUAAAUUUUGUUGAUUUGUUCUUAGAUUACACUCUUAGUCAUAUCAUGAUUCUCAACAUUGUCAGUUUCUGAAUUAGACCCGGAGUUGUUUUUUGACCAACCAGAUUACUACCAGAUUCUAUUCUCUAAAAUGAUUUUAUCUCACUUCGACUCCUUCAUCAAAGUUGUAGUCCUAGAUGCGUAGAUAAAUUUGGGCUUUUGAAUUGCUUGAUUUCGAUAUCACAAGCUCAAGAUAUUUCCAUUUGAAUGUGGAAGCAGGGAAUCCUGCCGCAAGAAGGGUUUAGCCCAAGUUCGCGGGACUGGUUCAAAGGAUUUUUUUUUUUUACCAAGGUAUGAAUAAAAAAGUGCUAAAAUUAGGGAUUGAAUUGUAGAAGGAUAUUGAAAGUUGGAGAGGGGGGCUGGAUCAUAAUAAAUGACAAGAUUUUUACCUCACCGAAUAAAGAAAAUAAGACUUUGUAGCUGCACCCUUACACAUCUAAUUUCUUUCCUUUUUUUUCUUUGCAAAUGUUUGUCUUGCUGAUUGGAGAGCUGCAAACCACGUUUUUAUUGACUCAUUUCAAAGGAAAUAAUUGGUGCCUCAUGGUCCUAGCUAUGGAAGGAAAGAAAGGAGUUGUACCACCCUUUGAUCAAUGGAAACUAACAGCUGAAAUCAUAAUAGGAAUCAUGAUAUUUCAGUUUCCUUUUGCGUUUUCUUUACUAUCCUAGAAUUAAUGCAUUGAAUCUUUCUUAAAUAGAUAUAUAUUUAGACUAUAUAUAAGCCCUUCUAACGACCUAACCUGGGAAGGAAAAAGAGUUGGAAAAAACAGCAAAAGAAAGACAAGAAAAACGCAAGAGAGGCAGGCAGUAAAAAAAACACAGAAAAUAGAGGGAGUUUCUUUCCUUCAUCCUUGCGUUGCCGUGAGAUCAGGAGGGUAGGCAGUAGAAGAAGAGGAGAGAAAAAGAAAGAAAAAAAGAAGAAGGGAAGCAAGACAAAAAAAAAGAAGAAAAAAAAGACAAGAUAGGGAGGGAGCUUCAGCAAUAAAAAAACCAGUGAGACUUGUAGGUAUUUGUUUUUAUGUUUUAAAAAACCUAUUUUGUCUUAUGGCUUUGUACCUUUGUUUUUUUUUUUCCAUACAAUUAAUGCUUGUCUUAUGUUCCCUUCCAUGACUUUGAGCUUAGAUGUUUAUUUACGUUAGAGUUUGUGGGUUCCUCGCCUCUUUUUUCCUUUCUUUGGUGCAUGAGGAAACAUGGGGGUGGGGGCUAUUAUCAGCCCACUUUUCUAUUCGGGGGUUCCUUUUCUGCUUUAUAAUAUGGAAUGGGGUAUCUUUGAUAAGUUUUAGUCCGGGGAAGGAAGUUGAAAUUGCGAGGAAACCCCUUUUGCAAUUGUAGUAAGAUUUCGGGGGAUGUGUUAUCCUUUUGGCUGUUGAAUGACAUAAUUUGUGUUACUGUUCAAGUGAAUUAUAAUUGAUUUCUGGGGCUUAAGAAUGAACCAAAAUUUAUUUAGAAAAGUUAGUUUUGAGGUGCCAUCUUUGUUUUAUUAUAUUUUAUUUAUUUUUACAAAAUUUAGAGAAUCUAUGUAUAUGCACAUGGUUUGUCGUCUUUAAUUGUGAUUAACUGUGAUGCUUAUGUUUCGAUAAUUUUAAUUAUGAUUAACUGUGAUGCUUAAUUGUUUUCUUAUGUGUUGUAUAUGGCCAAUACCCUAACAUGUUUUGAACUUUUUUUUUUACAUAAAAAAAUUAUUGGAAGUUUUGAAAAUGUGUUUUCGCAUGAAUUUCUUAAACACAAAAAAAAAAAUCAUUUUCUUUCAUUUCUAGAUUUUACAACAUGUUUGUAAAACUCCAAAGGAUAUUGGCCAAUAUUCCAAAAAAAAUAAAAAAUAUUAUUUUUAGGGGAAUUCAUCUAUUAUUCACCGUUAAUGUUUGGAUAAAGAAAUCUCAAAAGGAUAAAUAUCCAAAAUAUUAUUGGGAAUAACUUGUUAUUAUUCACUGUUAAUAUUUGGAUAAAGAAACCCUAAGUGGUAAAUAUCCAAAAUAAUUUUCUAGGAAUAAUAAGUCAUCACACAUCCUUAAAAGAAGCCUUGAUUAUAAUCGAGGACAUUUCAAUUUUUUACUCCACAGUUUAUGAGUCAUGAGAGUAUUAAACACUAAGGUAAAAAUAGGUUUUUAAAGCGCCCUAGAUUUCUAAAUUUUUGUCCCUCCUCCUUGUGAUUUACAAGUCGCAAACUCUUGAAAUACUAAGGGAAAAUAAGCUUUUAAAGCACAUGGAAUCUCCUUGGAUUUCUAUCUUUAUAAAUUUAGUUUGAAUCAAACCUAGAAAAACUGAUGGGAUUAGAAAACACCAACACCAUAGCAAUUAUAAAGCAAACCAAACAUCAAGUAGCUUACCUUAGGUAAAUCGUAAUAGGGGUGUUAAACCUUCUUUUUACGCAACCAGUCUCUUGCCUUAGAAUCUCUGAAAGAUCAGUUAGGGUUUCUAAUGAUCAAAAUACUAGGUGACGACUCCCUUAUAAAACAAAAAAUCCUCGAAAUCGAUCGAGGAUCACCAUGACGCCACGCUCUGCCGUGAGGGUGCGACACAUAGAAUGGUUUUUUAAUAUAAUUUUAAGAAACAAUCCUUUAAGGAAUUUUAACCAACCAACCCAUUUCUUAGACUAAGGGUGUGUUUGCUUAACAGACCUUAAUGAGUUUCCUUUACUUUUUUAUACAUCUUUGUUUUAAGGUUUAACCAAACAAGCCUAAUAAAAAGCUAAAAAAAAACUAAAAAAUUUUAAGGACUGUUUUAAAAUCAUUUAUAGGUCUGUCACAUGUUUUUUCCAAUAAUUUUGCCUAAUAUCAGGCCGUAGAUUUACACUAUAAGAUACAUUUUUAACAUAAAAAAUAUCUAAUUUUCUUUGAAAUUUUGAAAAAAUCCAAUUUUUUUUAAAACAUUCUUCAUUUCAAAAACAAAAAAUAUUUUGUUUUUGUACAUAUGGCAAAAUCCUAACGUAUUUUGAUGUAUAUUUUCUAAGAAGGAUAAAAUCACAUUUUUUAUGGUGUUUUUAAAAAUGCAAAAUGGAUAUCAAAACUGGUUUAUAAUUAUCCAUUAGGGUUGACUAAAAUACCAAAAAUCUCACAACAAUUAGUUUCUUUUUUUUAUUUAAAGAGUUAUAAUUUAGCUGUAAGACUUUAAUAUUUGAGAGUAUAAAAUUACACUGUAAAGUAUACCCUCAAAUAUUAAAGAUACAAUAAAGAAAAUAAAUGUGAUGCUAAAUAUAGGCCUUAAAACAAUUAAGAUUUGACCCAACAAGUUAGAUACUUCCUCAAGAAGGGAGAUAUGCCUUUAAUCUUAGAUGAGACCAACGAAUAGAAACAUGAUCUAGAAAAAUAAUCAAUCAACAAUGUAGUUUACCUUAGGUAGGGUGUAUUGAGGGUGAUGAAUUUUCUCCUUGCACAACUAAUCUCUUUACCCAGACUCUCACAGACCAUUAGAUUUCAUAAUAAACAUAAUACUAUGUGGUGAUUCCUGAACUCUAUAAUCAUAACUUUAUGAUUAAACACAAAACACCCUCAAUUCCAAAAGGCAACUCCGCCACACGAUGUUUUCACGAGAGGAUGGUGACUCCAUAUAGGACUUGUCUGGUUGGACUAAACUUUGCUUGUUUGAUUAUUUCCCUAUUUAUUUUGUUGGCCUGUUUAAUUUAACUUAGGCAUAUUUUUUUUUUUACUGCUUUAGCAUGUAUUUUUAUAUAUUUCCCAUUCAUAAGUACAUCGGGUAAAGAUUAAUGCCUUUAUGCAUCUUAAUUUUUUAAUAAAUCGAAUUCUAGGUUAGGUGGGAAGUAGCAGUUUGUCUCAUGACUUUCAGUCGGGGUUCAGAUUCAUGAAACAUCGAACUAUGAGUUGAGCGUUUACUUGAUAAUGACGGUCACACUAUGCCCCAACCAUUUCUUGUAAACCCUUAUACUGCCUUCAUGAAAGGUGGUCACUAGAUAGAUCAUAAACCAUUUUGAGAUCAGAUAGUGAACUUACCCCUCAUUUAAUAACCUACCUUUAGGGUAUGGACUACUUAAUAAUUCAUGUUGCAUUAGGGCAAACUUGAUUAAAAUCUUGUACUCUACAAGGUUUUUGAGGUAAGAAAAUGACUUCCAUAACUUUCUCUGAGUAUGGGGAAAGAUCUAAGAUGAUGUAAUUUGUUGAAGAGGAUUGCCUAAGGAUCGAGGUCGGGGAACUAUCACACAUGACUAAAGUAUAUUACUCUAUGGACAAUAUAAAGAAGCUUUUGUCAGUCUUAGGGUAUAUGGAUGAGAUUUUGUUUGAGAAGAAGUAUGAGAGAAUUGCCCACCUAAUAAGGAUCUCAGUUCAAAUUUCAGCAAGUCAAUACAUUUUUGGAGUCUAGGUUAUAUAUGUUUCACCUUUAGAGAUAUUGACAUGAUCCUUACCAUUGAAGAGUAUGCCUAUAUUUUAAACUUCACAAAUGACCCUCACAAACUAUAUUUCAAAUAAAAAAUUAAAAACAAAAUUGUUGAGGUCGCAAAAUUAAUGCAUAUAGACCAAGUUGAUCAAUAUAAGGCGUCUAAUGGAGGAAUUUAGUGGAAGCUGAUUGAGAAUAAGUUGAAGACAGAUAAAAAGACAAUGGAAAGCUAGGAGAAGAGAAAUACCAAGUAGUUGUUUCCACCAUCUUUGAGUUAGUUUUGUUUCCUUUAUAAGCGUUAGGAUCAUUAGUAUUGAUGUUGUCAACACCUUCAUUGAGUAUGAAUGGACAAUGAAUAACCUCAUUUCAAUUAUGCUAGCUGAAACUCUCUUAUCCUUAAACCAUUAUAGACCGAAUGGAAAGAGAGCAAUAUGGUUUUGUGUUCCUCUACUAUUUAUAUGGAUAGUCAAUCACUUGAAGAUAUCUAGAGAAGUUUUCAAAAAAAAAAUUGUGGUUCAAUAUUGGGUUGAUUUUAAGUGAAUGGUGGAACGACCUAGAUGAGAAGGCAUGGGUGAAAAAAUACCAAGCACUCUAUCAUUGUAAUUUCGGGUGGAUAGCUCAUUGGGUGAACAGUUCGUCUUAUCUUAUGAGUUGUGGUGAUAAAAUAUGGGUCCGACUGACUGGUUUGACCGCUUAUAUCAACUAAUCAUCCUCCCUGGUAGCUAGGCAAUUUGGUAUUAGUUUGUUUAAAUAGGCUAAUUUUUUAGUUGAGCUAGACGUCAUCAGAUGUAAUUAGGGUAGCGUGUUUUAGUUUACAUAGAGGAACAGUAAAAAAAAUCACAACCAAGCCUAAUUACUUAAUAUGAAGGAGUGUUGAAUUAUCCAUGGUGCUCGGAAGCACGAGAAUGCAAAGCCAAAAUUCAGUCAAGGAGGGACCAUCCACCACAAUGGAAACUAAGAGAAAAAGAGUAAAUAAUAUUACUUGUAACCAACCGAUUGGCUAUAAGAUAUAUUAAACUAACUAGAAUACCAUAAAAGAGACUGGCCAAGUAACCCUUAUGCCUAUAAUCAAUCCUCGUCGUGUCCUGCGAGCCACGGGCUAAGCUUAAUGUUAAUGGAAACCCGGUUUAUAAUUAAAUCACCUUCUUAUAUGGCGAGGCCACAUCAAAUUAGAGAAUGUUCAAUGUUUGUUUUCUUCGAGGCUCCGUUUGAUUUUAUGUUUAAAAUUAUGUUUUAGUGCGUUUUAAAAUUAUAUUUGACUUGAAAAUGUAUUAAAUUGUUUGUUUUUAAUAGAUUUUGAUGAUUUUAAUACGUUGAUGUUAAAAAUAAAUAAAAAUAAAAAAUUAUUAUAAUGUAUUUUUAAACUACAAAAACACUCUUAAAAACACAAUGAAUCGCAAUAACAAACAUUACUCCAAGGAUAUUAGGGAGUGUAGUAGUAGUUAUUUUUUAAUGUUCUUUUUAUUUAGAAAUACAUCAAAAUAAUAUAUAUUUUUUAUUUUUUAAAAUUUAUUAUUAAUAUCAGCACAUAAAAAAAAUUUAAAAUAUAUAAAAAAUAAUUUUAAACAAAAAUAAUUUUUGAUACCGAACAAUGUCUUCCAUGACCCACGGUGGCAUAAAUUUCAAAGUAAAAUCAUCUUCAUCUUUUUUUUUCUUUUUUAGUUCCACGACACUGAAAAUUUACAAUAAUUGUAAAUUGACAAUAAUAGGCUUGGACGUUGGAUUAAUUGGAUAAUUGCUUUUGUAGUUUUGCACUCAUGGAAUAUUUCUGGAGCCCACAAUUUUUUUCUUAACUUCUCUCCCAUUGUGUCCACACAUAGCAAUUGGCGGACAGCCACCCCUUUAAUCUUUUGUAGCACCAAUCUUAUCGUCGCCAAACCACUUCAGUCUCUUUCUCCUUUUCAAAUCGAUAUAAAUGCUCAAGAGGAUAUUUUUAUAUAUAUAUAUAUAUAUAAUUGUGCUUAAGUUGGAAAGAUAUUAAUUUAAUAUUUUUAAUUUAUUUUAAUAUUUUUAUGUAUUAAUAUAAAAAUAAAAAAAUUUAGUUUAAUAUAUAUAUAAAGCACAGCAUGAAAUAUUAAAAAAAUCACAAUUAUAUAAAAAAAAUGUCAUUCCGUAGGAAUUCAAACCCAAUGAUGACUAUAACAGCGAAGGAUAAGGAAUGACUGGUGACUAAAGCCGUGAUAAUAAUUGUAUUUUUAAAAUUUUUUAUUUAAAAUUAUAUUUUUUAUAUUUUUAAAUCAUUUUGAUAUAUUAAUAUUAAAAUAAUUUUAAAAAAUAAAAAAUUAUUUUAAUAUAUUUUUAAAUAAAAAAAUAUUUUAAAUCAUUAUAGUUACUAUACUUCUCAACAUUCUAUUAAUAUUUUACAAAGCACAUGGUACACAUGCCAUAUGCUGGGGGUGGGCGUGGAUGGAGUAUAAUUGAUCACAUAAAUAUAAUUAAGUGAAGUAGGUUGAUAUUUCCAACACAAUUUUUAAUGUUUUGUAAAUUUCCCCUAUUUAAUUUUUAUAUAUAACCGAUCUAGUUAGAUAUAUCUGGUUAGAUUAAAUAUUUUAUAAAUAUUAUAUAUACUUACAAGUUAAGUUUAUAUUACUAAUUUUUAUAAAUUGAGUUUAAUUAGAACUAAGAUUUAUGUUCAAUAAAUUAGCUUAAAAGCUGUUAUAAGUUUUAACAAAUAAUUUAGGCUUAAUAUAUCUACUAAAUCAUUUAACAAAAAUGAAAUAAUUAAUUGUGAAAAAAUAUAAAUAAAUAAUAACAAGACAUAUAACAACAAAUAUUUAAGUUUAUUGUUAUAAAAUAUAUAUGUUAGGUUGAGUUUCCUGACUUGUAAUAUCUAUUUUUUAGAUUGUUUUACUAGUUAUCGUCUAUAUAAUUUGAUUUUAAUAGGUUGGGUCAAGUUAAAUAAUACAAAUAUUAUAAAUAGGUUGGUAUUUUUUAAAACACCCCCUAUUUUAUAUUGAUUUUUUUUCAUGGUAUAGAUAUUUCGAACCAUUUUAUACAUAGAAUGAUUUUUUUAUUUUCAAUAAUUUUAAGAAACAAUCCUUUAUAUUAACCUAAUACAUAAAGAAAAAUAUUUUUUCUUAAUGUAUGAGGUUAACCUUUGAAUUGAUUAACAAAAUAGAAGGUGAGAUGUGCACAUCAAAACCAUCUGUUGGGUCAGCAGCAACGAUGUUUACGAUGGCUACAUCAAGUUUCUACUCUCAAGUCCACAUUUCCUCAUCUUAUUGGUCUAAAAAUGAAAGGACAAACUAAAUUAAGGCCUCACAUGUGCUGCUUAUGAUGUAGCCAUGCAUUUAUCUUAAUUAAAUUAGGCCGCCGCCCCCUCCCUCCCCCACCUCUAUAUAUGUACUCUCCAUAUUUCAAUCUUCUCAUCGGAUCAAAGCAUACACAAAACCAUGGUAGAAACGGUAUGAUAUAUAUAUUUGUGUGUGUUGAUUUUAUCUUUUAAUGCAUCCUCUUCGUCUUUUUCUUCUUUUUACGCGGAGGUCUUUUGUACAAGUUCUUGAUAUAUAAUCUCUACAGCAGAUUCUUCUAAUCUUUCUGUCUAUAAAUUUAUCGGGAGAUUUUCUUUGUUUUCUAUUGGGAUUAAUGAUCAUGGUGAGGUCCGAUAUAAAAUGCAUGCACUAACUACGUACUACUGUUACAGAAAGUCACAACGAUGGUGAUUAAGGUCAUAGGCGGAGGGGUGUACAAGGCUAAGGUAGGCUGUAGCCCGGGUAAAAAAAAUAAAUUCUAAUAUUCAGUGUCCAAAACUCUAAUUUACACACCAAUGCACACAAAUGCAGCAAUUAAAUACAGCAGUUAAUAAGUUCUGAAAAAAGAUUUUUUAGUGCUCUAAUGGGUCUAAAUUAAAAUUUUCUAAAUGUAUUCACGUAAAAAAUACCUCAAUUUGGCAUUAGUAUUCCCAUCUAACAUUAUUUAGGAUUGCAAAAUGAUUCUCAGCAAACAAUCAAAACGCAUAACGCGAUAAAAACCUAGUUGAAAUAAUGAAAUUUUUUAUUAAAUUUUUAUAUAAAUAAUCUAUCUUUUAUCCAACAAAUUGACAAGAAUAUCUUCACGAAAAAAUAAUUAAAUUAUAUUUUUUCCUUUAUCUUUAAUAUUUUAAAAAAUAUAAAUUUAUUUUGGAUUUCACACUAAAAGAUUUUUGUCGAUAUAUAUUAUGGUAUAAAAAAUAAGAUGUUAUUAAAUAUAUUAAUCUUGGUUCGGUUAAAAUUUAAAAAACUAACGAGUUUUCUCGUGACAUCCAUUAACUAAAUCUUGUUAAUACAUUUAUUAAAAUUUAAUUAUUUUAUAUGGUAAUUUAUGAGCUUUUACAAUAAAUUCUCUUAGAAAAUAGUAAAGAUAAAUAUUAAUAGGGAAGAUAAAAUUAUUAUUAGCAAAUAACCUAAAUAAGAUACAAGUGAAAUCCUAAAUAAGAAAAUUGAAUAUUUUUCAUUAAGUUUAGAUAUGAAUAGGCUGUCUUUUAUUAGAUAAAAAGAAAAUAUUGUCUUCUUGAAAAAAAUGAAGAACUCCUACUUGUGAACUUGAAAAUUGAUUUAAUUAUAUCUUAUUUUUUACCACCUAAUAAAGCAUUGGUUUUGUCGCAUGUGUGCGGCGGCGCGACGAUCGUCCACCCUCAAGGAAAAAUCAGAAUAUUUAUUCCUGGCAAAUAGGAAGAGACAAGGAAUUCUUGUCUCUACAAGUGAAAAAAUGGACUGGGAGUCGCCACCUAGUAUUCUGGUUACUAGGAACCUUAACUGGUCUUCAGAGAUCGGGUACGGAGACUGGUUGCAUAAAGGGAAGGUAUUAGCACCCCAACUACGCCCUACCUAAAGUAGGCUGCAUUGUUUUAAUGUCUGAUAAAAUCUAAAAUCGUGUUGUGGUUUUUUGAAUUGUUGGUUCGUUUACGGUUUAAGAAAAAUUCUCCUCUAUAAGGAGAUCCUUAUCUUAUCGGGUAAAAAAAACUAACUAUUUGAAGUCGUCAAAAGAAAAUAUCUUUUUAAUAUCAGGAAUAUGAUUUACAUAUAAAUUCAUAAUCCCUGAUAUUAAAAUCAAACAAAAUAAAAUAUUUUUUUGUUUUUGAGAUUUUGGCCAAUGUUCUCUUGACUUUAAUAAACUGGUUAUUAAAGCCAAAAUGCAUGCUAAAAUAUUGUUUUUUGACAUAUGAAAAAUACGAUAUGAUUUUUUGAUUUGAGACACUUGGCCGUAUGCACAAAAAUAUUUUUUUAUCUUUUUUUGUUUUUAAUUUUUUUGUAAUUUUAAAAGUUGUGACGAAAACCGGGUAUUUUAAUACUGGAUUUAUAUUUUUACGAUGUAAAAUACUACCCGAUAUUUUAAUACUUUAUUAUUAACUUGAAUAUAUAUAUAUAUAUAUAAAUAUAUAUAAAUUAAUAAUUGAUCUUAAAAAAUAAUUUAUAUAUUUGUGUUUUACCAGGAGAGGAAAAAUUCUUGGCUCCGCCCUUGAUUAAGGUGGUUGACCUUGGAUGCGAAAAAUGCCACAAGAAAAUCAAGAGAGUACUGUGUACUAUCCCUCGUGAGUCUUUCUAUUUUAUCUUUAAGAACAGUGCUAGGUUUGAGUUGUUUUUAUUACCAAAGGAAGUGACUAAGUUUUGUGGAUUUGAUGAUGUUAAUUAAUGAACAAGAGAAAUCCAGAACCAAAUAUAUGACAAGAAGGAAAACACAGUGACAAUCACUGUGGUGGGUUGCUGUCCUGAAAAGAUCAAGAAAAAAAUAUACAGAAAAGGAGGUCGAACUGUCAAGUGCAUUGAGAUUCCACCUCCACCUCCGGAGGAAAAAAAAAACCCAGAAAAACCUCCACCUCCACCUUGUCCUUCACCUCCACCACCACCAUGCACAUGUUGUGAUUUAUGGGGAGAUGGAUGUUGUAGUUGCCGAAGUAAGGGUUACUAUGUGUGCAGAAGUGUAUAUGUUUAUGAAGACUAUCCCCCGACAUGCAAAAUCAUGUAAAGGGAAAGUUCAGAAGACCGAUGGUUUGAGUCAACAUCCAGCAUCAACCGUUGGAUUCAAAUCCAGUGGUCAUGAUGCAUGGGCCUUUGUGUUGUCGUGUUUAUAAUAUCAUCCCUUUUGUGAUGAUGCAAGGCUUUUUACAUGUUUGGUCAGCAAAGAUAUAGUCCUAGGAUUUUGUCCCUCUGGAUGUUUUCUACCAAAGUGCUAUUAUCUGUUUAGUCAACAAAUAUGGGAGUCUUUACUACCUAGUCUUUGUUUUUUUACGAUAUCUUAUCUUUGUAUAGUCCCUUUGGAUGUUUUCUUCCAAAGUGCUAUUAUCUGUUUCAAAAAACCCCUCUCCAUCAAUUCUCUCGUCAUUUUUUGCCGGAUGAAAUGCCCAGAAACAACAUCAUUCGAGCGUACUUUGGCAAAGAUGGUUUUCUUGUAAUAUAUUUUUUUAAAAUAUAAUUAAAUAAUAUUUUUUUAAAAAAUAAAAUUAUUCUUGAUAUAAAAUAUUAAAAAUAUCUUAAAAAACAUAAAAAAACUAUUUUUUUAAAUAAAAAAAACGUGCUAAAAGUUGAUGUUUGAAAUGAACACAGGAUUGUGGUGUGACUCGUGUUUUCAAAUAAAAUAUUAUUAAAAUAUAUUUUUGAUUUAAAAACAUAGAUUGCACUGCAAUGAUGCCCAUGUUACCAUCCAGACUCAAAAUAAUAAAAUAAAAACCCAAAACCUCACCACUAUAAUUCCAUUAAAAAGAGCCAAACCAGCUAUCCAUCCAAAAUAUAAUAAAAUAAAAACCCCAAAUAGAUCUUAAUCAUUUUUCAAACAAAGUCUUCAAGGAGAAACUCUUUUCACUAUCUUGAAUCUUCAAGCCAAUCACGCAAAAAAUUCAAGUUGGGGUUUCAAUUUGCUUCCUUGUGGACACAGUCAGUAAGCAACAUGUUUCACGGGACGUCUAAAGACUGGCUAUGGUAUUAUCCCAAUGCAAAUUUGUUAAUUAAUUGAUAAUAUAUUUUUUAUUCCAUAAAACCUUAUCAAUAAACUCAUAUAAUUUUGCGGGGUAGAUUAAUUUUGCAACAUAUAUUAGGGUAGAUUUUUUUAACGGGGUUAAGGGUUUUAUUAAUUUUGCAACAUAUAUUCCCAGAGAUUUUAUUAGAGGCAAUAUUAGGUGUUCAUACAGGAAGUGUCAAAAUAAAAAGUAUCUGCAUCUAGAUGUUGUAAUUAUGCAUCUUCUACACAAAGGGUUUAUGGAGAAUUACUAGUGUUGGUAUGCACAUGGAGAAGUAUUUGAUCGUAAUAAGAGCAUGAGAGAAAUGGUGGCUGGGUCAACUUCUAGUGCUAGCAAUAGAAUAUGGUUAUUGAUGCAAUGAGAAUGAAUUAAGGUAAUGUCAGUCAAUGUUCAAUCGUAGAAGAAGAACCUAAUGCAAAUGCAGCUAGGUUUUUUUAUUUGUUGAAAGAUUUUGGCAUUGAACCAUAUCGAGUUGCUCUUUGAUUGACCUGGAAGAUAAUUCAAAUUUUUAUGUUUUCAAUGAUAAUCUUGUUGAUGUUGACGCAGAGGAAUUGAAUGUUGUUUUGAGCUCUAGUAAACAUGCAAAUGUCGAUGAAGAUGAUGAUAAUAUUCAUAUUGAAGAUUGCAACGAAAGUGAUGAUUAUUCAAUUAAUGACGAAGAACAAGAAAAUUUUGACUAACUAUCAGAAUGAAGCAAUGUGUAAAACAUUUAUUUCAUGUAAUACAUAUUAUGGAUGAUAUAUUUUGUAACAUGAAAUAUUUAUUUUAUAAGUUUAUAUUAUUUAAGAACUGUUGUUAUUGUUUUGUAUGAUAAACAGUUUGUAAUUUAAGUGUUUGCGGAAAGGUAAAUAGGCAAUACAAACAUAAUCUUUCUUGCACAGUGCACUAUCCCCGACAUCCAUACCGACGGACUCCAGUUCGUCAGCAUUUCACAGAAAGUUAAAAAUUAUUUACUAGAAAUGCCACAAUUAGCGACGACGUUGCAGACAUAUAUAGUUCGUCGGCAGUUCAUAAUUACUGACAAAAUCACCGAUGGAUGGUGCGAAUUCCAAAGGGUAGGGUAUUAAAUGCAUCUCUGACCACGUGCAGUUGCCGACAGAAUUACCAACGGAUUGCAAAAAAUAUGGAGGGUAAUAAAAAAAUUCUAGUGCAAAAUUCAAAAUUUACCGAAAAUUUUUGAAAUAUCACCAACGGAAUAAUUAAAAUUAAUAUUAUUUAAAUGUUCGUCGGUGAAUCCAUCAGUAAAACUGCACUAUAAAUCCCAACGACCGCCCCUUUUAAUUUCAUUUUUUCAUCUACUCCGUAAUCAAUCUUUCAUUUUCAUUUUUUUUCCUCUCAUUUCCUUCAAAUCUUUUGUUUGUUUUGCUUGUAAUCUCUACUUGAAUCUUCAGUAAAUUAAAAGGUAUGUAUUUCCUCUACCUCAUUUUACUUCAAGAUUCUUUUUCUUUGUUUUAGCUAUUGUUAUUUUUGUUAUGUUUUUUGUUAUGUUGUAUUUUUAUAAUGCAGAUAAAGUCUUGAAAUAAACACAUUAUUAAGGUAAGCAUUUUUCAUUCCUAAAGUCUAUAGUUUUUUUUUAAUUUAUUCAAUAUAUUUUAUUGUUUGUAUUGCCAUAAUAAUUGAAUAAUUUGUUGAAUUUUAAUUGUUAUUGUUGAAUUUACCUUGUAAUUAGUAAUUGAAUGUGUAGGAAUAAAUUUAAUUAUUCUCUCUCAAUUUUACUCUAUUAUUGUAUGCAUAGUUUUGAAACCCGACCCGGUCAAGUGAUUGGGUCACGGGUCAGAUUGGUUGACCUAGGUCAACCCAAAAAAAAACCUAUAAAAAAAAAUACAUAACUAGUUACAAAUUACAAUGCAACACUUACAUAAACCAAAAUUAAAUUAUAAACCAACAACAUAAAUUUAAUUCAAUAUCCAAAACACAAACCAAAUAUAAAUUUUAAAAUAUUGAAAACAAAACAUCCAACAACAUAAAUUCUAAAUCAACAACACAUUCACUUAUAUUGAAUUAACACAUUAAGUUCUUCUGUGUCCAUGGAAGAAACUUUUAGAUCAAAUGUCGAUGGAAUGUAGCCAAUCUCGUCAACACCUAAUAAAUCAUCAGCAUGCUCCUUUGAAACUUCAUCGUCACAAUCAUCUUCCAUAUCAUUAACAUUUAUGACAUCUACAUUUCAAACACAAUUAAGAAAUAAAUAUUACGUGUUAAACAAAACUUUAUUUUAAAUAAUAUUCAUCACUAAAUAAUUAAUCAUUAGUUACCAUCAUUUAAAGUAUCAUGUAUGGUCAUAGUUGAUAGAGCUUGGUGAAAACUCUCUACUUCUUCCGUUGUCAAGAUUGACGGGUCAUCUUCGACUACCCAAUUUUCAAUGUCACAAAUUGUCUUAACAUUAAUUGGAUCAUAAUUUCGCCCUUUCAAAUAAUUCCUAUAUAUUAAAAGUAAAGGUAAACACAAUAUAAGUAUUAAUAAUGCUACUAAACAAGAUAAAAUAAUAUUUAAGGAAUUAGAGAAAAGAAAAAUACUUUUGUUUCAAUCUUAGAUUGUAGUAGACGUAAACAAGGUCAUUAAGCCUUUAGUGCUCCAAUCUAUUUCUCUUCUUGGAAUGAAUAUGCUCAAACAUACUCUAAUUUCUCUCACAUCCCGAAGAACUACAAGUUUGACUUAACACUCGUAUAGCCAGCUGUUAUAGAUUUGGAGCGUUGGUUCCAUAUGUCAUUCACCAUUCAUCUAUACAAAAAAUAAUAAGUAAAAGUGUAAGACUAUGUCAGAUAAUAUUUUUAAAUAUAAAAAUUAUAUACCUAGAGGCAUAAGGGUGCGAUUAUUUAUUGCAGACACUCGACCAAAGUCAUGUUCAGCAUUCCUAAAAAACUUCAUCUCACGUGUAAUCUUACUUUGCAAUGGUAGAUUUCCAUGUGCAUACUUCUCAAGAACAUCUAGAAGUCCAGAAAUGGUGCUCAUAUGUUUAUCCAUUAUAUUUGCAUCAUAUUGAAAUCGAGGAUUCAACCAAAAUGUUGCUGCAUAAAGAUUUAUAUAAAGUUGUCCAUCCCACCGAUUAUUGAUAAUGUCUAUGAAAGGUUUCACUCUAGCCUUUCUCUUUUGAAAUCUCCUCAUCAUUUCUUCUUUUGCAUGAUGAAUAGCAUCAUACAAACAUCCCAUCAAAGAUCUAUCAUCACCAUCAACCAUUCGUAGAACUCGAACCAAAGGUUCACUCAUUCGUACAAUUAUUGCACAUUCUUCCCAAAACAAAGAGUCUAACACACUCUCAAUAAACUUUUUUUCCUUUAAUAUCUUUAGCAUAAAUAGAUGAGACCCAUUCCCUUUAUGUCACCAUAGCUCUCAACUCAUCUUUAUGAGCUAAAAUGCUUUGCAAUGCAAUGAAAUUGGUAGCAAAAUGAGUAAGAGCUGGACGAAGUAUUUCUUUUUCUCCAAUGAACAUCCUCAUCAAAUACAAUGGAUAACAAUGAUUAUCAAUGUACUUUGUAAUGCCAGAAGCAUGCUCAACGACACAACAAAUUGACUGCAAUUUACCAAUGUCCUUGAGUAUGAGGUUUGUUGUAACCCAUUUUUGGGUCCCCCUGAAAAAUAAAAUAAAUAGCCAAAAGAGGUUAGAAAAAUAACCGGAGGCAGAAGCGCCCGGAAAACAGUCAGAAAAUUGGUCAAGGAAUUUAAAAAUACAAGGAUUGAAUUUUUGACAGUAUAUUCUUGAAGGAUGAAAGCCCUAUUGAGAAGAAAAAUUUGAAUUUUAGGGAGAAAAGCCCAAAAUUGGAUUUUUAUGGACUUAAUUGGAUUUUUAUGGACUUAAUUGGAUUUUUAUUUGAAUUUAUAGAAGAUUUGAUUCCAAGAAAAAUUGAUUUUUAAGUCAAUUUGGGCUUUAAUUUGGAGAAAUUUAAGUUCUGGGGCCAAAAUAUAUUUUUUAGGAAUUUAUUAGGUCAAAUCAGGGGCUCAAUUGCAUAAAAAUUGAAGUUUAAGGGCCAAUUAGGGACUUAAUUUGUGAAAAUCCGAAACCAGGGACCAAUUUGGAGAAGGCGCAAAGAUAGAGGGGUCUGUUUGGAAUUGUUUCAGGGGCUUAAUUGAAGAAAUUAGAAGUUUAUUGAUCAAUUAGGGGCUAAAUUGCAUAAAUCAGAGGCCAAGGACCAAAGUGAAAAAGGCGGCCAACAAGAGGGGCGGGGACCGAAUUUGAGGGACUGAUUUGAAGUUUAGCCAUUUAAAUGAAACGGCGCGUUUUACCCAAAACGACGCCGUUUCAUUAAAAAAAAAAAAAAAAAAAAAUAACCAGAACGGUGUCGUUUUGAACGACACUGUUCAUCUUCUUCCUUUCCCCCCGGUUUAGCAGCAACAGAAAAAAAAAAAUUCGAAAAAACUUCCCGCUUCUCCUCGCCCCCACCAAACCACCGAAAGAGCCGACCAGCCGUUGCGUGAUCUACGCCCAAAGUCCCUUUAGCAAAAGGCACCGUUUUUUCCCUAUAAAUAGGAAGGAAAACCGAAGAGAGAGAGGCCGAAAAAAACCGAGAGACCCGAAGAGAGAGAGGAGACCGAAGAGAGAGAGCGAACCGAACAACCGCAGCGCCGCCGCCAGGAGCCUCUGUGCACGAGCCACACCACCGCCAGCGACCGACUCCUCCACGCCAGGUACGUUUUUUUCCCCCCCCCCAUUUUUGUGUUUUCUGCAGGUUUGCCUCCUGCAUGCAUUCUGCAUGCAGGAGGCGGGGGGAAGAAAAUUAAUUCUUCCCCCGCUGGGCUUGGGGCUGCUGGGCCAGCCCGAUGCUGGCCCAGCCUUGCAAGUCUGGGCCGCUCUUGGCCCAGACCGUAAGAUUUUUUCGGGCCGAGAUCGGCCCACUUGAGUUUUCGGGCCGAGCUCGGCCCACUUUUGUUUCUCGGGCCGAGAUCAGCCCAAUUUCAUUCGGGCCGAGAGCGGCCCGUCUCUUUUUGGGGCUGAGCCUGGCCCAUUCAUUUGGGACGGCCCAGCCCUAUAAUAUAUUAUAUAUUAUUAUAAAUUAUAAUAUAUAUGUGUGUAUAUGUUAUAUAUAUAUAAAAUAUUUAUAAAAAAAAUCUGAAAAAUCUAAAAAAAAGGGUUGUUAUUUUCCUUUCACAUAUAUUGUUUUUAGGGGGUUUGUAUUUUUUUUUAUACUAUGGAGGUAUAAAAUCAGUAUUUAAAAUAUCUGAUUUUCGUCGAGACACCCGAAAUUUUCAAAGAUAAUUUUUUUUUCUUUCAAAAAAUUUCUAAAAUUCCUUAAAAAUAUUGUUGAUUUUUUUCGUACAUCUUUUUUAAAAUGACUUAAUAUUAGUUUGUAUUUUUUAUGCUGUGGAGAUACAAAUUCAGUAUUAAAAUACCCGAUUUCGUCAAAAAAAAAAUAUAUUGUUUUAAAAAAAAAAAUAUUUUCUUGCGUGUUGCAUACGGCCAAUACUCUAACAUGUUUUGGAAUGUUCUUUUUAUAUAAAAAAAUAUAUUGGAAGCUUCGAAAGUGUGUUUUCGCAUAGAUUUCUUAAACACAAAUUAUUUUCUUGCAUUUCUGGAUUUUACAACGUGUUUGUAAAAUUCCAAAGGGUAUUGGCCAAUAUUCCAAAAACUAUAAAAAUCUUAUUUUUGGGGAGAAAAUUUAUUUAUUAUUCACCGCUAAUGUUUGGAUAAAGAAAUCCUUAAAAGGAUGAAUAUCCAAAAUAUUAUUGGGAGUAAUAAAUCCGCACACAUUCUUGAAAGAAGCCUUGAUUAUAAUCGAGGACAUUUCAAAAUUUAAUUUUUUUUUUUAUAUAUUUCUACGAUUUAUGAGUCGCAAACUUUUGAAAUACUAGGGAAAAAUGAGCUUUCAAAGCACAUGGAAUCUCCUUAGAUUUCUAUCCAAAAUCAAUUGACGAGCCUAGAAAAUACCAACACCAUAGCAAUUAUAAAGCAAACCAAACACCAAGCAGCUUACCUUAGGUAGGGCGUACUAGGGGUGCUAAUACCUUCCCUUUACGCAACCAGUCCCUUGCCUUAGAAUCUCUGAAAGACCAGUUAGGGUUCCUAGUGACCAAAAUACUAGGUGGCGACUCCCAAAAGAACCAAAUCAACAAAACAAAACGAAAGUCGCCAAUCGAAUGUCAAAACAAAUUUUAAAAUAAACCAAAUUUUCGUUUUUUUUGGGGUGCGACAGGAUGGCGACUCCACUGGGGAACUUUGGACUAAGCUUGAUUUGUUUGUUUGUUUAUGCCAUGUGUUAGUGGUUAUGAUGCUUUGUUUAAAACAUUUUAGCAUAUAUCUUUACAUUCUAUCAUACAUGGCAUAGUCAUGCAUCACUUUAUUACUAUUAUUAUGUUUUGGAGGGCACACACAUGUAACUCUAAGUUUAAGUGGGGGACUAGCAGCUUGCCUUAUGACUUGAGUCAAGGUUUAAGUUUGUGUAAACCCCAACUCUUGGCUGAGUGUUUAGACUGAUUGUGAUUGGUACACGUACCAUCCCACUAUCUGCUAGACCUCCAUAUCGCCUUUACGAAGGUUGAUCACUGGAACAGCAAGAGACCCUCUUUUAGAGACCCAAUAGUAAACAUACCCUAGGUCUCACGUAGAGAAAUUAGAACCUAUCCUUAGGGUGUAUGUUCCAACAUAUCUUUUACAUCAAAACAAGUCUAAAACCCAAUGCAUUUUUAAUUGCAGGAUUUGUGAACGAAAUGGCCAUCAUCACUAAAUCAUCCCCAACAAAACAUGCAUUUUUCAAUCAUGUAUCAAUCACAAUCAUACAAUUUUUUCUCAUACAUCUAUGCAUGCAUCUGCAGAUUAAGAAACAUAGGUCCCUCUUCUAGAAUCCACAACACUCGACAAAGAUCAAGAAUGGAAAAUGAAGAAAGAGCUCACUUAGAGUCGCACUACCAUACCGAGUUGGAAUCCGUGAAAAAUGAAGUUUCUCGACUGACCAAUCUGCUUGAACAAUUUUUAAGAGCCAAAAAUGGGGAGGGAACGUCUACCCAACCACCUAUAGGAGCACCAUCAGUUCAUGUUCCGGGGGCAUCUCAGAACUUGGGGGCAGAUUCAGUGACGGGGCAGCACUUUGCGCCUACCAUUCCCAUUCAGCCCCCUCAAGCUCACAUCACUGUGGAAGGGCCUUCCGAUAAUAGGUCCACCGGAUUUAUGAACGAUGACAAGAUAUCAGCCUUGGAAGAAAGGUUAAGAGAAGUCGAGGGAAAUGACUGGUUUGACCCCAUGCGAGCAUCUGAAAUAUGCUUAGUACCAAACAUCACGGUACCAAAAAAAUUUAGGAUACCAGAGUUUAUAAAGUACACUGGGUUGGAAUGCCCAAACACUCACCUUCGAUCUUAUUGCAAUAAGAUGGCUGAGGUGAUUCAUGACGAUAAGUUACUGAUCUACUUUUUCCAAGAUAGUCUAUCGGGGUCGGCGCUAAGUUGGUACAUGAGGUUGGAUAAUGCCAAGAUCAAGAAAUGGAAGGAUUUAGUUGAGGCUUUCCUUAAGCAAUACAAGUUCAAUUUGGAAAUUGCUCCAGAUCGAACGAGCCUUAUGUCAAUGGAAAAGAGAAGCCAAGAAUCAGUAAGGGUUUAUGCGCAAAGGUGGAGGGACGAGGCCAUGCAUGUGCAACCCCCUUUGAUAGAAACGGAGAUGGUGACUUUGUUCGCCAACACAUUCAAGGCACCCUACUAUGAGCAUUUAAUGGGUAGCUCAUCUCAACAUUUCUAUGAUGCUGUACGCAUAGCGGAAAGAAUAGAGCAGGGGAUUAAAGCUGGACGCAUAAUUGAACCAUCGGAGACAAAGGGUUUUUUCGGAAGAAAAUUGAAAGGUCCCGUUAACUUCGAAGGUGGGUCCAAUGACAAGAUAACAGAUUCAUACAACCCACAAAUACCUACCUCCCAUGUGGCCCACAUAAACUUUAACAAACCUUUUUCCCCUAAUCGAGCAAAUGGCCAAUCAAACACCCAAAACAACCACCAAAGACCAAACACAAGAUACAUUUCAGAACAACUACCGCCAUUACCCAUGCCUUUAAAGGACAUAUAUGCCAAACUACUGAGCAUUGGACAAAUAGCUCCUAUCCCCACAUUACCACUACAACCACCAUUCCCCAUCUGGUAUAAGCCCGAGUUGACUUGCGAGUACCAUGCUGGUAUUCCCGGGCAUUGUCUUGAAACGUGCUAUGGUUUCAAGAACAAGUUGUUGAAGCUCAUCAAGAUAGGAUGGGUGUUGCUACCCAAUUUUUGACCCAUGUUUUUUAUAUAUUUUCAAAAAAUCCAAAAAAAAAACAUUAAGAAAAAUUUGAAAAUUUAAAAAUAUUUUUUUCUCUCUCGAGGCAACCGCAUCUCUUCACUCAAACCAUGUCGACCAGGGUAAAAAAUGAGUUUCGGGCUGUUUCGGGUCAAAAACAUCAUUUUCAACCAAAAUCGGGUUCACCGGGUCAAUACGGGUCAAACCAUGUCGACCAGAGUAAAAAAUGAGUUUCGGGCUGUUUCGGGUCAAAACGUCAUUUUCAACCAAAAUCGGGUUCACCGGGUCAAUACGGGUCAUACCAUGUCGACCAGAGUAAAAAAUGAGUUUCGGGCUGUCUCGGGUCAAAACCGUCAUUUUCGACCAAAACCCGGUUCAUCGGGUCGAUACCCAUCAAAUGUUUUUUUUGGUAUUCCAUUUUUUGGCGGUUGAAACGGGAUUUUUCUAAUACUGAUUUGAAUUUUUAGUUUUACCCAUGUAAAUAUUUAUUAUUAUAUAUAAUAAAACAAAAUUAUGGUAGUUGUGUGCAAUAUUUAUUAUUAUAUAUAAUAAAACAAAAUUAUGGUAGUUGUGUGCAUUAUUUAUUAUUAUAUAUAAUAAAACAUGAUUUAUGGUUGUUGUCCCGUGGCUAUAAAUAGCCACGAGAGGGGGGCAGAAAAAAAAAGGAGAAAAAAAAAAAAGGAAGAGAAAAGAAAAAAAAAAGAAUCGAUUGAUACUUUUUAAUUUUUUUAGUUUUUCUUCAGGAGAGUAGGAUAUUGUCUUUUAAAAAAAACAAUUUAAAAAAUACCAAACAUAUCCCAACACAUCUCAGCCGUUAACAUAUUCCAGGAUUUAAUCCCGUUGCGCCACGUCAUCCGGUGCACCGAGCUUUCGGUGCACCGCGCCACACACAAUCAAACACCAGACAAUCUGGGCCGUCCGAUCAACCUGCUGAUCUAGCCAAUCCAGCCAUCCGAUCGUUUCAUCCAAGAUCCAACGGUUAACAUCCUUCAGCGGCACCGGUACACCAUACACGCGUCCGCACCGUAGCAAAUCUCGGAGCAUCUCUCUCCUCUCGCCGGCGACUCUCUCUCUCUCCUCGAUCUCCACUUUCCGGCCAGAUAAAGUCUCCGCACCACCACAGAAAGGUUCCUCACUGCCGUAAAGUAAAACCCCGGUGGUUUUCAUCGUUUUCACCGCCUCAUCUGGCCGGAAAAAGGCCGCGAUCGUCGCCGGCCACCGAAGCUUCAAGUCGUCGAUUCUCCCUCGUCAGCCAUCAACGGCCGUCGAGACCACCACCAACAGAAUCCUCGACCUCAGAUCUACCAGAACCGACCAUCGGUUGGCCAGAAAUCUCGCCUGAAAAUCUCGCCACCAACAGUAGCCACGCGUGAGCCACACGCGCCGCCAGUGGCAUUUUCGUAAAUUUUGAUAAAUCCGAGGGUAUUUCAGUCUUUUACCUAUACUGUGUCACUCAUGUAAUUUUAUUUAGAUUGCUAUAUUUUUUUUAUUUUGUAUAUAAAUUUUCUUGCAUGUUGUAAAAAAAAAAAAAAAACAAAAAAAAAAGAAUAACAACGCGGGUCCAACACCCAUCCUAUUAUGUCAUCAUUCGUGGGUCCAAAGCCCAAUUUUCAAAUAGUUAUACCAUUCUCAACGAUAAAAAUAUUUUUAUUUUAUAAACAAAUAUGUUUGUCGACACGUCUCUUUUUUAAAAAGGACCGAUGUCAAAAGUUUAAAUACCAAAUAUGGAUUAUGUCCAUAGUUUUUUUGGUAACUCAGACGUAUCUCCUUUUUAGGGUUAAACGUCAAUAUUUUAGACAAGUUCCUAUUUUUAGGGACUGAUGUCAUUUUUAACGUGUCUCCUAUUUUUAGGGACCGACGUUAACCAUAAAAAAAACAAUAAAAUUGCAAAUAAGCUCAAAAUAUAAUAUCAUUUAAAAAAAAUAAAAAAAACACACAAGUAAGGGUAACCUUUCUUUUGAAAGGAUGUUUUAAGGGUGGUGUCUACCUUCCCUUAAUCAUAACUAACCCAGUACCCGAAUCUCUGGGACCAGUGUCUAAUUUGGGAUUUCUAGUUCCCUCAAAUUACUAGAUGGCGACUCCAAUAUAAUUUUCAUUCCCCCAAUUAAACAAAUCUUUUUUGUUAAAUAAACAAAAAUGAGCGGAGCCGUCGCCCGACGUCGUGUAUCGACAAUGGGUUUCAUUUGAAGACGCACCCAAUAUCAGUUCAAAUCCAUUGCCUGGUCAUGACAAAAGUGAUAGGGGAUAAAGGUUGGAAAACCUUGGUCAAGAGUCGUCAAUAAUGAAGAAGGCGAGAUCGAAGGAGAAGACAAGGAAACGCAAGUGGGGAAGAAAGAUGAAGCAUUGCCUCGGUUGACUUUCCACACACUAGAGGAAGUUUCAGAAUGGGUUGAUCCAAGAACUUCUCGUAGUUUUCAAAAUGUAAAACAACUUUAUUUGCCUUAGCAUGCUUUUGUCUUUGCUUUUAUUUUCUCUAGUGAGCAUUCAGAGCUCAUAUUGUCAGCCAGAUUUUUGUGUUUGUCUUUGAGCCUACCUUUUCUUUAAAUAAAUGAUGAGAUUAUGCACUUUUGGAACAAGUUGAGUGGUUACAAGUAAAGUAUCAUAAAAUGGUUUAAUAUGAAAUUUAAGAAAAGCUACCCUUGUAAUACAACCUCACCUCUGGAUAACAUAAUGAAUUGAUACAUCACCUGUAAAUUUUCUUUCAAGAUAAAAAUAGAGUUUAUCAAUCCUAACAAUGUGCAUUUUUUAAAAUAAAAAUAAAAAAAAAAAAAAAAAAAAUCAUUGUCCUUUCACUCUCUAAAGAGUUUUUUUUUGGUUGGUGGGAAUGAAUUUCUUCUCUAUAUAAAAGCCCAGACUAAUAUCACACCCCUACACUGGGGGCAAGACGAGAUGUUUUAUGAAAAUUUUUACGUGUUUAAAAUUGGAUAAAAGCCUAUAGAUUUGAAAACCAAGCUAAAGUAUUUGACAAAAGCAUGACAAAGAGGCAAAUACAAGUCAUAUAUUUUGAGAAAAGGACUACUUGAAGAAAGUCAAAGACUUCUUCUCCAAGAAUAUGAUAGGCAACACGAGAGAUAAAUCCAGCAUACGACUUCAAAAGCAAGUUCAUGUUAAGAGGGAGUCUCAUGAACUAGAAGAAGAGGUUGGGACCUAUGUUUCAAAACCAGGUAUAAAUGCAUGCAUUGCAUCUAAUCAUAAAUCAUUGCAUAUAUAUAUAUUUUUUUUUUGGAUCGUUACAGGAGGAGAUCUUAGCGCAUUUCAACAAGAUUAUGAGCAAAGAAAGAAUCAUUGAGUUGAUUCUAGAACAACAAGAAGAGAAAAUAAUGGUUUUCAAACCCUGCCAGCAGGAAGAACGACAUCGAUAGCAUUCGGUAAAAAAGGAAUCGCCAGAUGGGAUUCCAAGUUGUUUGGCUAAAGGAGAUCGCCAGAAGGGGUCUCGUUUUCGAUAUUCAUCAAUGGAGGUCGCAAGAAGAGACCUCAAAUUUCAUCUUUGGUAUAAAAGGAAUCGCCAGAUGGGAUUCCAAGUUUUUGGCUAAAGGAGAUCUCCAGAAGGGAUCUAAUAUCUCGAUGAAGGUCGCCAGAAGGGACCUAAUAUUUCAGCUUUGAAUAAAAGGAAUCGCCAAAUGGGAUUCCGAGUUAUUUGAGAUCGCCAGAAGGGAUCUCGUACUUCGACAUUUAUCAAGGAAGGUCGCUAGAAGGGACCUCAUAUUGAAACCAUUUCUUAGAAAAGCAUGGAGUUUACUAAGAAUUCUUCCCCCUGGGUAGGUCACCCAUACAAUGAGACCAUCAUUCCCCCUGGGUAGGUCACCCAUACAAUGAGACCAUCAUUUUUCUUGGGUAGGUCACCCAUACAAUGAGACCAUCAUUUUUUCUGGGUAGGUCACCCAUACAAUGAGACCAUCAUUUUUCUGGGUAGGUCACCCAUACAAUGAGACCAUCAUUUUUCUGGGUAGUCACCCAUACAAUGAGACCAUCAUUUUUCUGGGUAGGUCACCCAUACAAUGAGACCAUCAUUUUUUCUGGGUAGGUCACCCAUACAAUGAGACCAUCAUUUUUCUGGGUAGGUCACCCAUAAAUGAGACCAUUCUCCAUUUUUUCUGGGUAGGUCACCCAUACAAUGAGACCAUUUUUUUUCUGGGUAGGUCACCCAUACAAUGAGACCAUAUUUUUCUGGGUAGGUCACCCAUACAAUGAGACCAUUCUCAUUUUUUUACCUGGGUAGGUCACCCAUAAUAAUGAGGCCAUUCUUUCCCCUGGGUAGGUCACCCAAAGAAUGAGACCACUCUUUCUCUUUUCCACUCGGGCAGGUCACCCAUCAUAAUGAGACCACACACAUUUUUUGUAUUGGUUAUGAGUAAAGGAAUCGCCAGAUGGGAUUCCAGGUUAAAGGAGAUCACUAGAUGGAUCUCGGAUGGAUUUCCAUGUUGAUCAAACUAAAAUAAGAAUUCAGAGGAUCGCUGGAUAAGGAUCUCGAGAUGACUAAGUUUCGAUCAUGGUUUUUGGGGCUAAGGAGGAUUGUUAUAAAGGACAAAGUUUCAGAUCAAUCAAGCUUCGACCAGAUCAGUUUCGGGAGUUCCGUUUUGGGUUUAUCUUUAUAACACUUACUGCGCAAAACCCAUGCUCCGUAAGUAUUAUAAAGAGGGGGCAUCUGUUGUAACCCAUUUUUGGGUCCCCAUGAAAAAAUAAAAUAAAUAGCCAAAAGAGUUAGAAAAAUAACAGAGGCAGAAGCGCUCAGGAAACAGUCAGAAAAUUGGUCAAGAAUUUAAAAAUACAAGGAUUAAAUUUUUGACAGUAUAUUCUUGAAGGAUGAAAGCCCUAUUGAGAAGGAAAAUUUGAAUUUUAGGAGAAAAGCCCAAAUUUGGAUUUUUAUGGACUUAAUUGGAUUUUUAUGGACUUAAUUGGAUUUUUAUUUGAAUUUAUAGAAGAUUUGAUUGCAAGAAAAAUUGAUUUUUAAGUCAAUUUGGGCUUUAAUUUGGAGAAAUUUAAGUUCUGGGGCCAAAAUAUAUUUUUUAGGAAUUUAUUGGGUCAAAUCAGGGGCUCAAUUGCAUAAAUAUUGAAGUUUAAGGGCCAAUUAGGGACUUAAUUGUGAAAAUCCGAAACCAGGGACCAAUUUGGAGAAGGCGCAAAGAUAGAGGGGCUGUUUGGAAUUGUUUCAGGGGCUUAAUUGAAGAAAUUGAAGUUUAUUGAUCAAUUAGGGGCUAAUUGCAUAAAUCAGAGGCCAAGGACCAAAGUGAAAAAGGCGGCCAACAAGAGGGGCGGGGACCGAAUUUGAGGGACUGAUUUGAAGUUUAGCCAUUUAAAUGAAACGGCGCGUUUUACCCAAAACGACGCCGUUUCAUAAAAAAAAAAAAAAAAAAACGAACGGUGUCGUUUUGAACGACACUGUUCAUCUUCUUCCUUCCCCCCGUUUAGCAGCAACAGAAAAAAAAAUUCGAAAAAACUUCCCGCUUCUCCUCGCCCCCACCAAACCACCGAAAGAGCCGACCAGCCGUUGCGUGAUCUACGCCCAAAGUCCCUUUAGCAAAAGGCACCUUUUUUCCCUAUAAAUAGGAAGGAAAACCGAAGAGAGAGAGGCCGAAAAAAACCGAGAGACCCGAAGAGAGAGAGGAGACCGAAGAGAGAGAGCGAACCGAACAACCGCAGCACCGCCGCCAGGAGCCUCUGUGCACGAGCCACACCACAGCCAGCGACCGACUCCUCCACGCCAGGUACGUUUUCCCCCCCCCCCCAUUUUUGUGUUUUCUGCAGGUUUGCCUCCUGCAUGCAUUCUGCAUGCAGGAGGCGGGGGGAAGAAAAUUAAUUCAUCCCCAGCCUUGCAAGUCUAGGCCGCUCUUGGCCCAGACCGUAAGAUUUUUUCGGGCCGAGAUCGGCCCACUUGAGUUUUCGGGCCGAGCUCGGCCCACUUUUGUUUCUCGGGCCGAGAUCGGCCCCAUGUCAUUCGGGCCGAGAUCGGCCCAAUUUCAUUCGGGCCGAGAGCGGCCCGUCUCUUUUUGGGGCUGAGCCUGGCCCAUUCAUUUGGGACGGCCCAGCCCUAUAAUAUAUUAUAUAUUAUUAUAAAUUAUAAUAUAUUAUAUAUUAUUAUAAAUUAUAAUAUAUAUGUGUGUAUAUGUUAUAUAUAUAUAAAAAAUAUUUAUAAAAAAAAUCUGAAAAAUCUAAAAAAAAGGGUUGUUAUUUUCCUUUCACAUAUAUUUUUUUUAGGGGGUUUGUAUUUUUUUUUAUACUAUGGAGGUAUAAAAUCAGUAUUUAAAAUAUGUGAUUUUCGUCGAGACACCCGAAAUUUUCAAAGAUAAUUUUUUUUUCUUUCAAAAAAUUUCUAAAAUUCCUUAAAAAUAUUGUUGAUUUUUUUCAUACAUCUUUUUUAAAAUGACUUAAUAUUAGUUUGUAUUUUUUAUGUUGUGGAGAUACAAAUUCAGUAUUAAAAUACCCGAUUUCGUCAAAAAAAAAAUAUAUUGUUUUUAAAAAAAAAAAAAUUCUUGCGUGUUGCAUACGGCCAAUACUCUAACAUGUUUUGGAAUGUUCUUUUUAUAUAAAAAAUUAUUGGAAGCUUCGAAAGUGUGUUUUCGCAUAGAUUUCUUAAACACAAAUUAUUUUCUUGCAUUUCUGGAUUUUACAACGUGUUUGUAAAAUUCCAAAGGGUAUUGGCCAAUAUUCCAAAAACUAUAAAAAUCUUAUUUUUGGGGAGAAAAUUUAUUUAUUAUUCACCGCUAAUGUUUGGAUAAAGAAAUCCUUAAAAGGAUGAAUAUCCAAAAUAUUAUUGGGAGUAAUAAAUCCGCACACAUUCUUGAAAGAAGCCUUGAUUAUAAUCGAGGACAUUUCAAAAUUUAAUUUUUUUUUUUUUAUAUUUCUACGAUUUAUGAGUCGCAAACUUUUGAAAUACUAGGGGAAAAAUGAGCUUUCAAAGCACAUGGAAUCUCCUUAUAUUUCUAUCCAAAAUCAAUUGACGAGCCUAGAAAAUACCAACACCAUAGCAAUUAUAAAGCAAACCAAACACCAAGCAGCUUACCUUAGGUAGGGCGUACUAGGGGUGCUAAUACCUUCCCUUUACGCAACCAGUCCCUUGCCUUUGAAUCUCUGAAAGACCAGUUAGGGUUCCUAGUGACCAAAAUACUAGGUGGCGACUCCCAAAAGAACCAAAUCAACAAAACAAAACGAAAGUCGCCAAUCGAAUGUCGCAAAACAAAUUUUAAAAUAAACCAAAUUUUCGUUUUUUUUGGGGUGCGACAAGGUUGAUGCAAUGAGCAGUACAAAGAAAUCAAAAUAUUGAAGGAAAUUCUUCCAUCAAUAACCUGCUAGCAGCAACAUAAUUUGCAGCAUUAUCAGUCACCAUAUGCAUAAUUUUUUCAACCCCAACAUACAAAACAACCUCUCUAAACAACUGAUACAAGAAUCUAGCCGUUUUUGAGACAUCUGAUACAUCCAUAGUUUUCAAAAAAACUAUUCCUUUAGGACAAUAUACUAAGAAGUUAAUUAAAUUCCUCCUCUUUUGAUCUGUCCAUCCAUAAGCCAUUAAUGUGCAACAAGUCUUCUUUCAAAUCUCUCGAUAACUCUCAAUAUAAAUCUUCACUUCAUCAACCGCUUUUGCCAAGUAAUAACCAUGGAUAGCAUGCAAGUUUGGUCCUUUAUAACUAGGACUCAUGGCUGUUACAACAUCUAUGGCAUGCUGAUAAUACACAGAGUUAACAACAUUAAAUGGCACACAUGCAUCAAACGUCAACUUCGCUAAAGCAAGAUCACACCAUUCAACUAUUUCUUUCCUUUUCCAACAAUUUUGAAGAGACUUUUGAGCACCGGGAGUUGUUCUCGACAUGAAAUAUGUCCCUAAUGUUGCAGAUUUCUUUUGCUUUCCAUAACUUGUAGUUGAUUGUUUUACAGUGUUGGUGCUUUGAAUCUUUUUCUUUUUUGCAAUCUUUGGUGGUAACAUAUGUUUUUUAGUAUUGGCAUCUUCAUCAUCAUCAUCUUCUAAUUGCCUAAUCAUCAUCUCUUCAUGCUCCCUUUGUUGUGCAUUAAAUGGAUUGAAAUUUGCUUGCAUUUCUCUAACUCUUUUUUUUUUCAACAUUUCCUUUAAGGUUCAAAAGCAUUUGAUGUCGAACAUAAGGAGGACAUUUGCGACAUUGUUCAACUUUUCCUUUAACUCUAGCUAAAUGUUACUUAAAUCAAUUAAUGCCACCACUCGCAAAUACUUCAGCACAAUAUAAACAUACUAAUUUAGUUUUUUUACAUCCAACACUAAGUUCAUGAGCUUUUCUACAAUGACCCCAUGCCAAAUCUGUUCUUCCUCUACUACCACUUGAUAUGGAAAUUAAAGGUUGAGAUGAUUGGGCCGUUGAAGGAUCACUACUUGGAAUAUUACCAUCAUGUGAAGACAUUUUAAGGACCUAGCAUAAUUUAUAAGAUAUCACUGGAAAAUUCUUUCAACUAGAUUAUUAAUUACUACCAUAAUUAAAGUUUCAAUUCAUUUCUAUCACAAAAUCCUGAUUUAAUUUGAAAGUUAUUUAUAAUUAAAUACGUUGAAUUAAUUUAUGUUAAAAUAGGUAAAGAGCAUUCAUAAUUAAGAUAGGCAAGAUUAUUUCACUUCCAAUUAUUUCAACAGUAGUGAAAAAUCAGUCUCGGUUGAAAAAGAAAGCCUACGCUUCUAUAACCAUGUGAACACAUACAUAUACACUUACAGUUGCAAGUCCAAAUUCAGCUUAAGUAGAACAAUAACAAAAUUAAUAGCAAAUUGGUGAGCAUUAACAGAAGCAAAAGCAAACGAACAGGGACAUCAAAUUCAGCUUAAGCAGAACAAUAACAAAAUUAACAGCAAAUUGGUGAGCAUUAAUAGAAACAGAAGCAAACAAACAGGGAGAACAGAGGGUUGAAGCAAUAACAACUAAUUGUAAAAGCAGAACGAACGAAAUAUUCACAACAAUAUUCACAGCAAACGAACAGGUCUUUGACCAUUUGAAGUCGUAGUAAAAUAAAAGAACAAAGAAAAUGAGAUACAUACCUAUGGAGCUGCAAGCCUGCCAGUUCAAAGCAAAUAGGUCAACAGAGGGGAGAAUCGAUGCCAAUGUUAUAAUAUAGCAAAGCACUCCUGGAAGUUCAACAGAGGGAAGAAGAUUUAAAAGAUGUUUCAAUUUGAAAUAGAGGAUAGUGAAAGAAAAAAGAAACAACACUUAUCUAACCUUAUUUGCAUAUUUGAAACAGCGAUUAAGGAUUCAAGAGUCUUCUGCUCCUCUACUCUUCUUCACGAUUGAAAGUGAAAUGGGUUUGAAGAUUUCUUGAAAUUAAUUAGGUCUUCUCACUUCUGCGCUGCAUUUGUUUCUCUGCUCUUCUCAUUUUGGCAUUUUAAUUGUAAAGGGCCAAAACAACGUUGUUUCGGUCAUGAGUGAUAAAAAAAAAACCCGGGUCUCAGCCGGGGAGACCCGGGUUUGACAUGUCCGACCGGGUCCCGGGUCGACCCUCCAGGUUGACCAGGUCUGACCGGGCCAAUUCCCAGCCUUAUUUUUGCUUAGACCCGGCCCGGCUCGACCACAAAACUGGGUCGAUCGGGUCCCGGGUCGACCUGCCGAGCCGGGUUUUAAGACACUGAUUGCAUGAUAUGAUUAAUUAUGUAAUUAGUAAUUGACUAUGUAGGAGUAUUUUAUUGUGUGAUACUUGAUGAAUUUAGAACUGAGAUUUCUUCAUUCUUGAGCUUUAUAAGAAGUCAGUGCUUGAAGAUAUCAUCAGUUCUCUGUGGUUAGCGAGGGAUAUGUCUUUCAAAUGGAGAUGAUUGUUCGGGCGUCCAGAAAAGGCUACCAUAUUGAAGAGGUAGUGUUAUAUAUUUCACAUUAUUGUGGUUUAUCAUUAAAAUUAACAUAUACUACCUGUAAUCACCAGCAUGAUUGUCUUGAGUUUCGAGAUACACAUUUCAUGCGUGCAUGGUAACACAUCUUGAUUGCCCUUGUCUUCUUGGUUGUGGCGGGUUGUGGCGUGAACAACUACAGAGAUCAGGAGAUGCCUAUGCUUACCCUGUUCCAUAAAUGUUCCAAUGCCCUCUUCAUAUAGCGUGUGUUUGUGUGUGUGUGUGUGUAUUCUCGUCAUUAAUUAUGCCUGUUGGACAAUAAUAUUUGUUGAACAGUAAAAUUCCAAGUGAAUUCUGAAUAGGUAGGACAUGGCUAGAUAAACUCUAGAUAUUUCCAAAGGUGGUUAACAACACUUAUCUAACCUUAUUUCCAUAAAUGUUCCAAUGCCCUCUUCAUAUAGGGUUAACAACCUCUUUUUAUUGUAUUGCUUAUUUUCUCUGUUAACUGUUUCCCCCCUACUCAUCAUACAUUGGUUCUAUUUCAUGUAUGGUUUUGCUGUUUGUUUUCUGUUUUGAAAUUUUUAACUGCAGACUACUCUGCAUCUGAAAUUGCUCAGUGAUCCUCAGCCUUGGUUGAUUUUGGUUAUGAAUUUGUCACAGGUUCCAAUUACCUUCGUUGAUAGAGUAUUUGGGAGUUCAGAGCUAGGAGGUUCUGAAAUUGUUGAAUAUUUGAAAGGCCUUGCAUAUCUUCUGGUCACAACAUAAGAAGCAAUGUUGUUUUUAUCAACACGAUCAGUUUUGUAACACCUAAUCUAAGGAGUUCAUCGCCUUGCAGCAACACACAGCUCAUCUCACCGAGAAAUACAAGCAACUCUCGGCGAAUUAUGAACAACUUCGUCAAAUGAUCAUAAACAUGGCAUCACAGAGUGGUUAUACAUGUGUGGCCUUUUUUUGACCGUAUAACAACCAGCCUCCUUAUCCUUCUCUUUAAGCUCCGUCAUUGUGCUAAUUUAAUAUAUUUUUUUGAAACACAUUCAAUUUGCAUUUAACUUUAUUUUUUAUGUUUUAUAAAAUGUAUUCGCAUAAUGGGUUUUUCUUACUAUUAAUUUAUUCUAAAUAUUUUUUAAAAAAAAUUAAAAAUAUCUAUUAACGAAUUUACAAACAGAAUGUAUCCGUCAACAUUCCACAAAGAAUUGAAAACUAUUUACUGAAAAUACCAUAAUAUUGUUUCCUUUUCUGCUGAUAUUGUCUCUCUUGACAGGGAAUUUUCGUGUGUUAAGAUAAAGCAUUAUAUUUAACCAUUGAAUCGUCAUAUAGCUGAUCAGAUUCUAAAAAUCUAAAUCAUGUUGCUUUGACUGGUUGUGCUAUGAUUCAUGAGCAUCUCUUUAGAUAGUCUGCACAAUUGAGGCACUUAAUUCGGUGAGGGAAUAGCAAGUACAUUGCAUUUUCGGGAUUGAAAUUUAAAGCUAUUUAAGAUUGGAUCAAAAUCCAUUCCAUAUGCAUGUGUGAUCUGACAGAACAAGGCUUGUUUGCUGUUAUUAUUAUUUAGGGUUUUAAAACUCUAAAGUUAGACAUAACCAUAGAAAAAUCUAGUUAGAUUUGAAUAAUAUUCACUAAUAAGAAAUGAAACACCCCAAGUGUUAAAUAUAAGAGCUCUAAAAACCAACCAAAAUAAGAAACACAAAAUAAAUAAUUAAAAUCUGAUAAUACAUAGAAAAAUAACUAAAGUAGUCAAAACAACAACUUUUAGAUCUAAUUUUAAAAGAUCUCACGGUUUGUUAAAUAAGAAAAUAGUUUUCCAUAAAAAAACCAACCUUGAGAACCUCCUAGAAAAAUUUAAGUAAGAAUUAAUAUUCGAAUCUUCUGUUAUUAUUAUUUUAAGAUAGAUUGUUCAUUUAGAUAUUUUCUUGGAUAAUUUUUGUUUUUCAAUUUGAUCCAUCAAAUCUUGUGAUAAUUGUUCCACAUCAAAAUCCUAAUUGAGAAAUCAAAAUUAAAUUAAAUUUGCUUUUUAAAAAUUCAAAUCUUCUCAAUUAAAUCUAAAUUAGACUUCCAAACUUAAUUUUCACCAAUUAAGCCCAUGAUAAAAUUAAUUUAACCUAUUUAAAGUAUAAUUAAGUUCUUUCACUUAAUUAAAUCCUUCAAUUGGAUCCAAAUUAAUUAUUUUGACUUAUAAUAAAAUCAAAUUGGCUUAUUAAAAAUUUAAUCAUGUCAUUAGACUUAAUUGUUAUGUAAAUUCGUCCAAUAAUAAUUUAAUUUGACAUUGAAUUUGUAUUGUUUCUGUAUUUUUAGGCAUAAUAGGUGUCGCACGUGUGCGCCGGCGCGGCGAUCGUCCACCCUCAAGGAAAAAAAUCGGAAUAAUUUAUUCCUGGAAAAUAGGGAGAGACAAGGAAUUCUUGUCUCUACAAGUGAAAAUAUGGACUGAGAGUCGCCACCUAGUAUUCUGGUUACUAGGAACCUUAACUGGUCUUUAGAGAUCGGGUACGGAGACUGGUUGCGUAAAGGGAAGGUAUUAGCACCCCAACUACGCCCUACCUAAGGUAGGCUGCAUUGUUUUAAUGUCUGAUAAAAUCUAAAAUCGUGUUGUGGUUUUUUUGAAUCGUUGGUUCGUUUACGGUUUAAGAAAAGUCCUCCUCUGUAAGGAGGUCUUUAUCUUUAUCGGGUAAAAAAAAACUAAUUAUUCGAAGUCGUCAAAAGAAAAUAUCUUUUUAAUAUCAGGAAUACGAUUUACGUAUAAAUUCAUAAUCCCUGAUACUAAAAUCAAACAAAAUAAAAUAUUUUGUUGUUUUGAGAUUUUGGCCAAUGUUCUCUUGACUUUAAUAAACUGGUUAUUAAAGCCAAAAUGCAUGCUAAAAUAUUGUUUUUUGACAUAUGAAAAAUACGAUAUGAUUUUUAGAUUUGAGACACUUGGCCGUAUGCACAAAAACAUUUUUUUCUUUUAAUUUGUUUUUUUAUUUUUUGAAGUUUUUGCCGAAAACCGAGUGUUUUAAUACCGGAUUUAUAUUUUUACGAUGUAAAAAUACUGCCCGAUAUUAAUCAAAAUGACAUAAAAAACUACGCGGGAAAAUUAUAAAAUGCUGAAACAAAUAUUUUUGAUUUUUUUUUUUAUGCUGUGUGAACAGUACUGUAUGAACAGUACCGCGGGACGAAAACCGGGUAUUUUAAUACUGAAUUUAUAUUUUUGCGAUGUAAAAUACAGACCGAUAUUAAGCAAAAUUGAUAAAAACAUGUGCUGGAAAAAUUAUAAAAAUUCUAUAAAAAAAAAAUUGAAAUGGACCGGACCCGGCCCAAAUGCGUGGGCUGGGCCGGCCAGACCCAUUUUACAUGGGCUGGGUUGACGGCCCAGCCCAGCCCACGCUGCAUUUUGCAGCAGAACGUGAAUUAUUCACGUUCUGCAUGCAAGUGCAGGCAGGGACAGCGAGGGCGAGAAGAAAAAAAAGUGAUGGCGAGGGAGCAGGAGGUUACCUGACGCGGUGGAGCUUCCAACUGGAGCGGUGGCCGGCGGUGCUGCUGGUGAUCGAAGGGUGGCAGAGGCGACGAUUUCUUCUCUCUUCUCCCCUGCUUCUUUCUUUCUUCUUCUGUUUCUGUUUUUUUCUUUCUUUUCUUUUCCUCUCUUCUUUCUCUUCUCUUCUAUUCUCUCUUCCCUCUCCCUCCUGUUGUGUUCUCCCCUUCUCUUUUUUUCUCUUUUUCCUCCCCUGUUUUUAUAGGCGAAAAACAGGGGGGGGGACGUCAUGGUGGUGGCCGGUGUGCUACCGCCCGUCCAACGCCCGUCCAACACGUGGAAAGUGGUCGGCAAGUGGUGUCCUUGUUUCGGCGUCUUUUUGAGCAAAAAGAAGGAAAGUAAUAGGCGAAAAGGGAAGAAAAAAUCUUCUUCUUCCCCUGCCGCGUGUCCAGGGGAAGAAGAAGAGCUACAGUGCCGUCAAAACGGCACCGUUUUGGGCUUCUGUUUUUUUUUUUUUUUGCAACAGUGAAUGAAACGGCGCCGUUUUGGUCAAAACGCGCCGUUUCAUUUAAAAGGAAAAGGCGCCAAAAGCAUCAGAUUCAAAUUUCGGCCCUCCAUUUUCGCGCGUUUUACAAUGUAGUCCUUGGUCUCGGAUUUCUUCAAUUAAGUCCCUAAUUGGCCAUAAACUUCAAUAUUUAUGCAAUUAAGCCCCUGAUUUGACCAAAUUAACUUCCAAAAAUUAUAAUUUGACCCCAGAAAAUUAAUUUCUCCUAAUUAAAGCCCAAAUUAACUCCAAAAUCAAUUUUUCUUGCAAUUAAAAUCUCCAUAAAUUCAAUUAAACCUUCAAUAAAAUUUAAUUGAGUCCAUAAACUUCUGAUUUUGCAUUUUUCUUCCACAAAUUGAAUUUUCUUUAUCAUCGGGGCUCUCAUCAGUUAAUGAUAUACUGUCAAAAAAUAAUUUUUAUAUUUUUGAAAAUCCUCAAACAAUGUUUUUAGCAUGUUUAUGGCGCUCUGGCAUUUUUCACUGUUAUAUUUUUUUUUGUAAUAUAUUUUUUUGAAUUUUUUUUGUAUUUUGUUAUUUUAUAUGUGGGGACCCAAAAAUGGGUUACAACAAUAGGGUACAUUUAGGUUUUGAAUUUCCUCCAAAAUCAUGGCUAGAUUUUUUUCUAUUUUUUUUUUAAUUCUUCUCGACUUGUUUUCUUAGCUCUUAUUUUAUUUUCUGAUUUUUAUUUUAAAAAAUAACCGACCGUGUAAAUUGCUGACUUUGAUUGCCUUUUCUUUUGUCAAUCAUUUGGCCUUUGUAGUGUGGCAGGCCACAACCAAUUCAUUACACUAAUCAUUCGGACCAUUUUUCCUGCUUGCAAAUCACACCCCUAAAAUCAUUUGUUAUAUAUAUAUAUAUAUAUAUAGACACACACACUAAAGAAGAGAGUCUAAAGCCAAGGUAUAUUAAGGCAGUUGGUACCUAACCUUGCAUGACAUGUUUUGGGGCCUGUGAGCUGCCAGGAACAAAAUCGUAAGGCGUGAAAGCUAAGUUAGACUAAGCCAUAGCGGACAAUAUUCUGCAAGUGGAGUGGGUCGGGCCUUACAUAUGGUGUUAGAGUUAAGGACGACUCAUUCUUAAAGUGAGGGGAUUGUAAAAUCCCACAUUGAAAGAAGAGUGUCUAGAGCCAAGGCAUAUAUAUAGAUACACACACUAAAGAAGAGUGUCUAAAGCCAAGGUAUAUUAAGGCAGUUGGUACCUAACCUUGCAUGACACGUUUUGGGGCUUGUGAGCUGCCAGGAACAAAAUCGUAAGGCGUGAAAGCCAAGUUAGGCUAAGCCAUAGUGAACAAUAUUCUACAAGGAGGAGUGGGUCGGGCCUUACAUAUGGUAUUAGAGUUAAGGACGGCUCAUUCUUAAGGUGAGGGAAUUAUAAAAUCCCACAUUGAAAGAAGAGUGUCUAGAGCCAAGGCAUAUUAAGGCAGUUGGUACCUUACCUUGCAGUACAGGUUUUAGAGCCUGUGAGCUGUUAGAAACAAAACUGUGAGGCGUGGAAACCGGGUUGGGCUGAGUCAUAGCAAACAAUAUUCUGCAAGGGGGGGCGUGCUGGGCCUUACUGUCCAUAAUGCGAAACGAGUAAAUAUUAACAUUUUUUUUAUUUAUAUCAAAUCUAAAUAAAUUAAAUCAGAUAGUCAUGCAAGAUCCAAGAGUCUUAAAUCUGGGAACUAUGCCAAAACCCAAGAGAUUUCAUCAUUAUUUUUUAAUUUUUUGUUUUUGUAAUUGAUCAUUUAGUUUGAUUUACUAGUGAUUAAGUUUUGAGUGUUUUUUAUUUUUAUUUUUUUUCCUUAUGAGGUUGCUCUUUCUCAUUCAAUUUUUCUUUGUUAUCAAAUAAAAUUAUUAACACUUUACAAAAAUAAUUAAAGGGUAUCUUUUUAUGAUAUUGACAAGAAUUUAUAUUUUUAUUAGUCAUUGUUAUUUUUUUAUAAUUAUAUUAUUAAAUUAAUUAAGUUUAUUAAACCAAAUUCUAAAUUUUCAUUAAUCUUCUAAAAACAAUAUCGUCAUUUUUUUUACAUUUAAAAAAAUUAACAUGUCCCGCGACAUUGCGAAAACCAAACCGUUUGUUGAUGAUAAUAUUAAUUCCAUAUUCUAGAACAUCACCAAACUAUGUACCAAACAAUUGGCAGAUAGCCACCCCUUUAAUCUUGAGUACGGGGACACAUGCCAUGUGAUUGGAGCAGGCGUGCAUGGAGCAUAAUUGAACUCACCAAACUAAUGUACCUUAGGAUAGAUACAAUUAAUACAACCUUUAUAUUAGCUGUGUUCAUAAAUAUGAUUUGAUAUUUCCAACACCAUUUUUAACGUUUUGUAAAUUUCACCUAUUUAAUUUUUAUUUAUACACCGUGGAGUUAGAUAUAUCUGAUUAUGUUAAAUAUUUUAUGAAUAUUAUACAUAUUUACAAGUUAAAUUUAUAUUGCUAAUUUUUAUGACUAAGUUUAACUAGAACUAAGAUUUAUACUCAAUAAAUUAGCUGAAAACGUGUUAUAAAUUUUAACAAAAAAUUUAGAUUUAAUACAUCAAAUAAAUCAAUUAACUAAAAUGAAAGAAUCAAUUGCGAAAAAAUAAAAAUAAAUAAAUAACAAAGCAUAUAACAACAAAUAUUUAAGUUUAUUGUUAUAAGAUAUCCAUGCUAGGUUAAAUUUCUUGACCCAUGACAUUUAUUUUUUAGAUUUUUUAACUUGCAAUUAUUUAUAAUAUCUAUAUAAUAUAACCUUAACGGGUUGAGUCAAGUUAGAUAAUAUAAAAUAUUGUAAAUGAAUUAAUUUUUUUAAACACCCCUAUUCUAUAUUAAUUUUUUUUCACAGUAUAGAUAACCAUUUUAUACAUAGAAUGAUUUGUUUAUUUUAAAUAGUCUUAAGAAACAAUCCUUUAUAUUAACCUAAUACAUUAAGAAAAAUAAAUUUUCUUAGUGUAAUAGGGUAACCUUGGAAUUGAUUAACAAAAUAGAAGGUAAGAUGUGCACGUCAAAACCAGUGGCGGAGCCACGUAGGGGCAAGAGGGGGCAAUUGCCCCCUCCCCCCAAUGCAUAAAUGUAAUUCUCUGCUCCUCCUGGUACAACUUUUGCAGCAUAUUGAAAUUCAACUUUGCAGGCUUUAGUACAAGUUUGAUGUGCAGUUCCUCUUUCUUGUAGCUGUUAUUCUACAUUUUAUUUGCUGAUAAUUUUUACUCUGAUGUUCACUUUUCAAAGGGUUGUAACCAAUAACAUAAUAAGGGGUGUCCAAACAAAAACUUUCAUUAAAUAAAGUAGAAUUUUAAGAAUAACAGCUGGGAUCACAUAAGUCCAGGCAUAGUUAUUUAUAACCAGUUUAUUAUAUUAAAAUAUUAAUAUAAUAUUUUUAUUGGGUUAAUUUUUUUUUAGCUACUAAUUGAACCAGGUUCUUUAUUUUUUUUUCAUUAAUAAUCUGCACUCCCUUCCUUCUAUAAAAUUUCUUUUCAGGCCCUAAGCUAUUAAUUAGUUAAGCAAUUAACCUUUUAUGCUUUAUGCUUUAAAAAAGUUUUUUUUAUCUUUUCUAUUUGUUUCAUUAUCUAAUUUUAGUUUUAUUUUUUUUUAUAAUUAGUUAUUGAAAAUAUAGGGUUUAUAAUAAUAUUGAGAAAUAUAUUUUUAAUGAGAUUAAAAAUAAAAUUAUUAUAAAGCAAUUUUAAAAUAUAAAAUCUUGAAGAGAUGUAAGUUUUUUCAUUUUAAAGGCAUUCUUAAAUUAAUUUACUUGACUUGAAUUGAUAUGUGUGUGUAUAUAUAUUUCAAAUUAUUUUAUAUAUAUAACACAUAUAUGUAUAAUUAGUAAUUUGUCCCCUUAUUUAAAAAAUUCUAGCUCCGUCACUGGUCAAAACCAUCUCUUGCUGAUGAAAGAUUGUUGGGUCAGCAGCGACGAUAUUUAUGAUGUCAAGUUUUCACUCCCCCAAGUCCACAUUUCCUCAUCUUAUUAGUCUAAAAAUGCAAGGACAACUAAACUAAGGCCUCACAUCUCUCCUGCUUAUGAUGUAACCAUGCAUUUAUCUUACUUAAAUUAAGCCGCCGCCCCGCCCCCCACCUCUAUAUAUAUACUCCAUAUUUCCAUCGUCUCAUCGGAUCAAAGCAUACACAAAACCAUGAUAGAAACGGUAUGACAUAUAUUUGUGUGUGUUAUUUUAUCUUUUAAUGCAUCAUCUUAAUUUGGCCUUUUCUUCUUUUUACGUGGAGGUCCUAUAUAUGUUACGUACAAGUUCUUGAUAAUCUCUACAGCGGAUUCUUCCGUGUCAGAACAUGUUUUGAGUUCUUCCAAUCUUUCUGUCUAUAAAUUUAUCAUGACAACCUUUUUUUAUGUUUUCUAUUGGGAUUAAUCAUGGUGAGGUCCUAUAUGAAAUGCAUGAACUAACUACUAUCGUUACAGAAAGUCACAACGAUGGUGAUUAAGGUUGACCUUGGAUGCGAAAAAUGCCAGAAGAAAAUCAAGAGAGUACUGUGUGCUAUCCCUCGUGAGUCUUUCUUUUUUCUCUUUAAAAACAGUGAUAGGUUUGAGUUGUUUUUAUUACCAAAGGAAGUGACUAAGUUUUGUGGAUUGAUGAUGUUAAUUAAUGAACAAUAGAAAUCCAGAACCAGACAUAUGACAAGAAGAAAAACACAGUGACAAUCACUGUGGUGUGUUGCUGUCCUGAAAAGAUCAAGACAAAAAUAUACUGCAAAGGAGGUGAAGCUGUCCAGUGCAUUGAGAUUCCACCUCCACCUCCACCUCCUCGUACUCCUACUCCUCCACCUCCACCUCCACCACCACCAUGCCCAUGUUGUGAAAAAUGCCGCCGAGGACCAUGUUGUCAUCACUUUUGUAUGCCAACACCUCCUGCAAAUUGUCAUGUACCUUGUAGAAGGUCAGAGUGUGAUAUAUGGGGAGAUGGAUGUUGUAGUUGCCGAAGUAGAGGUUACUAUGUGUGCAGAAGUGUAUAUGUUUAUGAAGAGUACUAUCCCUCGACAUGCAAAAUCAUGUAAAGGGAAAGUUCAGAAGACCGAUGGUUUGAGUCAACGUCCAGCAUCAACCGUUGGAUUCAAAUCCAGUGGUCAUGAUGCCUGGGCCUUUGUGUUGUUACAUGUUUGAUCAGCAAAUAUGGGAGGCUUUACUACCUACUCUUUGUUUUUUAUGCUAUAUUAUCUUUGUAUAGCACUCCUGGGAUUUUGUCCCUUUGAAUGUUUUCUUCCAAAGUGCUAUUAUAUUGAAGUAAUUUUUUUUAAAAAUAAAAUUAUUCUUAAUAUAGAAUAUUAAAACUAUUUGAAAAUACAUAAAAUAUAUAAAUUGCACUGCAUUGAUGCUCGUGUUUAGACUCAAACUAAUAAAAUAAAAACCCAAAGUACCUCACUUCUAUAACUCCAUUAAAAAGGGCCAAACUAGCUAUCCAUCCAAAAUAUAAUAAAAUAAAACCCCCCGAAUAGAUCUUAAUAAUUUUUCAAACAAAGUCUUCAAGGAGAAACUCUUUUCACUAUCUUGAAUUAAUCUUCAAGCCAAUCACGAAAAACAUUCAAGUUGGGGUUCCAAUUUGCUUCCCGGUGGACACAGUCAGUAAGCAACAUGUUUCGCGGUACGUCUAAAGACUGGCUAUGGUAUUAUCGCCAUGCAAAUUUUGUUUAUUAAUUGAUAAUAUGUUUUUCAUUUCAUAAAACCUUAUGAAUAAACUCAUAUAAUUUAUAAUAUUUUACGCAGAGAGACCAUCCUCUGUGAUUAAACAAUUAGGUCAACAAGGUUGGUGAGAUGUAUAAAUAUUAUUGUAGGGUCACGUACGUAGUUACAAUUAUUGCAAAUAAAAGCAAAAGCUUCCAUUUUCCAAGGUGACGGUGGUGAUAGUGACGGUGGGGGUGCGUGCACCUCCGUUUCUUUCACUUUCAAUUGCUUUCUUCAAUCCUUGACCGUUUGAUUGCUUCUGUGGUGUAGACGUGAGCAUGCUUGUGUCCUGGAAAACAUGGUGCCACCCCAGCCAUGCCUGAUGAUCCAAACGAGAUAAUGAAAUUUGGAUUAUUAUAUACUCUAUAAAUUAAUUAGGAUUGUACUUGGAGAGAAGAAUAAUCCCUUUAUCAGCAUACAUAAUAAUCGAAGACCAAUUUCCUUUUCAUUAUGUAUAUAUCUAGUUUUAUGUGAAGCCAUGUAAAGCUCUCUUAAUCUGGAGAUAUAUUAUCAUUGGUUGACGUUAUUUGACUCGUUUCUUUUCUAUUCUCCUUUACACAUCAAUUAAUUGGUUGGGAUGACAGAAGAAGAAUGCUACCAUGGGAUAGGUUAGCGAGCUGUCAAUGAAAAUGUAAGGAAGCAAUGGAGAUUUUGAAGGGGUUAUUGUAAUCUCCAUUGACUUGUACGGAAGGAAUAGUUGUUAAUUAUACCCACUUAGUUGAUUCAUAAAAUUUAUGUCCUAAAAGAUUGCCAUAAUAUAUUGAUAUGACUAAACUCAAUUAAUCAGACUAAAUUUUUAAUUAUUUGAUUUACUUGGUCAAUUUCUAUCAAAACUUGAACGGGUUAACAUCAUUCUUUUAAAUAAUAAAACGACAUGCUUUAAUAAUAAAAAAUCAGCUGCAAUUAACUUGAUUAUUUAAUUUUUACUUGGUUUUCACAUAAAAUAAUAAUAUUUUUUUUUCUUUUAAUAAGUGCAAUCUUGUAUAAAUUAUUUUUUCUUUAAUUUUAUUCAAUUAUUUUUGUGUUUGUGUCAAUUUCUAUUAUCGUUUGAUUAAAUAGAAGAUUAAGUUUAAUAAACAAAGUUAUUAAACACAACCAGGUACAUGGUUCAUAUUGCUAGAUUAAAUAUUUUGAUCUAUAUCUAUCUUUUGAUUUCUCAAAUUUAGUCCUUAAUUAUUGUUAACGAUUUUUUUUUAUUUAUUAGUACAAAUAAUUCUAAAUUUAUUUAAUUGAAUGUAUACAUAAGUUUUUUAUAUAUAUAAUAAGAAUUUUUAACAUUAAAAAAUAUAAUGAAAGAACUUGAUUAUUUAAUUAUUUAUUUUAUUAGAAAGAAUAAUAUCUAACCCACAACAAUGCACUUUCACGAUAGCUGUCGCGGGGACGCGACGUCGUCUGGCGACGGCGGAGGCUCUUUGUCGUGCCUCCUGUGUGAGGUGUGUUGUGUGUUGGAAAGGGUUUUGGAUUUAAUCAUAAAAUUAUGAUUAGUGUAAGGAGUCACCACCUAAUAUUAUGGUCACUUGGAACCUAUGGUCUGCGAGAGUCCGAGUAAGGGAUUGGUUGUGCAAGGGGGAAGACGCAUCACCCCCAGUGCACCCUACCUAAGGUAAGUUGCAUUGUUGUUUGAUUGUUUUUUUCUAAGUAGGGUUGGUCUUUUCUAAGGUUCAAGGCAGAUCUCUCUUCAUGAGAGAGUCUCUAUCUUAUCGGGUUACAUCCUAACCGUUCUAAAUUUUGAAUUUUAGCAUCGCAUUUACACCUUGUAUCUUUAAUACCCGAGGGUGUAAUUUAUUGUGUAAUUUUACACCCCACAAAUAUUAAAGUCUACAUCUGGAUCUUAAGAAAAAGAUUGGAAAAAUAUUUUUGACAUGGUGGCCAAAUCCUAAUGGAUAAUCAUAAACUGGUUAUGAUAUCCAUUUUUUUAUUUAAAAAAAAAACAUGAAAAAGAUGCAAUUUUUUUUCUUGUUUUUUUUUUAUGAAAAAUAUGCUUGAAUAGGAUUUAGUCGUAUGCAACAAUAUAUAUAUAUUGAAAAUGUUUUUAUUUUUUUUUUGAAAUAUUUCGGAGAAAAAUCGGGUAUUUUAAUACCAAAUUUGUAUUUUACAAUGUAAAUAUACAACCCGAUAUUAUGCAAAAUGGAUAGAAAAAUAUUUGAGAAAAUCACAAUUUUUUUAAAAUGAUUUUUGAAUUUUUUUUGGAUUUUUUUGUUUUUUGUUUUUUUUAAAAUAAUAAUAUUAUAAUAUAUAUUAUAUUAUAUAAUCUAAAAUAUGUGUGCUGGGCCGGCCUAGCUAGCCGGGCCGAGCCCAGCCUAGAAAGGGUGGGCCGUUAUCGGUCCAUAAAUUUGGUCUGGGUCGAAUGAAGUCCGGCCCAUCUCCAUGUUAAUUAUUUCUGCAUAAACGUGAACAGUUACUGUUCACAUUCUGCAUGCAACCAAACGGUUGCAGAAGGUGUAGGUGGGCGGAGGAGAAGACUACCGUCAGCGGUGGUCACGGAUGUGAUCAGAAGGUUGAGUUGAUGGCUCGGGCGGCAGCGCUGGGAGCAACGGUGGCCGGAGUCGAUCACGAGGAAGGAAGAAGGAUUAUGCAGAGGUGAGAGAGAGGAAAAAACGAUGACAGUUUCAGGUGUGGGGGGUGGUCGGCUUGUGGUUGGGAUAGACACCUGUGGUGGAGAUGGUGGCAGAGAAGCUGUUUGUGGCUCUGUUUAGUGGUUGCGGCAACGGAGAGAGAGACUGCAGAAACGGGGCAGUGGGGGCUGGUUUUUUGUCAACUUUUGACUCGAUUUUCUCCUCCCUCAGGUUAUCAACAGAGCCUCUAUUUAUAGAAGGUGGAAGAGGGUAAUCUCAUCUACACCGGGGUAAAAUUUCAGCCAUUGAUUCAAUUGGGAAGGAUCCCAACCGUUGGUCCAAAGUAGGCAUCUUGAGUUGUCAAUUCUGCAGAAAAAGCUGCCUGAGUGGGCAUGUUUAGGCCGGCGCCGGCGCCGAUUUGUUGUCAUUCAGACUGCAAGAUUCACAUGGGGGUGUAGAUUGACUGUAAAGGAUCAUUUUCGUGCAAGUUUGGUUAAAUUCGGUGCACGUUUGGUGCAUUAAAUGCACCUGAAAAGUAGACGGCCAGGCAGUUUCUUUCGGGUAAAAAAAAAGGACAAUAAACAGUGACUAGAAGACACGUCGUCUGGUCUUCUCUUUUUUUUUUCUUUUUUUUUAACCCAAAACGGCGCCGUUUUAGGUUUAAAUUAGGGAUUUUUACUCAUUUUUAAUUUAGUCCCUGAUCUUUCAAUUUCUUUCAAUGGAACCCCUAAUUGACCCAAAACUUUCGAUUUAAUGCAAUUAAACCCCUGAUGAACUUCAAUUGCAGCUCCGUAUUUACGUGCCUUUUGCAAUAUGGUCAUUGGUCUUAGAAUUUGUCAAUUUAACCCCUGAUUGACCAUUAUACUUUCAAUUUCUUUGAUUCCCCCCGGCUUUUGUCAAUUGAACCCCCAUAGUUUGUCGCAUGUUGCAGAUUGGUCCCUAGUCUCCGAUUUCUUAAAUUUAACCCCUAAUUGACCCCAAAACUUCAAUUUUCUUGUAAUUUGGCCCCCAAUUUCAAUCAAUUAACUUGGUAAAAUUAAAUUUGGUCUUUUAAAAUUCUAAUCUUCUCAAUUAAGCCCAAAUUAAGCUCCCAAACUUAAUUUUCACCAAUUAAGCCCCAAAUAAAAUUAAUUUGACCCGUUUAAAGUAUAAUUAAGUGCUUGCACUUAAUUAAAUCCUUCAAUUGGACCCAAAUUAAUUCUUAAAAUUUAAUUUGGCUCAUGAUUAAAUCAAAUUGGCAUAUUAAAAAUUUAAUUAUGUACUUGGACUUAAUUUUUCACUAAUUAAGCCCCAAAUAAAACUAAUUUGACCCAUUUAAAGUAUAAUUAAGUCCUUGCACUUAAUUAAAUCCUUUAAUUGAACCAAAAUUAAUUCUCAAACAUAAUUAAAAUUCAAUUUGGCCCAUGAUUAAAUUAAAUUGGCCUAUUAAAAAUUUAAUUAUGUUCUUGGACUUAAUGUUUAUGCAAAUUCAUCCAAUAAUCAUUUAAUUUGACCUUGAAUUUGCAUUGUUUUCUCCAUUUUUUGGGCAUAAUGGGGUACAAUUAGGCCUUGAAUUUUCCUAAAAAAUUACAGCUUGAUUUCCCGGCCUACUUUCUCCACGUUGCUAGCCUUUAUUUUAUUUCUUGAUUUUUAUUUUGAAAAAGAAGUUAUUUUUGGGGAAUAACCCAAAAUUUAGUUAUGACAGUUGCCCCUCUCUUUACAAUGCUUACGAUAGAAAGUCUCGUAAGAGACUUUAGAUAGUAAGCGUUGUAAAGAAGAAAAAGGAAGAAAAAGAAAAAUGAGAGAUGAUGGAAUGAUGAAUCCUUUUGAGGGCUAGAAAGCGCACUCAGGGUGAAAACUGGAAGAUUUAUCUUCUGAAAAUUCAGAGAUUUUGAAGUGGUCGAAUUGUCAUGGGUGACCUACUCAGAGAAAAUUGAAAAAAAGUUUUUGAGGUGGUUUCAUUGUAAUGGGUGACCUACCCAGGUGAAAAAUGCAAAGAUUUUUCAAAGAUGUUUCAAGGUGUUGAGAAAUACAAAGAUUUUCAAAGUGGUCUUGUUGUAUUGGGCGACCUUCAAAGUGUUGAAAAACACGAAGGUGAGAAAUGUAAAGAUUUUUCAAAGUGGUAUUGUUGUAAUGGGCGACCUACCCAGGUGAAAAAUGCAAAGAUUUUUCAAAGUGAUCUUGUUGUAAUGGGCGACCUGUCCAAAUGAAAAACUCACAGAUUUUUUCUACAUGAUGAAAAAUGCAGAGAUUUUAUAAAAUGAAGAAAAAUACAGAGAUUUUUCAAAGUGUUGAAAAAUGCAGAGAUUUUUCAAAAUGGAGAAAAAUACAAAGAUUUUUCAAAGUGAUCUUGUUGUAAUGGGCGACCUACCAAGAUGAAAAAUACAGAGAUUUUUCAAAGUGUUGAAAAAUACGAAGGUGAAAAUGCAAAGAUUUUUCAAAGUGGUCUUGUUGUAAUGGCGAUCUGCCCAGGUGAAAAACUCACAGAUUUUUUUCUACGUGAUGAAAAAUGCAGAGAUUUUUCGAAGUGGUGAAAAAUACAGAGAUUUUCCAAAGUGGUCUUGUUGUAAUAGGCGACCUAUCCAGGUGAAAAUUUUGGAGGUGAAAAAUGCGAGAAUUUCUUAAAAUGGUUUAAUUGUAAUGGGCAAUCGGCCCAAAAUGGAAGAUUUUGAAGGUGGUGAGAAAUGCAAGGAUUCCUAAAAAAAAAAAAUGGUUUCAUUGUAAUGGGCAACUGGCCUAAAUGGAAGAUGAAAAAAGUUUUUAAAAAGGUCUAAUUAUGAUGGGUGACCUACCCGGGUGAAAUGUCUUGAAGAGACGACAUGAUAGGGCUCGAAGGUGCCCUAUUCAAGAGACGAAAACUCAAGGAAGCGUUCAAAAAAAGAUAGGACUCAAAGGGGAACAAGGGCUGAAAAGUGUACUCGAAAGGGGGUAGGAUUAGAAAACACACUACGUUCAAAGGCGAACUUGAAAGGAGACAGGGUUAGAAAACGCACUACCUAUGAGGUGAGGGUUUGAAGGCGUACUUAAGAAGAGGUAGGGUUGGAAAACGCACUACCUCAAGUGGUUGAGGGCUCUAAGGCGCACUAAAAAAGAGGUAUGGUUAGAAAACGCACUACCUAAAGUGGUUGAGGGCUCAAAGGCGCACUCAAAAUGAGAUAGGGUUAGAAAACACACUACCCAAAAGGUGAGGGCUCGAAGGCGCACUCAAAAAGAGGUAGGGUUAGAAAACGCACUACCUAAAGUGGUUGAAGGCUCUAAGGCGUAUUCAAAAUUAGAUAGGGUUAGAAAACACAUUACCCAAGAGGUGAGGGCACGAAGACGCACUCAAAAAAAGGUAGGGUUGGAAAACGCACUACCUAAAGUGGUUGUGUAAACCCCAAGAAAAAUAAAUAAAUAAAAGUGAAGAAAUUCAUGCAUAUGGUUCAAAAAAAAAUUAGGAAUUCAGAGAUUUUUGAAUAUGAAUUUCCAAGUGAAAUAAUUCGAGAUAUUAUAAUGAAUUCGGUAUUGUUGAGGGUUGGAUUUAAUUGAAGAGAAAAAAAAUAAAAUACACUUAAAGGAAAACGGGGCGUUAAAUGCAAAUAAGGAAAAAUAUAGAGUAUAAUUACUCUCUCCUCACCAAAACAAAAUCUGUAGGAACCAUAAGGAGAGAUGAUAGAGAGUUUUAUACUCAUUCUUGAAAAAUCAAGAGAGAAACACUAACAUUUCAAGAACUCAUCCAAGAUUUAGAGCUUAUAGAUGGGAUAAACACUUGAGAGCAAAGGAUUACCAAGAAAUUGAACAAGAAAAAAAGAAAGGAGGGAGUUGAAAAUCUUCAACUGGUUGAAGAUCAAGAUCUUAAUUUGUACCGGGUAAGGUAUUCUAAACAUGAUCUAAAAAAAAAUCAUUUUAAAAUUCGAUAAAGAAUUGAUGCCUUGAUAUUGAAUCAUAUGUUAGGGUUCUUAGACAUAAAUUGGGGGAAAAGUACUUAUUAUUGAGAAAAAAAACCCACCAUCACCACCACCAUGCACAUGCCGUGAAAAAUGCCGCCGAGGACCAUGUUGUCAUCACUUUUGUAUGCCAACAGUACCUCCAUAUUGUUAUGUACCUUGUAGAAGGUCAGAAUGUGAUAUAUGGGGAGAUGGAUGUUGUAGUUGCCGAAGUAGAGGUUACUAUGUGUGCAGAAGUGUAUAUGUUUAUGAAGAGUACUAUCCCUCGACAUGCAAAAUCAUGUAAAGGGAAAGUUCAGAAGACCGAUGGUUUGAGUCAACGCCCAGCAUCAACCAUUGGAUUCAAAUCCAGUGGUCAUGAUGGGCCUUUGUGUUGUUGUGUUUGUAAUAUCAUCCCUUUUGUGAUGAUGCACGACUUUGUGCCUAGCUAGUAUUUCAAUGGUCACAGUUUUUCCAUUGUUGAUGGCUUCUUACAUGUUUGGUCAGCAAAUAUAGGAGGCUUUACUACCUACUCUUUGUUUUUUAUGCUAUCUUAUCCUUGAAUAGUCCUAGGAUUUUGUCCCUUUGGACGUUUUCUUUCAAAGUGCUAUUAUUUGUUUCAAAAAACCCCUCUCCGAUCCAUCUAUUCUCUAGUCAUUUUUUGCCGGAGGAAAUGCCCAGAAACAACAUCAUUCCACCGUACUUUGGCAAUGUCGAUGCUUUAAGCCGAUAUCCACCAAAAAUCACUGGAUUUGGACAUUAGUAUGGUGUCGAUAUGAUCAAAUUAAACAAUAGCAUUACUCAUGCUCAUGUCAUCACCUUGUCUAGCUAGCUCUAGUUCUCUAUGUUGAAAUGUUGGGGUCAGUUUUGGCUGCAUUUUGGGUCU